rnacentral:lncRNA from 1 species
AUUGUGGUUCAGGGUAAAAAAGCUACAGCUUUUCCUGCUAUGUGCAACAAGCUGUCAGAUCAGAGUGAAAUCGAAAACAGGGUUGUGGUUGAUGGCAACCUCAUCACCAGUAGAGGGCCAGGAACUUCUAUGGAGUUUGCACUGGCAAUUGUGGAGAAGUUUUUGGGCCGCAACAAGGCACUUGAGCUUGCAAAGAUAAUGCUUUUCACUCGCGCCUAACGUUUGUAUGGGGACCUGUCUACUAUUAAACUAGUGUGUUUAUUUCUGUAUUGCUACUGCUUGUAGAGAGGGGAAAUGGAAACUUGAAUUCAUGUUUGAAUAUGGAUUCACUGUGUGGGUUUGUACAGCAGUUUGGUUUAUAAAUAAAUGAGUUCAUGGAGUCACUUCAAAUAUUCGGAAUAAACCUGAGUUUAGAUCUGUUAUCAAUGGUCGGAGUCCAAUUGCGAUCGACUCACUGGGAAUUUUAAUUAUGAAUCAUGUUAUAUUCCACCUUUCUCAUAAAAUGUUAACUCGAUUUACAGGAUAAGAAGGAAAAGAAAGACGCUAAGAGAGGAGCAGACACCCAAAAAGAGUUGACCACUUUGUUGGAACAUAAAUCUCUAGAAUAUUGAAAUAAAACACAUACCAUAUCUAGUAUCAAGUAUGUAUGUGCAAGAAGAUACAAAUUUGAAGAUCAGAUUUCUCAUUUCAAUUUAUGUUCUGCUUAGAGCAAUGGCUCUUAUUCCACAAGCACAAGCAGGAAAGAGUACGCACGAAGUUAAGAAACACACAUUGCAAAAGUUGCAUUAACUACUUGCGGCAACAUCAUCCAAGAACUUGACUUUAAUCUUCUUGAGCUUCGCUGCAGCAUCUGUCAUAUGCAUUCUCUUGUCAGGUGACUCCAUACAACAAUCCAAUGCCAAAUCCAUGAUGCUUAAUAAACAAUCCAUUUUGGCAGAAAAAGCUUGCUCUUCUCGCACCAAAUUUGCGUCAACAACUUCACUCAAUCUGUGAGGUAAUGACUCCUUCACCCAUCUCCUUAAACUCAUUUCUUCUGUGAACAUUUGAUCGGUGGGCCUCUUUCUCGUGAAAGUUUCCAUCAAUAACACACCAUAGCUGUAGACAUCACAUUUGGCUGAAACAAUUCCUUCUAAUCCAUACUCUGCAUUUUUUAAUUUUAAUUAUGAAACAAAUGAUAAAACAAAUAAUUUUUUUGAUAAUUAAGGUAACCCAAACUUUGCUCGUGCUUGAAAAAAGAGCAAAAAUUUUAAUUACAAUUGAAACUUUACCUGGUGCCAUAUAACCAAUUGUAGCCAUUGUCAUGGUUUGUGUCACACAAUCUUCUCCUUCACCUAAGAGUUUGGAAAUGCCGAAGUCGCACACAUGUGCCAUCAUAUUUUCAUCCAAGAGAAUGUUGGUGGGCUUCAAAUCACAAUGAAUUAUAGGUGCCGACGAAUGACCAUGAUGGAGAUAUUCAAGAGCCGACCCCACAUCUAUCAUUAUAUUCAACCUCUCUAGAAUGUCUAAGAAAUAAUUGUAAGAAUACAACCACUUCUCGAGACUACCAUUUGGCAUGAACUCAAGUACCAAUGCUUUGAAAUCUGGAUUAGAACAACUGCUAAGGAUCUUUAUGAGAUUUCGAUGACGAACAUUCCGUAAAACUUCACAUUCAGAAUCAAAACUCCUAAAUGCUCUCUCUAGUUGCAGAUUGAAAAUCUUUAUUGCAACAUUAGUCCCGUCGGAAAUGGUUCCUUUAUAAACUGAUCCAAAACUACCUGUACCCAGCAAGUUACAUUCAUUAAAUUCAUCAGUUGCUCGUUGAAUGUCAAGGUAGGAUGUUCUUCUCCAUGUUGCAAGAGGUAGGAAAUCUUCGUGAUCUGAUUUUUUUGUACUCCUCUUUCGGCAUCUUAUGUACAUAAUGAUGAUAAUCACUAUAAGUACAGAGGAUACUAUCGGAGGCAAAAUAUAUUUAAGGACAAUUAGAGCAACGUUCUUGGUGCUUUUGCUGUCACCUUGUUUGCAAGGUGGGACUCGGAGUUUAGGUGGACCACAGAGUGCAUAAUUUCCGAAAAAUGAUUCAGUUGACAAGUUUUUAAAAGACCCCUUAACAGGAAUUUCCCCUUCUAGCCUAUUAUGAGACACAUUAAAUUGUUUGAGAUGUGACAAUAUCUCCAAUGACUUAGGAAUUUUUCCAGAGAGAUUGUUGCCGGAGAGAUCUAAGGAUUCUAAGCUUAUCAAACUGCCAACUGAUUCAGGAAUAGGUCCCUGAAAUUGAUUACGAGCCAAGGAUAGAGUUUCUAGAUCUAUGAGGGCACCAAUGGUUGAUGGAAUAUCACCUAAUAAUUGAUUCCUUGAUAAAUCUAAAACUGUCAAGACCUUUAACUUUUGUACAUUGGAAGGGAGAGGACCAUUUAAUGAAUUAGACGACAAGUUUAUCUCUAAGAUGUACUCAAGGCUCCACAAGGAUGACGGUAUACUAGAAGUGAGCUUGUUGGAGCCUAAGCGGAGUUCUCUUAGAGAUGUCAAACUCGCCAAGCAUGGCGGUAUAUGUCCAGAGAGCUUAUUUCCAUUUAACCUUAUUCCGUAUAUCAACUCCAAGUGGCAAAGAUCAUAGGGAAUGGAUCCUUCCAAAUUAUUUUCUUCAAGAGAUAAACCUUGUAGCCGCUUAAGUCUUCCCAUCGUUGGUGAAAUAGUUCCAUUCAAGUCAUUGAAGCCGAGGCUUAAGAGGAUCAGGCCACGCAACUUACCAAUUUCUUUAGGAAUGCUGCCCCCGAGUUUGCAGUUGGAUGCAUAAAAUUGUCGAAGAGAAGCAGAGAAAUUUCCAAUCACUGGUGGAAGGAUGCCACCCAAUGGAUUAUAAGCUAAGGCUAAAAAUGUUAAAUUUCUGCAAUUAGUCAGAGAAGAGAGAAAACUCCACUGAUCUGCUGAAGAUGAUUCUGUCGUCAAGUUAUUAAAUGCUAAGCUGAGCACGUCGAGGUGUCUCAAGUUGCCAAAUGUAUUUGGAAUAUGGCCCGAGAAUGAGUUGAAGCCCAAGUCUAGGGCAACGAGUUUAGUAGCAUUGGUGAUAGAGUGGGGAAUUAUCCCUAUAAGAUUAUUGGCCGACAAGGCUAAAUACUCUAUGUUCGGAAGCGAGUGGCCAAUCGUUGACGGUAAGCGGCCUGAGAGUUGAUUGCCCCCCAGAGUAAGGAUUCUCAUGGUUGAAAUGUUGAAGAUCGUGGGUGGAAUGAGGCCACUUAAAUUGUUGUCAGCAAAAACAAGAACCUCCAAAUUUUCCAGAUUGCCAAUCUCGGUUGGAAUUUGACCUGCCAUCAGGCCAACAUUGAGGAGUCAUUGAGCUUUUAGCUUAAGGUAAAUUGAGUUUGACAAUGUUACCCUUGAAAAUGUAAAAGGAUCAAAUUAAUUUUAUUACACAAUAAUUUCAGCCAAUAAUGUUCUUUACACAAUAAUUCUGCAAAAUAUGCAUGCAAAUGGAAAAAUAUGCUUCAAUUACAAGAGGUGGUGGAGCGUACCUCGAAGAUUGCUGAAGCUAAGAUCCAGAUACACGAGUUUACUCAAAUUUCCAAUCCUUGAAGGAAUAUUUCCACCAAUAGUAUUGAACUCUGCACGCAGCGUCUCUAGCCUUGAUAAGUUGAAGAGAGAAUUAGGGAUGGGACCUGUGAAACUGUUAUUAUAAAGUCUCAAUAUUCGGAGUUUAGAUAAGACACCAAUCCAUGAUGGAAAGCUUCCGCUCAAUUUAUUGUAAGCGAAACUCACGACUCUGAGUCGACGUAAUUGCCCCAAUUCUUUCGGCAGAUGGCCAUGAAAAUUGUUCUCACUAAUGUCAAGAGACACUAGAAAUGAGAGAUUUCCCAAGUGUAGUGGAAUGGUGCCUCCGAGACCCAUAUCUGAAAGAUUCAAGGCAGUGACUCGUUGAUGGCGUGAACCACAAGAGAUACCAACCCAGCUACAUAUUGGAUAAGAUAUAGACCAAUUAUUUGCCAGGGCACUCCGAUAAUCAAGAAUGUGGGCUUUGAAUGCCAGAAGAGCUGAUUGAUCUGUUGUUAAAUCGUUUAAAGUCGUCACAGCUAAGCUAGCAAUGAGAUACUGUAACACUAACACCGACAUAGGAACAAAGAAGAAUGAUAAGCGCAUAUUGGUCGUUUUUAGUAGUAGUUGCAAGGCGAGAUUGAUACAAGUUUUAAGUAAAGGAAAUUAGCAUAUACUUAUAAUGAGACAUAUGAAUUUGAAAAUAAGAGCAGAAAAAAUAUACAGGAGACUUGCAAAUUGUUAUAUUCUGUCAUUGAGCGAGCCGUCCAAGUAAACGCAUUUACACUUGAACCCUAAAUAAAGGCCUUAUGGCACUUUAAUUGCCAUAAGGAAGAAGAUGCUCAACAUUGCCAAAAGUGUUUUUCUUGAAGUCUCGUCUUCCGUAAUGUUUGUAAAAUCGAGGUUUUACCAUCUCUAAUUAAAUAUUUACUCUUGAUUUAGACCACGUAAUCUAAACUUGACGAAAAAUUAUGAUCUUAUGUGAUUUUAUGAAUGUGGUCUUAUCUCUUAUAAGUCGGCAAUGAAUUAAUUAAAGCUUGCUGACAAAUUACAAGCUCAAAAAUAUCUUUUACUUAUUCACAAUCUUAUUUCAUUUUUUUAUAACAUAAUAUUAAAAAUUUGUCUAUUAAAUUAAUUUAAUAAUUUUUUUAAUAAAAAAUCUCAUUGACGACCAAACAACUAAUUUUUUUUUUAUAAAAGCUUUGCUUGUUAAAAUUAUGCUGAAAAAAACUCUACUUAAGUAAGUUCUAUUUUUUUUAUAAAAGCCAUUUUAUUUCUUUAUCUUUUUUAAUUAUUAUUGGAAAAGUAGCGCAGCUUAUCAAAAAAGGAAAGAAAAAAAAAAGUCAAAGUGACGAGUGGCUUGUUUUUUAAUUUCAAAGUCAAUGCAAAGUAAAAGUACCGAAAUAAUCAGUUUUUAAAUCCAAAUAAGUGGCAAUAAAGGGAGGUCUUGUUAGGGGUGUUCGCGGAUCGAAUUUUAUGGAUUGGACAUCAAUCCAUAUUCGAUCCACGAUUUUACGGAUUAUAAAAUUUCAAUCCAAUUCAAUCCACGGAUUUGUAAAAUUCAAUCCAAAUCCAAUCCAUAAAUCUGCGGAUCAGAUGCAAAUUUGACCUAAUCCAUAUCCAAUCUACAAUUUUGCGGAUUGGUUUGUGGACUGAAAAUUUUUAAUUCUGUCAAAUCCACGAACUAACUAAAUAAAAAAAUUUAAUAUAAAAAUAAUUUUACUACGGAUCAAAUUUAAAAUUAAAUAAGAUUUAAAUAAAUAAAUUGCUUAAAUAAAGCUAGCAAAUACAUUUAAAGUUUCAAAAUAUAACACACCAAAAUGAAAAAAAUAUCAUUCGUUUUAGAUCAAGGAAAUUAACUAUUUAGUAAACUAUAUUUGUUUAUUUAAUUAUUUUUUAUUUUUUAUUAUUAUCGGAUAUGAUAUAAUAUAAUGUUAAUGUAACUAUAUUUUAACUUAUUUAUUUACUAGUAAGUACUAAUAACAUAUUUACAAGUUUUAUUUUUAAUUAAAUAAAUACUUUUUAUUUUUUUGCGGAUUCGCGGAUUUUUACCGAUUUACAGAAGUAGAUCCAUAUCCAAUCCACUGAUUGCGGAUUAUCAAAUUUUCAAUUCAAUCCAAUCCACCAAUCCACGGAUCAGACGGAUUGAGCAGAUCGAAUUAGAUUAUGAACACCCUUAGGUUUUGGUGUGCAUUGUUGAAAACUUGGAAGUCUAUAUGACCAUUUAACCAAACUAUAGGGGUAUAACUGUCACAAAUUUUUAAAAAUAAAUUUUACCAAACAUUUAAAUGAUUUUUUUUUCACAAUUGAUUAUUAAAUUCUAAGUGUUAGACUAUUGUAAGAAUACAAAUAAUUGACAUGGACAUAAUAUUAAAUAAAAUUUACUUAUAUAUAUAUAUAUAUAUAUAUAUAUAUAUAUAUAUAUAUAUUAUUGUUUGUAUAUAAAAAUUGCUAACUAAAAAAUAUUUAUAUUUUAUCAAUUUUAUUUCUUUUAUUUUUUUAUCUCAAGAUAAAUAUAAUAAUAACAAUCUCUCUAAAUUUAAUUAUUUUUGCUCUUUAUUGAAUAAGGAUAAUUUUGAGUUUCUGUAAUAUAUGUGAGGAUAUAUAUAAAAUUGUAUUAAAUAUAUAACUAUUCUCAAAAUUAAAUUUUAAAAAACUAGUUCAUUCUCACUUUUCAUUUAAUUAGGCAAAUGGCCACAGAAAUUGUUCUCCCUCAUAUCCAAAUAAACUGAAAACGAGAGAUUUCGUAAGUGUGGAGGGAUGAUGCCUUCGAAACCCAUCACUGAAAGAUUCAAGUUUGUGACUCUAUGGUAUGAGCACCACAACAUAUGCCAAUUCGACUGCAUAUUGAGUAAGACAUGGACCAAUUAUUCAAGAGAUUCAUGAGCCUUCGAAGUGAGAAAUAAAGCAAAUUAUGUGGUGGUCGUGGGUCAAUUGACUACGUUUCGUGAUCUACGUGCGAUUGCAACAGUCGGUUCAUUAAGUGAAAUUAAUGACUCGUCCACUAUAGUAAGAUACUGUCCUCAUUAGGUUGGUGCUGGGUCAAUUUUAUCCAUGAGUCAACUUACAUUAAUUUGAAUUAAUUUAUAAGAGUAUCUCAUUUUCGUUGAUUACGAGUUGUGAUCGAUGACAUGCACGAAAGCAGUCAAUUUACAGGUCAUUCACUAUAUAUAUGGGGUCUAUGGGUGGAUGGAUCUAACGUAAAUUAAGGGUUGAUGAUGACCCUCGACUUCUAACGACGACCAUCGAAGACGACCUUGACUUUACAUGCAAACACACAAUUCGCUCUCAUACAUUAUGUUUUAAAAUUUCUCCAUUUUCCGGGGCCCCGCUGUCGACCGUACACAGUUUAAUUUGUAUAUACAAGACCUCAUUGUUUCUAGCAAGCAUAGAGCCAUAGACCAUAUUAAUUCCAAUUACAUAAAUCUUCAUUUUUAUCAUGAUUUUGGAUCUCGAGCAGUGUGGAUAUAUCCAACCAGAUCCGCCUCACUGGCAUCCCAAUAUAUUUUAGAAUUGAGUAAUGAGUAUCAAUAAAUGUGUAAUUGUAAAUCUACAACGUUUAAUUUUAAUUUGAGGACUCAAAUGAAUUUAUCCAACAAUACCUCGUUAAAUUAAUAUUCCAUAAAUUUUUAACUUUAAUUAAAUAACAAAUUUUGUCCGUCCCAACUUAGGAUUAACGUGGUAAUUAAUAAUUUGAUAAAUUGUUAGAUAAUAAUUUUUUAAAAAAAUCUUAUUUUUUUAUUGGAUCAAACUGAUAUAUAAAUGAAUAAUUAAUUAAUUUUAAAACUAAAUUCAUGUUAUGUCAAUCAAAUGUUAUUGCAAAGAAGACUAGCAGCGACGCUUUGAAAGGUACACCAAAGCCUUUUGCACCUUCUCCUCCGUGACCACCAAUAGAUACUUCCACCAUUUCAACGUCAUGACAUGAUGUAAGUUUCUUUUGUAGAAUUUGCGAAUUGGUAAUCUUUUACACGCGUAUAUUUAUAUCAUUGUAUAGUUAUAGAUUCAAUUACUUUUAUGAUGCAUUUAUUAAUUUGGAAUUGAAGUAGACAAGAAUGGGCUGUAAUGUGAAUGGAGAAUCGAAAUUAGAAUAAGUUAUUUACUUGAACUGUAGAAAUCGAAAUGAGUUGGAUUGUCAUUAAUGUGUUUACUUUGUCUUGGAAUCAGAAUUGAAAUAAGUUAGUUUAUAACAAAUUACUAAAAACUACUUAAUGAACUAUUGUUAUAAUUAUUAUUUUGUAUUUUAAUUAUUAUGAUUAUUUAUUAAAAAUUAUUAUUGUUAUUAUUACUUAUUGUUAAUAGUAUAUUAAUAUAUUAAUAAAUUAUAAUAAUAUAUUAAAUAACUAUAAUAUAUUAAAAAAUAUACUUGUAUUUACAAGAAAUGACUGAUAAAAUUUCUAAAAUCGUCUUCCUCCCUAAAACUCUUAAUGCCACAGCCCUAAAAAUUAAAAAGAUUUGGGAAUUAUAUGUCUUUUUUAAAAUAUUAAAGGGUGUUUAUUUCCUUAAACGGUGGGGACUAAAAGUCCUAUUCCCAAACGAGUAGUGUGCCGGCGUUGGAGGCUAGAAAGACAAUUUGUUACAUUGCUUCAGAAGUGCUUAAUGGAAAUUUUGGUGAGGCAUCACAUAAUUUAAAGGAUCAGGCUACGGUGCAACUGUGGUACCGUACUACAGUUGCAUCCAGCCGUUUUAAUUCACUUAUAUUGGUGAGGUUCACUGGCAUCCAACGGCUGAAUGCAACUAUGGCACGGUACCACAGUUGCACCACAAGUUUCCCCUAAUUUAAAUUACUGGAAUUUGCAUCAAUGGUUUUUAUUGGUUUAUUUACUCGUCAACAAAUUACUGUAACUGCAGAAAACAGUGUAACACAUUGUAUAAUACGUUAAUACGUUAUAUUGGUCAGUGCUCCUACCAAGGAAAUCUUUUUAAGUUUUGUUAGCAGAAUAUUCUUGUAAGGGUGGAGGCAUAAGAGAUUAAUAAUUUAAUAUCUCUUGUUCAUUAGAAGAUUUUUUUUUUUUGGGAAAAAAAAAGAAGAAGAUGGUUUGUUUAAUGUUGAUAAAUUUUGAAGUACAAUUUUAUAGAUGUCGAAUGUGGGCAAAAAGUAAAGAAGCUCAAACACUUUUCUACAUCUAAACUAAUCAUUAGGAUUUAUAUUAACUAAUAAACCCUAAUAAUACGAGCGUUCAUAAAAACUUCAUAUGAACAUUGAACCAGCAUGGCAUCAUAUUGUAAUAAGUUGUACAGCUGUCAAUCUCUUAUUAGUCAGAUAUAUUCUGAGUUAGUUACAUGAAUGUAGUAUAAAUAUCAUACUCUGUACACAUUCUUAGUUAGUUACUUCAGUAGAAUUUUCUCUCCUCUACUCAAUUUUUAAGUUAUCUUUUAUAUUGGGGGCAAAUGAUAUUUUAUUAACGAAAUGAUUUUGCCCUCUUAAUAAGCUCUCAUUUCUCCGCUUUGAUCAACACAGCCUUCUUUUAUUACAUCAAAAUUCUUCCUCUUUCCAUCAAAAUUUCAUGGAUCUGCCCUUACGUAAAAUCAUAUGAGAGUAUAUAAUAAAAUUAAUUAGGUAUGUUUGGAACAUUUUUGGUAUCCUUAAGCUGAUUUUAUUUUUAUUUUUUUAUAGUAUAUAUUGUCAAAAGUAAAUGCUAUAAACACUUUCGGAAAAAAAGAUGAAGAGCACCUUUGGAGUAAUUUUUUCUAUAGGAACUAACAAAACAACUAAAUGAUGUAUGUAUCUCUAAGAUUUAUUAUUAUUAAUUUUUUUUUCUGUAGUUGACAAAGCAUCAUGAUUGUGUUGGAUGAUAAGAUUAAAGGUGGGAAUGGUCCGAAUGGACCAAUUUUUUAGGAUAAAAAAAAAAAUGAUUCAAUCCUGGGCAUGUUUGGCUAUCGAAACUAGUUGAUUAGUCUAAAGUUUAAUUCAAAAGUAAUGGGACUAUUAAUCCUUAGGAAAAUUAUCAUUUGUAUACUCUAUAGAUGCUCUGUUAUAUAAAAAAUUACAACACUUUGAGAGUGUAUCAAUCGUCCACCCUAAGUUGACAAAAUAUAUCUGCCGUCCAUCAAACCGUUACUUGCUGUUUAAAUAGGAUAGCGCCAGAGGGGUAAUUUGGUCUUUUCAUAUGAUACAAGUGAUAAUUCAAGGGUAUACAAGUGAUAAUAAAAGAAUUUAAAGGUAUACAAGUGAUACUUUUCAAGGGUAAAAUCAUCAAUUCGCUAUAAUUCCGUUAACUUUCAAACGACAGCUAACGGUUUAGUGGUCGGCAGAUAACUUUUUUCAAUUUAGGGUGGACGAUUGAUACACCCUCAAAGUGUUAUAGUAUUUUUUAUAAUAGAACAUCUAUAGGGUAUACGAAUGAUAAUAUCCCUAAUCAAUCCUUAAUUCAACUUAGGUUUAAGUAGUAUAUAAAAAAUCUUCUUUAUCACUCUUUUCAUUUUUAUUUAGAUUAAAAUUCAUAUAAAUAAAUAUAAAGAAUUAAUUUCAUAAUUUAUUUAAACUAAAAUUUUAUAUUAUAUUAAAUAUCCAAAUUUUAAUUCAAUAAUUUAUUUAUAUUAGAAUUUUAUGCAAUAUUAAAUCCCAAAACUUUAUUUAAUAAUUUAUUUACAAAAAUAUUAAUAUCAAAUUCAACAAUUAGUAAUAUAAUUUAAAAUAAUUACACUAUUUUAAUAGUUAUUUAGCUAUAUUAAAUUAAAUUUAACAUAUCCUUGUCCGAUACUAUACUAAACAAACGAUAGUACCUUAUAUAGUAUAGUCAAUCUAUUAUAAUAUAAUUCAAUCUAAUCGAACGUGCCAAAUCAGUACAUUUUAAAAAAUAAUUUUAUAACAGCUUUAAAAAAGCAUUUUUUAAGUUACUUUUACAAAAUGUGCUUUCUCCGAAAGCACUCGUGAAAUGCAAAUUCUCACAAAACACGUGGUGUGUUCAAUUGGGCCUCCGCCCAUUAAAACUACAACCAUGAAAGCAAGCAAUGUUCAUUGGGCUUUAUUCUCUCGAGAAAACUUAUACACGUAGCCCACCACCGGCGCCCUAAUUUGUCUCCACCUCUCUAAAUAGAGUUGGACUAUUGGCACCUUUCCAAAAUUCUUCUGAAAUUCCUUUUUCAAUAAUAUUAAGUUUAAUGCUAAAAAUAUCCUUAUUUCCAAAUAAAUACAUUUAAUUUGUGAAUAUUUUAAUUUUCUAUUAUUUUCUCGCUCCUCACAAACAAAUUUUUAUGGGCGAUAAACUUCUUGAUAAAAAUCAAUUAAUUAAAUAAAAUAUCUAUAAGAUUAUAAUGUAAAAAAUUUUAUUAUGAGUCUUAAAAAAAGACAGAUAAAUUUAUCAGAAUGUGUUUUGUUUAUUAUCAAUAGAUUAUUUUAGUAAUUAAAGAAAAAUUUAUAGAGAAUUUGAGAAAAAAAAUUACGUGUGAGUUUGAUAGCAAAGAAAAUAUAAGAGUUUUUUUUUAAGAGAGAAAAUACAAAAGUUUGAAGUGAGAUAAAAUAGAUAUAAGAUAUAUUAGAGUAUUUAUCCUUAAAUUUAAUUGUAACAAAAGAGAGGUUUUAAAAAGAUUUUGGAGGAGUGUCUCCAACUCCUCUAAAUAUUAUUGAUUGAUGCAUAUGUUUCACAGCAUAGAGUGGCUUACAUUGGAGCUUUUCUAAAAAAAUGAAAAUUUCAUUUAAUUAUUUAUUAUUCACGGAUAAGAAAUUAACUUCUUCUUUUUUCUAACGCCACAGUCUGGUGAGCUUGCCUAGUGUGUUUUAGUUGGAUAAAAAUUUUAGCAAAUGCUUCUUGGCAAGGAAGCUUAAAUAGUUUAACCUGAAUUUAACCUCGAAUGAACCCAAAUUAUUAAACCGAACCAAUCCGAAUUGUGAAUCUGAAUUUCAGUUCGAUUCAGUUUGGUUCAGGUUCGUAUUUUCAACUCGAACAAGUUUAAUGCUCCAAUUCGAUCAGGUUGUAACCUAAACCGAAACUCGAAAACCCGAACUGAAACUCAAUUUGGCCACCCCUAAUGAGAACUGAGAAGUACCUGGAUCGUAAAAGAAAGGUUUUGAUGAUAAUUUUGGCUAAAAAUCUGUUUCUUAACUUCUAUUUUUAUUUUUUUAUGCUGUAUUUUAGUUGCUGAAUAGGUUAUAUAUAGAAGUUCAGUUAAUUUUGUUUUGGAUGAAAAAUCAAUGAGUACUUCUGUGAUUAAUAAGUGAAAUUUUGUUUGCAUCAUAUAGUCAGCUAUAAUGCAUUGGAUGGCUUUGACUCAGCAUGGAAGAAAUGCUCUCCGGCAGAUUACUAAAGAGAGCUCUGAUCGCGUGUUGCAUCACCCAUUGCUAUUUUCUUGUCAAGGAGUCAGAUACAGACGAUUGGAAGUGAUUCUAACAACAAUGAGUAAAUUGAUCUUUUGUUUUCCCUUUUCACCAGUUUGGAUCUCUUGACUAAUCAGCCUGUUUGAGUUUUAACUUGUGUAUUAAUGAUUGGUUUUAUAUGUUCAGAAAGUUGACAAGCUUGGUAAAGCCGGUGAAACUGUGAAGGUUGCUCCGGGGUAUUUCCGGAACCACUUGAUGCCCAAAUUGCUUGUUGUUCCAAAUAUCGAGAAGUUGGCUCAUCUCAUUAGAGAGCAGCGCAGGUAUUUGUUUUUCAUGAUUCUUCUCGGUUGAACUUUUUUUGUUUGGGUUGAGAAUGGUUAAUUCUAGUGAUACAGAAAUUUGCUCAUUUUCUUUAGAUACUUUGUUUAGCCAGUUUGUCAAUUAAUUUGACUCAUGGCUUCAAAUUAUUGCUAAAUUCUCAGUUUGGAAAUAUUUGUGAUUUUUGAAGGGGCAUUACAAGUUAUUAAAGUUUGUUGUGCCUGUGACUUAUUUUCAUCAGAUUUGCCAGCCUGAGGAAGAGGAAGAGGAAGAGGAAGAGGAAGAGGUUAGAGUUAUCCGGAAGUCUGAGGACAAUAUGAGUAGAGAAUUUGAGAAGGCAGCUAGGCGCCUAGAGAAUGCUCGACUGGUUUGUGGCCUAUCUUUUAAUUUCUUCAGAUUCGGGACAAAUUGUCUUGGAGUGAACUGAUGUGUUGCCUUUUCCUUUUUUUUUAGCUUGAAUGAUCUAUUUGCUACAGUUAGGAGUGAACGUCGUAAUGAAUUUUAAAUUAUACUGUUUGUUUCGAUUUACUUUUCUAUCUUAGCUCCAUCAAGUGAUUAGUGGAAUGCUGGUCCUGUGAGUAUAAAAUGAAACUCCUUAAGUUAAAUUCCUUAGGCUGUGUUUAUUUUCUGUAGUGGGAGCGAGGAGUGUAAAUUCUUUUCAUUUCAGUAUUUAUUUCAACAAAUUGGCUCCGGAUUGAGAAUCCCACUCAGUAGACCCCACCCAUUUUUGGAGUGAGAUUCCCAUGGGGAGAGGUGGGAGUGAGAUUCCCACUCCCACCUCUCCCUUUUUUUACAUUUUUUUUAAUUUAAUUUAAUUUAACUUAAUUUAAUAUUUAAUAAAAUAAAAUAAAUAAUAUCAUAUUUAUUUGAAUAAUAUUAUUAUAUUUAUUUUAAAAAUAAUAAUACUAUAUUUAUUUAAUAUUAAUAAUUAAUAAUAAUAAAUAGUUUAUUCUAAGAAAAUAUUAAUUUUGUCCUAAAUAAUAUUAUAUUAUUAUUUUAUAUAAUAAUAAAUUUAAUAUAAUUAUAUUAAAUAAAAUAAAAUAAUGUUUCAUUUUAUAUUUACCCUUCUUUUUUACCCUCUUUUUAUUAAAUUUACUAUAAUUAUAUUUAAUAAAUAUUUAAAUAAUAUUAUAUUUAUUUAAAUAAUAUUAAUAUAUUUAACUAAAUAAUAAUUUGGUUUGAUUCUAAGUCUAAAUUACUUAAAAAUAAUAUUAUUAUAUUAAUACAGAAUUAAUAAUAUUACUUUUAUACCAUCUUUAUUUGAAAAUAUAUUAUUAUUAUUAUUAUAUUUAUUUAAAAAUAUUAGUAUUAUAUUUAUUUAAUAUUAAUAAUUAAUACUAAUAAAUAGUUUAUUCUAAGAAAAUAUUAAUUUCAUACUAUGUUAAUAGUAAAAUAUUUCAUUUAUAUUGCCCUUAUCAAUAAUUUUUAAUUUAUAUAAUUAAAAUUAAAAUUAAUAAAAAAAUGUGAUGUUCAUAAUUAAGAAUAUUAAUAAUUAUUAUAAAUUUACAAAUAUAAAUGUUUAUUCAUUAAAUAUAUUUUUUAUUAACUUUGUAAUUAAAAACUAUAAUUCUUUAAAUAAGGAUAAAAUUGUAAUUUGAAACUAUUUACUCCCAAUCCGAGACAAACUAAACACAUAAAUUGAAUUCUGAUCUCCAUUCCAUGCUUUCAUUUUAGUGUAAGUAAACAACAUACUCCCACUCCCAAUCCUAAGAUUCCCACUCCAAUUCAAAAAGUAAACGCUACCUAAAUACAAGUAAUCUUGCUUUCAGAUAUGAAUUAUCUGAUGGAUGUUGUAUUUUCAAGGUAUUGAGGAGAUUCCCCAAUAUUGAAAAAUUGCGUUCCCGUGCAUCAAAAGAUGAUCCCAUAGAAUUGCGUUCACCUGUGACAAAAGAGGAGCUUGUAGUUGAGGUAUGGAUUUUUAUAUUUCUUGGUUGUUUUUAUACUUGUUUCUCAUCAUAAUAGCAAAAGCAGUUUGUUCUGAGUGAUCUGUGUGGUCUCCUAUCAAUGACUGCCGUUUCUAUCAUUUAGUACUAUUGACUAUGUGUGUAUAAAUAUUUUGUUUUUACCAUGUAAUUUCAUAUUCGAUGCAUUUCUAAUACAUUGCAUAGCGUCCAUGAAUGGGAAUGAUAAAAUAAAUUUCAAGCGUGUUUCAAUAGAUGAAAAAACUUGGAACGAUUUAGAAGGAUUUGCUGAUUAAAUAAUUUUCCAAUUUGUUUGCUUGGAGGAAUUGAAUAGUUAACUGAUUAAAGGAUUUCAAGGUGGUUCGGUCCCGCUGGGCAUUGUCAAUAUCAACGGUCAUUAAUUCCUAUUAUCUGAAAUUGAAUUUCCAGUGUGGCAUGGUAACUUUCUGCUAGGGUGUGAUUGUAUAGUAGCCAAUUGUGAGCAACAGAUCCGCAUAGUAAUAUAGAUUGAAAUUUUGCAUCUUAAUCCAUGAAGAUAUAGAUUUUGGCAAUAUUAUACAAGCACUGGGGAUUACCUUAAAUAUUCUGGACUUGUCAUUGAUAGAGUUUCUUUUACCUAGUUAUUGAUAUUUCUUUCAAUUUUCUAUUUUACUCAUACAAUUUAUACAAUUUUAGGUGGCAAGACAACUUUCGUUUUCUAUUGAGCCUGAAAACCUGCAUCUACCAUCACCUCUAUCUGCUUUUCGAGAAUAUGAGGUUCCUAUGCGCUUACCCAAAGCCAUCCCCCUACCGGAAGGAAAGGUCCAAUGGAUUCUCAAUGUUAAAGUCCGCGGCAAAUAAAUAUUUUUUAGUUAAUUUUUUAAUCAAUAAAAAAAGGUAAUUAAAAAUGUAAUUAAUAAAUUACUUAUUAGCAAAUUAAAAAACAAAUAUUAGCAUAAAAUAAUUGAUAUUUCAUUCUCUUACAACAAUCUUACCAAUUAUUAUUUAUAAAUUAAUUAAUGCAAGUUAAUUUAAAGUAAUGUUUAAUAUUCUUGUAACAACCUUACUAAUAAUUUUUUGAUAAAAAAAUUAAUUUAUUAAAUUAAUCCUAGAAGUAAAAUAAUAAUAAUUAAUUUGUAUUUUAUUUUUAAGAUUAAUUUGAUAAAUUUAAUUUUUUUUAACUAAUAUCUCCAAGAAUAUAGUUGUAACGAUAUUAUUACAAAAGGAAAAAAAAUAUAAGAUUAUAAUAUAUUUACCAGUAAGAAUAAUUUAAAAUAUUUUUUAAGAUAUAAAAAUUAAACGGACACUUAAUUAAAAAAAAAAAAAAAAAACUAAAUAAGUAGUUAGCUUUUAACAUUUCAACCUAGUGGUCAUACAAUCAUGGUGCGGCCCGGGAUGGCUGGCCCAGCCCAUCAUGUAAAAAUCCAUGUCACCCUCAUUCUUAAGCUGCUACUCUGCCACUUGCCACGGAGCUCCCCACAUCAUACCGUACCGAUGCCUCUAGAAAGCUAACUUUAAAAAAAUGGUAUUAAUAAGCGUACGCCACGUCACUCCUCACUCUCUUCUUCGUCACUUUCCUCUCACUCAACAUUUUCUCCCCAAACAAAUUCCUUCUUUGAAAAAUCGCAUUUUCUCCUUCACAGCAACCGCUACAAUGUCUUCAACUUCCAAGAAGGUAAUUUUUUUAAAUUUUAUUUUUUGUUUAGUUUCUUUCUGUUGCCUUUUUGUUUCGUUUUUUGAAUUUUCUGUGUCGUUUUUUUUUUCCCAAGGUUUUGGUGCCUGUUGCGAACGGGAGUGAGCCGAUUGAAGCCGUGAUAACGAUCGAUGUUUUGAGAAGGUCUGGAGCUGACGUCACGGUUGCGUCUGUGGAUAAACAGCUUCGUGUCGACGCGUGUCAUGGUGUCAAGAUUGUCGCUGAUGCUCUCGUGUCUGACUGCCGCGACGCUGUUUCUGAUCUUAUAGCUCUGCCCGUAUGUAUUGCAGCUCACCUCAGCUCAUGCUAAUUUAUGUGAUGUUUGUAUAAUUAUAGAUGAUUACUGCUGAUACUGAAUGUUAAAGCUAAAUAAUUCGUUCUUAAGUCAUCUUCAUUUAAUUUUCGAUUGAAAAUGAAAAAAAAAAUAAUUUUAAGCAAAGAAAAUGUUUAUUUUGUUUUAUUUUUAUUUUUAAAUUUUUGGGAUUUCCUUAUUGUGACUGUUGUCAUUCAUUAUAUGGUCCUAGUUAAAUGUUUCAAGUUGUUGUAGUCUGUGAAACUCUUUUCGAUAUUUGUUCUGGCAUGUACAUUUUUCCUUUCAAUUUAUUUUGUUGCUGAUACUUUGAUUAUGAUAUAUCCUUUUUUGUUUCCCUUGUAGGGUGGCAUGCCCGGUGCUACCAAUCUGAAAGAAUCUGAAGUAUUAGAAACCAUUGUGAAGAAGCAGGCUUCAGCUGGGCGUCUUUAUGCUGCUGUCUGUGCUUCACCUGCUGUGGCAUUAGGGUCUUGGGGUCUGUUGAAGGGAUUGAAGGUAAGAAUUAGAUAAGCCUUUUUUUAUGUUUGGUGUUCUUUUGGGAAUUGCAUUGAUAUUUGUGUUAUACAUCAGUUUUGCUCUCACCGAUGAUUGUUAAGUUCUAAUUUAUGGGGUUAUUCAUUUUUUGUAGGCUACUUGUUACCCGUCAUUUAUGGAGCAAUUAGCUCCUGCUUGUGCAGCAACUGUUGAAUCAAGAGUACAGCAGGAUGGUAAAGUUGUUACGAGUCGUGGACCUGGCACUACUAUGGAGUUUGCCAUUGCACUUGUCGAGCAGUUGUAUGGGAAAGAGAGAGCUGAUGAAGUUUCUGGGCCACUGGUAGUAACUUUUAUAGAUAAUGUUGUUUAAAAAAAUUGUGAGUUAUAUAAUUUGUGGAAAUUCAUUCUAAUAGGUUCAUCUAGUAUGUCAAAUUGGAAGGUUCAGAUGCUAAUAUAUUCCAAAAAAUUUGUUCAGGGGAAAAGUAUGACUUUUUGCAUUAGAGAUUCAUUAGAUGAAGUUGUAUACCUGCUGGCCCAUCUUAAUGUGGUGAAAACGAUGUCUGAUGAGACUGAUAUAAUUAUUGGAAUCUUGAUAAAUGCAUUUGUUGAGCUUGAAUGUCUCCACUGAUCACGUUCUUUUUAAUGUAAGUUCUUUCUCUUGGUAUUUGUCUUUGAAUCUUCUCUUCCUCAUGCUUUCGUCUUCACUGUCACCUUGUGCCUAGGUAAUGCGUGCAAAUCAUGGAGAUGAAUACACUAUUGCUGAAUUCAAUCCAAUUCAGUGGACAUUUGACAAUUCUCCCCAAGUAAGAUUUGACUUCUAGUUUCUUGUAGUUGUUUUUCUUCAUCCGAUGUUUUCAGGGAUACCCAUUUGGCAGUAUAUAAAAGUCUGUGAUAUCUUCUAUACAUAUACAUCAUUGGCUUCAGUCAUUUUCGAACAUAUUGGAGGUAGUAGAUGUAUUUUUAUGAUAUCUCUAAUAAAAUCCCAAGUUUGAUCAAUUACAAAAGAAGUAUGAGCGGUGCUGGACCGGGGGGGAAGAAGAAGUGGGGGGUCGGUGUGGUGGGGGUGUGCAGUGCAUGAAUAAAAGGAAAUGAUAGGGGGUGAAAGUUUGUGCUACCGACAUGCUGUAAAAUGGGGACAUAAUAUUUCAAAUUAGAUAUUGUGUGAUCCUUAAUAUUGCUGACUUUUGCUUAAAAUGGAAUUCUUGAUAACUUCAAAUGUUAAAGUUCUUGGUGAAAUUUUGUACUUUCUUUUCUUUCAGAUUCUUGUGCCUAUUGCAAAUGGUUCAGAGGAGAUGGAAGCUGUUAUGAUAAUUGAUAUUCUGCGACGAGCUAAAGCAAAUGUUGUAGUUGCAUCAGUUGAGGAUAAACCAGAAAUUCUGGCUUCUCGUCAAAUUAAAUUAGUGGCAGAUGUGCUCAUUGAUGAGGCGGCUAAACUCUCGUAUGAUUUAAUUGUCUUGCCAGUGAGUUGGGGUGCUUACUGUUGCUUCAUAGUCUUUACCACAUAAUUGACUUACUAACUACAAUUUAUCCAUGCACAUUGCAUAGGGUGGACUUGGUGGCGCUCAAGCAUUUGCGAAGUCAGAGAAAUUGGUGAAUAUGCUAAAGAAGCAAAAGGAAUCAAAUAGACCUUACGGUGCUAUAUGUGCAUCCCCAGCUUUAGUGUUGGAGCCCCAUGGCUUACUCAAGGUACGACCAUUUCUGCUUAAAUUAUUUACUCAGAUUUGGAUCACCUAAUCUGAACUUGAUGAAGGAUUAUGAUGUUGUGUGAUUUUAUGAAUGUGGUCUUAUCUCAUGUAAGUCGGUGAUGAAUUAAUUGAAGUUUGCUGACAAAUUAGAAACUGAAAAACUGCUGCUGCUUCGUUAGUUACAUUACCCAAAGAGUUAAAAUAAACAUCCCAAAUUUUUUGUCCCAAAUUCUGUCCCAAAUGAUAUGGCAUUUAUUGAGUGAUUGUAUUAUCUAACCAACCAAUUGAUGAAUGACACAUCAUUUGAGAUGGUUUUUUGGGAUAAAGAAUUUGGGAUUUUUACCCGCAAAAAUCCCAAGUACUUCCUGCUCCUGCAAUAUCAUUGCUGUGUAUUUGUUUUCCCCUUAGACAUAUUCAAUUGUGGUUCAGGGUAAAAAAGCUACAGCUUUUCCUGUUAUGUGCAACAAGCUGUCAGAUCAGAGUGAAAUCGAAAACAGGGUUGUGGUUGAUGGCAACCUCAUCACCAGUAGAGGGCCAGGAACUUCUAUGGAGUUUGCACUGGCAAUUGUGGAGAAGUUUUUUGGCCGCAACAAGGCACUUGAGCUUGCAAAGAUAAUGCUUUUCACUCGCACCUAACAUUUGUACGGGGACCUGACUACUAUUAAACUAGUGUGUUUAUUUCUGUAUUGCUACUGCUUGUAGAGAGGGGAAAUGGAAACUUGAAUUCAUGUUUGAAUAUGGAUUCACUGUGUGGGUUUGUACAGCAGUUUGAUUUAUAAAUAAAUGAGUUCAAAGAGUUACUUCAAAUAUUCGGAAUAAACCUGAGUUUAGUUCUGUUAUCAAUGGUCGGAGUCCAAUUGCGAUCGACACACUGGGAAUUUUAAUUAUGAACUAAAAAAUUGUUAUGUUAUAUUCCACCUUUCUCAUAAAAUGUUAACUCGAUUUACAGGAUAAGAAGGAAAAGAAAGACGCUAAGAGAGGAGCAGAGACCCAAAAAGAGUUGACCACUUUGUUGGAACAUAAACCUCUAGAAUAUUGAAAUAAAACACAUACCAUAUCUAGUAUUAAGUAUGUAUAUGCAAGAAGAUACAAAUUUGAAGAUCAGAUUUCUCAUUUCAAUUUAUGUUCUGCUUAGAGCAAUGGCUCUUAUUCCACAAGCACAAACAGGAAAGAGUACGCACGAAGUUAAGAAACACACAUUGCAAAAGUUGCAUUAACUACUUGCAGCAGCAUCAUCCAAGAACUUGACUUUAAUCUUCUUGAGCUUCGCUGCGGCAUCUGUCAUAUGCAUUCUCUUGUCAGGUGACUCUAUACAACAAUCCAAAGCCAAAUCCAUGAUGCUUAAUAAACAAUCCAUUUUGGCAGAAAAAGCUUGCUCUUCUCGCACCAAAUUUGCGUCAACAACUUCAGUCAAUCCGUGAGGUAAAGACUCCUUUACCCAUCUCCUUAAACUCAUUUCUCCUGCGAACAUUUCAUCGGUGGGCCUCUUUCUCGUGAAGGUUUCCAUCAAUAAAACACCAUAGCUGUAGACAUCACAUUUAGCUGAAACAAUUCCUUCUGAUCCAUACUCUGCAUUUUUUAAUUUUAAUUAUGAAACAAAUGAUAAAACAAAUAAUUUUUUGAUAAUUAAGGUAACCCAAACUUUGCUCGUGCUUGAAAAAAGAGUAAAAAUUUUAAUUACAAUUGAAACUUUACCUGGUGCCAUAUAACCAAUUGUAGCCAUUGUCAUGGUUUGUGUCACAGAAUCUUCUCCUUCACCUAAGAGUUUGGAAAUGCCGAAGUCGCUCACAUGUGCCACCAUAUUUUCAUCCAAGAGAAUGUUGGUGGGCUUCAAAUCACAAUGAAUUAUAGGUGCCGACGAAUGACCAUGAUGGAGAUAUUCAAGGGCCGACCCCACAUCUAUCAUUAUGUUCAACCUCUCUAGGAUGUCUAAGAAAUAGUUGUGAGAAUAUAACCACUUCUCGAGACUACCAUUUGGCAUGAACUCAAGUACCAAUGCUUUAAAAUCUUGAUUAGAACAACUGCUAAGGAUCUUUAUGAGAUUUCGAUGACGAACAUUCAGUAAAACUUCACAUUCAGAAUCAAAACUCCUAAAUGCUCUCUCUAGUUGCAGAUUGAAAACCUUUAUCGCAACAUCAGUCCCGUCGGAAAUGGUUCCUUUAUAAACUGAUCCAAAGCUACCUGUACCAAGCAAGUUACAUUCAUUAAAUUCAUCAGUUGCUCGUUGAAUGUCUAGGUAGGAUGUUCUUCUCCAUGUUGCAAGAGGUAGGAAAUCUUCGUGAUCUGAUUUUUUUGUACUCCUCUUUCGGCAUCUUAUGUACAUAAUGAUGAUAAUCACUAUAAGUACAGAGGAUACUAUCGGAGGCAAAAUAUAUUUAAGGACAAUUAGAGCAACGUUUUUGGUGCUUUUGCUGUCACCUUGUUUGCAAGGUGGGACUCGGAAUUUAGGUGGACCACAGAGUGCAUAAUUUCCGAAAAAUGAUUCAGCUGACAAGUUUUUAAAAGACCCCUUAACAGGAAUUUCCCCUUCUAGCCUAUUAUGAGACACAUUAAAUUGUUUGAGAUGUGAAAGUGUCUCCAAUGACUUAGGAAUUUUUCCAGAGAGAUUGUUGCCAGAGAGAUCUAAGGAUUCUAAGCUUAUCAAACUACCAACUGAUUCAGGAAUAGGUCCUUGAAAUUGAUUACUAGCCAAUGAUAGAGUUUCUAUAUCUUUGAGGGCACCGAUGGUUGAUGGAAUAUCACCUGAUAAUUGAUUCCUUGAUAAAUCUAAAACUCUCAAGACCUUUAACUUUUGUACAUUGGAAGGGAGAGAAUCAUUUAACGAAUUUGACGACAAGUUUAUCUCUAAGAUGUACUCAAGGCUCCACAAGGAUGACGGUAUACUAGAAGUGAGCUUGUUGGAGCCUAAGUGGAGUUCUCUUAGAGAUGUCAGACUCGCCAAGCAUGGUGGUAUAUGUCCAGAGAGCUUAUUUCCAUUUAACAUUAUUCCGUACAUCAACUCCAAGUGGCAAAGAUCAUAGGGAAUGGAUCCUUCCAAAUUAUUUUCUUCAAGAGAUAAACCUUGUAGCCGCUUAAGUCUUCCCAUCGUUGGUGAAAUAGUUCCAUUCAAGUCAUUGAAGCCGAGGCUUAAGAGGAUCAGGCCACGCAACUUACCAAUUUCUUUAGGAAUGCUGCCCCCGAGUUUGCAGUUGGAUGCAUAAAAUUGUCGAAGAGAAGCAGAGAAAUUUCCAAUUACUGGUGGAAGGAUGCCACCCAAUGGAUUAUAAGCUAAGGCUAAAACUGUUAAAUUUCUGCAAUUAGUCAGAGAAGAGAGAAAACUCCACUGAUCUGCUGAAGAUGAUUCUGUCGUCAAGUUAUUAAAUGCUAAGCCAAGCACGCCGAGGUGUCUCAAGUUGCCAAAUGUAUUUGGAAUAUGGCCUGAGAAUGAGUUAAAGCUCAAUUCUAGGCCAAUGAGUUUAGAAGCGUUUGUGAUGGAGUUGGGAAUUUUUCCGGUAAGGUUAUUGGCCGCCAAGGUUAAAUACUCUAUGCUCGGAAGCGAGUGGCCAAUCGUUGAUGGUAAGUGGCCUGAAAGUUGAUUGCUAAUUAGAUUAAGGACUGUUAGGGUUGAAAUGUUGAAGAUUGUGGGUGGAAUGGGGCCACUUAAAUUAUUCGCACUAAGAACAAGGGUAUCCAAAUUUUGUAGAUUGCCAAUCUCAGUUGGAAUUUGACCUGUCAUAAAGAUAAACGCCAAAUUGAUGAGUUAUUGAGCUUUUUACUUAACAUAAAUUUUAAUUUCAUAACGCAUGAAAAUCAAAUUUGCCCACAAAAUGUGUGUUAUUAGUUUUAUAAUUUUUUUUUGGGUUUUUUUUGGGGGGGGGGGGGGGGAGAUUGAUAUUGCUACCUCAUAAUUUUUGUAAAACCCCACCCGCUUUCAGAGAAUUAUUGGAACAAGAUUCUUAAAAAAAUUCAAAUAAAGAAGAAGUUUGGAGAAAUAAUCAAUUAAAUCCAUCUUAAUAUACUUUUUGAAACUUAUAUUCUUUUAUCAUAUAUAAUAACUAAGGUUGCUUUAACAUAAAUUUAAUAUAACUAGUCUACUCUCAUAAGGUAGAAUUACUAAAAUACCCACAAAUUUACUUCAACUUCAACUAAACUAACAAAAUGUAUUUGUUGACAUGUGGGGAACUAAAAAUUAUUGAAUUUUAUUUUAGAAAUAUUGUAUUACAAAACAUAAAACAAAAUGCCGAAACUAUAUAUUAGAUACAAUAGUACAUGUUUUUCGGGGUAAUUUGGUCAUUUUAUAUUAUAAGAGUAAAAUAGUCAAAUUAAACUUAUUUUAAAGCAACCGUAAACGGUCAAAGAUUGUUAAAAGCCCUAAGUCAUAAAAGAAAAACAUUAUAAAAAUAAUUUAUUAAUUGUUCAGACUUAAUUUAUAAUUUUAUAACAUAAUGUGAACUUAUUAUAACUAUCUUUUCAAAAUGAGGUGGGUUUGCAAGAAUAAUGAGUGGAAAUAUCCCCACCCUAUAAAAUAAAAAGAAUUUUGCAGCUAUGCAAAUGCAAAUAUGUAGAACGUACCUUGUAGGUUGUUAUAACCUAGAUUCAGAAUGAAAAGGCUGCUAAAAUUUCCUAUCCCUGAAGGAAUAUUUCCAUCAAUAACGUUGUAGAUUGCGUCGAACACCUCCAGCUUCGAUAAAUUGAGGAGAGAAUUUGGGAUUGGACCCGUGAAACUGUUAUUAUAAAGCCUCAACGUUUGUAAUUUGGAUAAGACACCAAUCCAUGUUGGAAUGCUUCCACUCAAUUUAUUGAAACCGAAUCUAAUGAAUCUGAGUCGGCGUAAUUGCCCCAAUUCAUUAGGCAGAUGGCCAUGAAAAUUAUUAUGAGCAACAUCAAGAGAUACUAAGAACGUGAGAUUUCCCAAGUGUAGUGGAAUGGUGCCUCCGAGACCCAUAUCUGAAAGAUUCAAGGCAGUGACUCUUUGAUGGCGUGAACCACAAGAGAUACCAACCCAGCUACAUAUUGGAUAAGAUAUAGACCAAUUAUUUGUCAGAUCACUUCGAUAAUCAACGACACGGGCUUUGAAUGCAAGAAGAGCCGAUUGAUCUGUUGUUAAGUUGCUCAAAGUCGUCAUAGCUAAGCUAGCUAUGGAAUAUUGUACCAACAACAUAGGAACAAAGAAGAAUGAUAAGCACAUAUUGGUCGUUUUUUUUUAUAGAUGCAGCAAUCUAAUUGCUAGGUGAAGUUGAUACAAGUUUUAAGUGAAGGAAACUAGCAUAUACUUAUACAAGAGACGUAUGAAUUUGAAAACAAGAAAAGAAAAAAAUGUACAGGAGAGUGGAGACAUGCAAAUUGGUAUAUUUCAUCAUUGAGCGAGUCGUCCAAGUAAACUCAUACAGACCUGUAAAUUGUUAUAGGCCGCGGUACUUGAACCGUGAAUAAAGGGCUUAUGGCACUUGACUUACCAAAAAGAAGAAGAUGCUCAACAUUGGCAAGGCCUAUGCAUUCUGUCCAUUUGUUCACGUUUUGCCAAGGCUCAGGGCAACCACAAUAUGUUCUUUUUCUUCCCUCUUAAAACAAAAAACAAAAAAAAAAGACGACAUUUACAUUUGGGCUAAUAAUUAUAACUAAACAAUUAAUAAUACUGAGGGUCAGUGGUAAUGUAGCUUUAAAAUAAUUGUUAUUAGUUGUGUCUUAAAAAUAAAGAAAAAAAAUAACUAUACCCAUAUAAUUAAUAAAAUAAUCAUGUAAAUUCCUAAGCUUUUAACAAUAUACACCAAGACCCCCUACCGUUACUUUUUACCAUUUAUUUGGAUGUCACAUGCUUUUUUUUUUUAAUUUUCACAGUGGAUAUCAAAUGCUAAAUUUACUGUUAUUCCCAUAUCAUGUCAUCACUUGCUUCUACACACAUUGAUUGUUUUUCCAAAGUUUCAAAUUGAAUUAAAAACAUUCUAAUUAACCUAAAAAAAACUCAUCCAACCAGAUAUAAAUCAUCUAAUUAACCUAAAGAUAGCUACACCCCCAUAUUAAUUCCAAUUAAAUAAAAUUCAUUUUUGUCAUGAUUUUGGAUCUCGAGCAGGGUGGAUAUAUCCAACUAGAUCCGCCCCAUUGGCAUUCCAGUAUAUUCUGUAAUUGGAAGAGUAUGAAUGACUUAAUUUGUAAUUUUAAAUUUGUAACGUUCAAUUCUAAUUUGAGGAUUCAAAUGAAUUUAUGCGAAUCUAAAAGGGGACUGAAGAUUGGCAUGCAUACAUGCAUACAUAUACAUAUAUAUAUAAAUAGAGAGAGAGAGAGAGAGAGAGAGAGAGAGAGGUAAUAUAACAUUCUUCUUGAUGAAGAUUUUUGUGCCAUACGAAUUAAAGAGAGUAUUGUGUCGAUGUUCGAGGCUAGAGCGACAAUUGGUUACAUUGCUUCAGAGGUGUUUAGUAGAAACUUUGGUGAGGCAUCACAUAAUUUAAAUUACUAGAUUUAGCGAGAUAUAUAUAUUUUCCACAUUGGAUUUACAAGCAUUUCGAGCAGUAUAAUGAAUUAAAAUUACUCGGAAUUGUAAACAGCGAGGAAAGUGAAAUUGCUAAGAAGAUGAAUAUUUUGUUGUUUUGUGGUGUACACGGACUCGUCCAUCGGAUAGGUCGCCCAUGAACAGAGGGAUAGAAAUGUUAUUGCCAAGAAGCAGACUGACUAGCAGUGACGCUUUGAAAAGUCCACCGGACAUCGUCUCCUCCAAGACCACCAAUAGAUUCUUCCACCAUUUCAACGUCGUGACGUGGGGAUCGGAAUUGAAUUAUAGGAUGCUUGUAAGUUUCCUUUGUGGAACUUGUGAAUUUGUGAUGGCAAAAGUCAAUGAUGCAUGUAACUAGCUAGCCCGUGUAGACUCCGUUUUACACUUUUUCAAAACCCAAAAGCACGCUAAAUCUUAAUCUUAAAAGAAUUUUUGAUUCAGUGCUGAAUUUUGGGCUUAUCUUUAAGUAAUCUUUUACCACGCAUGCAUUUUUGUCAUUGUGCAGUCAUCGAUUGCUUCUAAAGAUCGUAAUCCUUAAGAAAAAAUUACUUCUCUUGAAAGUGAAAGCAGGGCAGCUAUUGGCGUAUUGCAUUGCAGCUGCUAUGUGUAGUAGUCAAUUCUUGGAAACAACUAGUUUUCUUAAAUUGUAAACGGUCCCCUUUAUGACUGGGAGAUUUUGAACAAAAUUAAUAUGACGAAUUCUUUGCAGGUGUUGUUCCUUGAAGUCUCAUCUUUCACAAUGUUUCUGAAAUAAAGAUAUUACCAUCUCUGAUUUAAUAUUUAUUCUUGAUUUGUACCACCUAAUCUGAACUUGAUGAAAGAAUAAAGAUUAUGAUCUUGCCUGAUUUUAUUAAUGUGGUCUUAUCUCACGUAAGUCAGUAAUGAAUUAAGGAAAAUUAUCAUUCGUAUACCCUAUAAUUGCUCUGUUAUAAAAAAUACUACAACACUUUGAGGGUGUAUCAAUUGUCCACCCUAAGUUAACAAAAUGUAUCUGUCAUCCACCAAACCGUUAUUUGCCGUUUAAAUAGAAUGACACCAGAGGGGUAAUUUUAUCUUUUCAUAUGAUACAAGUGAUAAUUUAAGGGUAUACAAGUGAUAAUAAAAGAAUUUAAAGGUAUACAAGUGAUAAUUUUAUUUACUUUAAUUUAAGUUUCAAGGGUAAAAUCGUCAAUUCACUAUAAUUCCGUUAACUUUCAAACGGUAGCUAACGGUUUGGUGGUCGGCAGAUAGCUUUUGUUAAUUUAAGGUGGACGAUUGAUAUACUCUCAAAGUGUUGUAGUAUUUUUGAUAAUAGAGCAACUAUAGGAUAUAUGAUUGAUAAUUUCCCAUGAAUUAAUUAAAGUUUACUGUCAAAUUACAAACACAAAAACUGCUGCUGCUUCAUUAUUCACAAUACCUAAAGUCAGUGCAGAACUUAAUAAGUUUUCCAAAAGUUUUACGCUUUCUUUCCCCCAAAUCCCAAGUACUUACUAGAUAUGUCAUGUUUAUACCCAAAGUCAGUGCAGAACUUACUCGAUAUGUCAUGUUUACACAAGAGUUUGUUUAUAAAUAAAUGAGUUGACAAAUAUUUGCCAAAAAAAACGGUGAGUGAUGUCUAGUUCUAUUUUCACAGUUCAGAGUCCAAUUUUGAUUACUGGAAAUUUUAAUUAUGAAGUUGAACUAAGAAUUUGUUAUAAUAUCUUCAACCUUCCUAUACAGUCAUCUGGAAUAAUAAUAUAUCAAAAACAGUAAUAACUCGAUUUACAGGGUGAGAAAGAAAAGAAAGACGCUACGAGGGAAGCAGAGAUUCAAAGACUUCGCCACUUUGUUGGAGGAACAAUUUCAUAAAUCUCCAGAAUAUUGACAUAAAACACAUAACAUACAUAUCUAGCAUUAAGUAUAUUUAUGUAUGUCCAAAGAUAAAAAUUUGAAGAUUAAAUUUAUCAUUUCAAUUUAUGUUCUGCCCAAAGCAAUGGCUUUUAUUCCACAAGCACAAACAAGAAAGAGUACGCACAAAGUUAACAAACACACAUAGCAAACGUGACAUCAACCACUUGCAGCAGCAUCAUCCAGAAACUUCACUCUAAUCUUCUUGAGCUUUUCAGCGGCGUCUUUCGUAGAUGCCCCCUGUUCUGGUGAUUCCAUGCAACAAUCCAAUGCCGAAUGCAUGAUGCUUAAUAAACAAUUCAUUUUAGGAGAAAAAACUUGCUCUUCUCUCACCAAGUUUGCAUCGACAACAUCACUCAAGGCACGAGGUAAUGACUCCCUUACCCAGUCUCUUAAACUUAUUUCUCCUGUAAACAUUUCAUUUGUGGGAUUCUUUCUGGUGAAAGUUUCCAUCAAUAAAACACCAUAACAAUAGACAUCACCUUUGGCCGAAAUCAUUCCUUCUAAUCCUUACUCUGCAUUUUUUUGGUUUCGAUAGAUCAAAUGGAUGUGACAUCAUAAAACAAAUGAUAAACAAAUAGUCUUUUGACAGUCAAGAUGGCCCAAACUUUGACUGUGCUUCGAAAAGAGCGAAAAUUUGAAAUUAUAAUUGAAACCUUACCUGGUGCCAUAUAACCAGUUGUAGCCACUGUCAUGAUUUGGGUCACAGAAUUUUCUUCAUCACCUAAGAGUUCGGAAAUGCCGAACUCACAUGUGCCACCAUAUUUUCAUCCAAGAGAAUGUUGCUAGGCUUCAAAUCACAAUGAAUUACAGGUGCUGAUGAAUGAUCGUGAUGGAGAUAUUCAAGUGCCAGCCGCACAUCUAUCAUUAUAUUCAACCUCUCUAGGAUAUCUAGGAAAUAGUUGUGUGAACACAACCAUUUCUCAAGACUACCAUUGAGCAUGAACUCAAGCACCAGUACUUUAGAAUCUGGAUUGCAACAGCUGCUAGUGAUCUUUGUGAGAUCUUGAUGACGAACAUUCCACAAUACUUCACAUUCAGAAUCAAAACUCCUAAAGGCUCUCUCUAGCUGCAGAUUGAAAACCUUUAUUACAAUAAUAGUCACAUCAUAAAGUGUGCCUUUAUAAACAGAUCCGAAGCUCUCCAUACCUAGCAGGAUACAUUCACUAAAUCCAUCAGCUGCUCGUUGAAUAUCAUGAUAGGAUAGUCUUCUCCAUGUUGUCGAAGAGAACAAAUCUUCUUUAUCUGGAGUUCUUGUUUUCCUAUUUUGAAAUAUUAUGAAGAAUCAUAACAAUUGUUAUUAGUGCAUUGGAUAUAAUCGAAGGCAAAGUAUAUUUCAGGACAAGCAGAGUAGCAUUCUUGGAUCCUUUGCUAUUAUCUUCUUUGCAAGGUGGGACUUGAAGGCCUGGUGGACCACAUAGUGCAUAAUUCUCAAAAAACGAUUGAGCUGAAAUGUUUUUAAAAGGUCCUUUGAUAGGAAUUCCCCCUUCUAGCCUAUUGUGAGACACAUUAAGUUGUUUGAGAUAUGAGAGUGCCUCCAUUGACUUUGGAAUUUCUCCAGAGAGAUUGUUGCUAGGGAGAUCCAAAGAUUCCAACCUUAUCAAACUACCAAAUGAUUUAGGGACCAGACCAUAAAAUUGGUUUCUAGCCAAGGACAAAGUUGCUAGAUCUUUGAGGCCACCAAUACUUACUGGUAUAUCACCUGAUAAUUGAUUUCUUGAUAAAUCAACUCUAUUAAGACCUUUAAGUUUUGUACAUCUGAAGAUAGAUGACCACUUAGAGAAUUUGUUGACAAGUUUACAUACAAGAUGUACUCAAGAUUCCACAAGGAUGAUGGGAUACUAGAAGUGAGCGUGUUGCAGCUUACAAAGAGUGUUUUUAAGGAAUUGAAUAUCUGAAAUCUUGUAUGUAAAUAUUAACACUUAGAGAAUUUGUUGACAAGUUUUUAAGGAUUUACUGAUUAAAUAAUUUUCCAAUUUGUUUGCCUGGAGGAAUUGAAUAGUUAACUGAUUAAAGGAUUUCAAGGUGGUUAGGUCCAGCCGAGCAUUGUAAAUAUUAACGGUCAUUAUGAAUGUGUAAUUCCUAUAUGUGAAAUUGAAUUUCCAUGGUAAAUUUCUGCUAGGGUGUGAUUGUAUGGUAGCCAAUUGUGAGCAACAGAUCCACAUAGUAAUAUAGACUGAAAUUUUGCGUCUUAAGCCAUGAAGAUAUAGAUUUUGGCAAAUAUUAUACAAGCAUUGUUUGCAACACCACAGCUAAUUUGCAGUAGGAUGAAACACUCAGAAUUUUGCCUUUUUCAUGUAUAAAAUUUUAUUUUUUUAAUUGUGAUAUUACAGUUUUGCCCAUCAAGCAUUAUGAAGCUUAAUAUUUGGAUAAAUGUUAGGUUUAAUCUAUAAAUUUUAACUUCAGUGUUUAUUUAGUUUUUAUAUUUUGUAAAAUAUCUCAAGGCAGCCCUAUUAUCAAAUAUUGGCUUGAUCCGUAUAUAUUAACUUCAGUGCUUUAUUUAGGUUUUAUAUUUUGAAAAAUACUUUAAGGCAGUUCUAUUAUCAAAUAUGUUAUGCUCUUGCUUUUAUUUUUUCUUUGUUUUUAUAAUAAUACUCUGAUAACAAUAUUUUUUUACAUUAAUUUUUUAAUCAAUAAAAAGGUAACUAGCAAAUUAACUGAUAAAUUAAUUUGUUAAUUUUUUUAAUCAAUAAAAAAUUUAAUUAAUAAAUUACUUGGUAGCAAAUUAAAAAAUAAAUAUUAGCAUAAAACAAUUGAUAUUUUUCAUUCUCUUACAACAAUCUUACUAAUAAUUUUUUUAUAAAAAAUUAAUUUAUUAAAUUAAUCCUUAAAAGUAAAAUAAUAAUAAUUAAUUUGUAUCUUAGUUUUAAAGUUAAUUUGAUAAAUUCAAUUUUUUAAUUAAUAUCUCCAAAAAUAUAGUUGCAACGAUAUUAUUGCAAAAGUAAAAAAAAAAAUAUAUAUAGAAUUUUAAUAUAACUGCCAGUAAAAAUAACUUGAAAUAUUUUUUAAGAUAUAAAAAUUAAACCAACACUUAAUUAAAAAUAUAAAGAAUUAAAUAAACAUUUAUCUUCUAACAUUUCAACCUACUGGCUAAUGGUCAUACAAUCGUGGUGUGGUCCGGGAUGCCCGGCCCAGCCCAUCAUGCAAAAAGCCAUGUCACCCAUAUUCUUAGGCUGCUACUGCAUUAAAAAAAUGAUAUUAAUAAGCGUACGCCACGUCACUCCUCACUCUCUUCUUCGUCACUUUCCUCUCACUCAACAUUUUCUCCCCAAACAAAUUCCUUCUUUGAAAAAUCGCAUUUUCUCCUUCACAGCAACAGCUACAAUGUCUUCAACUUCCAAAAAGGUGAUUUUUUUUUAAUUUUAUUUUUUGUUUAGUUUCUUUCUGUUGCCUUUUUGUUUCGUUUUUUGAAUUUUCUGUGUCGUUUUUUUCCCCCAAGGUUUUGGUGCCUGUUGCGAACGGGAGUGAGCCGAUUGAGUCCGUGAUAACGAUCGAUGUUUUGAGAAGGUCUGGAGCUGACGUCACGGUUGCGUCUGUGGAGAAACAGCUCCGUGUCGACGCGUGUCAUGGUGUCAAGAUUGUCGCUGAUGCUCUCGUGUCUGACUGCCGCGACGCCGUUUUUGAUCUUAUAGCUCUUCCCGUAUGUAUUGCAGCUCUCCUCAGCUCGUGCUAAUUUAUGUGAUGUUUGUAUAAUUAUAGAUGAUUACUGCUGAUACUGAAUGUUAAGCUAAAUAAUUCGUUCUUAAGUCAUCUUCAUUUAAUUUUCGAUUGAAAAUGAAAAAAAUAAUAAUUUUAAGCAAAGAAAAAUAUAGAAAAUGUUUAUUUUGUUUAAUUUUCAAUUUUUAAUUUUCAGGGAUUUCAUUAUUGUGACUGUUAUCAUUCAUUAUAUGGUCAUAGUUAAAUGUUUCAAAUUGUUGUAGUCAGUGAAAUUCUUUUCGAUAUUUAUUCUGGCAUGUAUAUUUUUCCUUUUCAAUUUCUUUUGUUGCUGAUUCUUUGAUUAUGUUAUAUCCUUUUUUGUUUCCCUUGUAGGGUGGCAUGCCCGGUGCUACCAAUCUGAAGGAAUCUGAAGUAUUAGAAAGCAUUGUGAAGAAGCAGGCCUCAGCUGGGCGUCUUUAUGCUGCUGUCUGUGCUUCACCUGCUGUGGCAUUAGGGUCUUGGGGUCUGUUGAAGGGAUUGAAGGUAAGAGUUAGAUAAGCCUUUUUGAUGUUUUGUGGUCUUUUGGGAAUUGCACUGAUAUUUUUGUUAUGGUUCAGUUUUCUUCUCGCUGAUGAUUGUUAAGUUCUAAUUUAUGUAGUUGUUCAUUUUUCCUAGGCUACUUGUUAUCCGUCAUUUAUGGAGCAACUAGCUCCUGCUUGUGCAGCAUGUUGAAUCAAGAGUACAGCAGGAUGGUAAAGUUGUUACGAGUCGUGGACCGGGCACUACCAUGGAGUUUGCCGUUGCACUUGUUGAGCAGUUGUAUGGGAAAGAGAAAGCUGAUGAAGUUUCUGGGCCACUGGUAUUAGCUUUUAUAGAUAACGUUGUUUAAAAAAAUUAUGAGUUAUAUAAUUUGUGGAAGCUUCAGAUGCUAAUGUAUUCAAGAAAAUAAGUUCAGGGGAAGAGUAUGACUUUUUGCAUUAGUGAUUCAUUAGAUGAAAUUGUAUACCUGCUGGUCCAUCAUAAGGUGGUGAAAACAAUGUUUGAUUUAAUUAAUGAAAUCCUGAAAUAUGCAUUUGUUGAGCUUCAAUGUCUCCACUGAUAAAAUUCUUUUUAAUGUAAGUUCUUUCUCUUGGUAUUGUAUUUGAAUUUUCUGUUCCUCAUGCUUUCGUCUUUACUGUCACCUUGUGCCUAGGUAAUGCGUGCAAAUCAUGGAGAUGAAUACACUAUUGCUGAGUUCAAUCCAAUUCAGUGGACAUUUGACAAUUCUCCUCAGGUGAGAUUGGACUGUUAGUUUCUUGUAUUUGUUUUUCUUCUUCCAUGUUUUGAGGGAUACCCAUUUGGCAGUAAAUAAAAAUCUGUGAUAUCUUCUAUACAUGUACAUAUACAUCAUUGACUUCACUCAUUUGUGAACAUAUUGGAGGUAGUAGAUUUAUUGUUAUGAUAUGUCUAAUAAAAUCCAAAGUUCGAUGCAACUACAAAAGAAGUAUGAGCAGUGCUCGACCAGAGAGGAAAAAGGUGGUUUUUUUCUUUUUUUUUUUUGGGGGGGGGGGGGGGGUUGGUUGGGUGGCAAAGGGAAUGAUAAGUUCAGGGUAUCAACAAGCUGUAAAAUGGCUAUCGAAAAACUGAUAUUUCACAUUAGAGAAUGUGAGGACCUGAAGAUUGCUGACUUGUGGUCAAAAUGGAAUUCUUGAUAACUUUAAAUGUUAAAAAUUCUUGGUGAAAAUUUUGUACUUUUUUUUCUUUCAGAUUCUUGUGCCUAUUGCGAAUGGUUCAGAGGAGAUGGAAGCUGUUAUAAUAAUUGAUAUUCUGCGACGAGCUAAAGCAAAUGUUGUGGUUGCGUCAGUUGAGGAUAAACUAGAAAUUCUGGCUUCUCGUCAAGUUAAAUUAGUGGCAGAUAUGCUUAUUGAUGAGGCAGCUAAACUUUCGUAUGAUUUGAUUGUCUUGCCAGUAAGUGGGGUUGCUAACUCUUGCCUCAUAGUCUUUACCAAAUUAUUGACUUACUAGCUACAAUUUAUCUAUGCACAGGGUGGACUUGGUGGUGCUCAAGCAUUUGCGAAGUCAGAAAAAUUGGUAAAUAUGCUAAAGAAGCAAAAGGAAUCAAAUAGACCUUACGGUGCUAUAUGUGCAUCCCCAGCACUAGUGUUGGAGCCCCAUGGCUUACUCAAGGUAUGACCAUUUCUGCUUAAAUAUUUAUUCUUGAUUUGAAUCACCUAAUCUGAACUUGAUAAAACAUUGUGAUCUUGUGUGAUUUUAUGAACGUGGUCUUAUCUCAUGUAAGUCUGUAAUGAAUUUAUUGAAGUUUGCUGACAAAUUACAAACUCAAAAACUGCUGCUGCUUCAUUAGUUACAGUACCCAAGGAGUUAUGAUAGACAUCCCAAACUUUUUACCCCAAAUUCCCUCUCAAAUGACAUGGUAGUUAUUAAGUGGUUGGUAAUUUUUUAUAAGAUAUAAGUGAAUUAAUUAAUUAUAUUAUUUAAUCAACCAAUUGAUGAAUGUCACGCCAUUUGAGAUGAAUUUUUGGGAUGUGUAGCAAAACUUUAUGCUGAUUUGUUUUGGCUACAUUCAUGUAAAACAUUUUUCCCCAAAUCCCAAGAACUUCCCGCAAUAUCAUUCCUUUGUAUUUGUUUUCCCCUUUAGACAUGUUUAACUUUGGUUCAGGGUAAAAAGGCUACGGCUUUUCCUGCCAUGUGCAACAAGCUAUCAGAUCAAAGUGAAAUCGAAAACAGGGUUGUGGUUGAUGGCAACCUUAUCACCAGCAGAGGGCCAGGAACUUCCAUGGAGUUUGCACUGGCAAUUGUGGAGAAGUUUUUUGGCCGCAACAAAGCACUUGAGCUUGCAAAGAUAUUGCUUUUCACCCGCACCUAAAAUUUGUACCAGGACCCGACUAAUAUUAAACUAGAGUGUUUAUUUCUGUAUUACUACUGCUUGUAGAGAGGCGAAAUGGAAACUUGAAUUCAUGUUUGAAUAGGGAUUCACUGUGCGGGUUUGUACAAGAGCUUGUUUAUAAAUAAAUGAGUUCAUAAAGAGUCAUUUUAAAUAUUUGGAAUAAACGUGAGUUGCUGUUUAGUUCUGUUUUCAAUGUUCACCGUUCAAUUGUGAUCCAGAGCAAUAUAACUACACUCACUGGGAAUUUUAAUUAUGAACCAAGAACGAAGUUGAACCGAGAAUUUGAUACUUUAUAUAUUCCAGUUACCAUAUUUAAGAAAGAGUAUUGAAAAGAAAGACGCUAAGAGAGAAUAUUGAAGUUAAACAGAUACCAUAUCUAGUAUUAAGUCUGUAUGCCAAAGUUACAAAUUCGAAGAUCAGAUUCCUCAUUUCAAUUUAUGUUCUGCUCAAAACAAUGGCUCUUAUUCCACAAGCACAAACAAGAAAGAGUACGAACAAAGUUAACAGAGACACGCAGUGAAAAUUACGCUAAUUGGUUGCAGCAGCAUCAUCCAGGAACUUCACUUUAAUCCUCUUGAGCUUUGCUGCAGCGUCUGUCAUAUUUAUCCUCAUGUCGGGUGACUCCAUACAACAAUCCAAUGCCAAAUCCAUUAUGCUUAAUAUACAAUCCAUUUUGGCAGAAAAAGCUUGCUCUUCUCGCACCAAAUUUGCGUCAACAACUUCACUCAAUCCGUGAGGUAAUGACUCCUUUACCCAUGUCCUUAAACUCGUUUCUCCUGUGAACAUUUCAUCGGUGGGCCUCUUUCUCGUGAAAGUUUCCAUUAAUAAAACACCAUAGCUGUAGACAUCACAUUUAGCUGAAACAAUUCCUUCUGAUCCAUACUCUGCAUUUUUUUUAAUUUCAAUUAUGAAACAAAUGAUAAAACAAAUAAGUUUUUGAUAAUUAAGGUAACCCAAACUUUGCUCGUACUUGAAAAAAGAGUAAAAAUUUUAAUUACAAUUGAAACUUUACCUGGUGCCAUAUAACCAAUUGUAGCCAUUGUCAUGGUUUGUGUCACAGAAUCUUCUUCUUCACCUAAGAGUUUGGAAAUGCCGAAGUCGCUCACAUGUGCCACCAUAUUUUCAUCCAAGAGAAUGUUGGGAGGCUUCAAAUCACAAUGAAUUAUAGGUGCCGACGAAUGACCAUGAUGGAGAUAUUCAAGAGCCGACCCCACAUCUAUCAUUAUAUUCAACCUCUCUAGAAUGUCUAAGAAAUAGUUGUGAGAAUACAACCACUUCUCGAGACUACCAUUUGGCAUGAACUCAAGUACCAAUGCUUUAAAAUCUGGAUUAGAACAACUGCUAAGGAUCUUUAUGAGAUUUCGAUGACGAACAUUCUGUAAAACUUCACAUUCAGAAUCAAAACUCCUAAAUGCUCUCUCUAGUUGCAGAUUGAAAACCUUUAUCGCAACAUCAGUCCCGUCGGAAAUGGUUCCUUUAUAAACUGAUCCAAAGCUACCUGUACCAAGCAAGUUACAUUCAUUAAAUUCAUCAGUUGCUCGUUGAAUGUCUAGGUACGAUGUUCUUCUCCAUGUUGCAAGAGAUAGGAAAUCUUCGUGAUCUGAUUUUCUUGUACUUCUAUUUCGGCAUCUUCUGUACAUAAUGAUGGUAAUCACUAUAAGGACCGUGGAUACUAUCGGAGGCAAAAUAUAUUUAAGGACAAUUAGAGCAACUUUCUUGGUUCUUUUGCUGUUAUCUUGCUUGCAAGGUGGGACUCGAAGUUUAGGUGGACCACAGAGUGCAUAAUUUCCAAAAAAUGAUUCAGCUGACUAGUUUUUAAAAGACCCCUUAACAGGAAUUUCCCCUUCUAGCAUAUUUUGAGACACAUUAAAUUGUUUGAGAUGUGAAAGUGCCUCCAAUGACUUAGGAAUUUUUCCAGAGAAAUUGUUGCCGGAGAGAUCUAAGGAUUCUAAGCUUAUCAAACUGCCAACUGAUUCAGGGAUAGGUCCUUGAAAUUGAUUACUAGCCAAGGAUAGAGUUUCUAGAUCUACGAGGGCACCAAUGGUUGAUGGAAUAUUACCUGAUAAUUGAUUCCUUGAUAAAUCUAAAACUCUCAAGACCUUUAACUUUUGUACAUUGGAAGGGAGAGAAUCAUUUAAUGAAUUUGACGACAAGUUUAUCUCUAAGAUGUACUCAAGGCUCCACAAGGAUGACGGUAUACUAGAAGUGAGCUUGUUGGAGCCUAAGCGGAGUUCUCUUAGAGAUGUCAAACUCGCCAAGCAUGGCGGUAUAUGUCCAGAGAGCUUAUUUCCAUUUAACCUUAUUCCGUACAUCAACUCCAAGUGGCAAAGAUCAUAGGGAAUGGAUCCUUCCAAAUUAUUGUCUUCAAGAGAUAAACCUUGUAGCUGCUGUAAUGUUCCUACAGAUGUUGGAAUAGUUCCGUUCAAGUCAUUGAAGUCGAGGGUUAAGAGGAUCAAGCCACGUAAAUUACCAAUUUCUUUAGGAAUGCUGCCCCCGAGUUUGCACUCGUAAGCAUAAAAGCUUUGAAGAGAAGCAGAGAAAUUUCCAAUUAAUGGUGGAAGGAUGCCACCUAAUGGAUUAGAAUCUAAGACUAAAUAGGAUAGCUUUCUACAAUUAGUCAAAGAAGAGAGAAAACUCCACUGAUCUGCUGAAGAUGAUUCUGUCGUCAAGUUAUUCGUUCGUAUGCUGAGCACGUUGAGGUGCCUCAAGUUGCCAAAUGUAUUUGGUAUAUGGCCUGAGAAUGAGUUAGAGCCCAAGUCUAGACCAAUGAGUUUGGAAGCAUUGGUAAGAGAGUCAGGAAUUGUCCCGAUAAGAUUAUUGAUCGCCAAGGUUAAAUACUCUAUGUUCGGAAGCGAGUGGCCUAUCGUUGAUGGUAGGCGGCCUGAGAAUUGGUUGCUGUGUAGAUUAAGGACUCUUAUGGUUGAAAUAUUGAAGAUCGCGGGUGGAAUGAGGCCACUUAAAUUAUUCGUACCAAGAGCAAGACUCUCCAAAUUUUGUAGAUUGCCAAUCUCGGUUGGAAUUUGAUCUGUCAUAUCGAUUAAACCAACAUUGAUGAGUUAUUGAAUUUUUUGCUAAACAUAAAUUUAAUUUCAAAAUUCAUGAAAAUCAAAAUUUCCCACAAAAUAUGUGUUAUUAGUUUUAUAAUAAUUUAGGGGGUAAUGAUAUUUCUACCCCAUGAUUUUUGUAAAACACACAUGCUUUUAGAAAAUUAUUACCGCAAGAUCACAUUAUUCUUAAAAAUUCAAAUUAAGAAGAAGUUUCUAGAAUUAAUCAAUUAAAUCCAUAUUAAUUUAUAUUUGAAACUUAUAUUCUUUUAUUAUAUUUAAGUACUAAGGUUGUUUUAACAUAAAUUUAAUUGACUAUUUUACCCUCCUAAGGUAAAAGUACUAAAAUCCUCAAAAAUUUACUUCAACUAAACUAACAAAAUGUAUUUAUGACCUAUGGGGCAUUAAAAAUAUUGAAUUUUAUUUUUAAAAUAUUAUAUUACAAAACAUAAAACUAUAUGCUAGAUACUAUAGUACAUGUUUCUUGGGGUAAUAUAGUCAUUUUACAUUAUAAGGAUGAAAUAGUCAAAUUAAACUUAACUUGAAGCACCCGUAAAUGCCAAAAAUUGUUAAAAGACCUAAGUCAUAAAAGAAAAUUAUUAUCAGAAUAAUUUAUUUAGUUAAUUAUCUGACUUAUUGUUAAUUUAUAAUUUUAUAAGCUAUUGUGAACUUAUUGCAAUUAUCUAAUGGAGAUGAGGGGGGGUUUUGCAAGAAUAUGAGCGGCAGUAUUGCCACUCUAUAAAAUAAAAAGAAUUAUGCAGUCAUGCAAAUGCAAAUAUGCUGAACUUACCUUGCAGGUUGUUAUGACGAAGAUCCAAAUCAAAAAGGUUGCUCAAAUUUCCUAUCCCUGAAGGAAUAUUUCCAUCAAUAACGUUGAAACUUGCUUGUAACAUCUCCAAUUUCGAUAAGUUGAAGAGAGAAUUUGGGAUUGGACCCGUGAUAUUGUUAUUACGAAGACUCAUUAUUUGUAAUUUGGAUAAGACACCAAUCCAAGUUGGAAUGCUUCCACUCAAUUUAUUGAAACUGAAACUAAUGAAUUUGAGUCGGCCUAAUUUCCCCAAUUCAUUAGGUAGAUGGCCAUAAAAAUUGUUCAAAGUAACAUCAAGAGACAUUAGGAAUGAGAGAUUUCCCAGGUGUGGGGGAAUAGUGCCUCCGAGACCCAUGCCUGAAAGAUUUAAAGCCUUGACUCUUUGAUGGCGUGAAUCACAAGAAAUACCAACCCAGCUGCAUAUUGGAUGAGAUAUAGACCAAUUAUUUGCUAGGACACUCCGAUAAUCACCGACGUGGGCUUUGAAUGCAAGAAGAGCUGAUUGAUCUGUUAAAUUGUUUAAAGUCGUCGUAGCUAAGUUAGCUAUGGAAUAUUGUAACAACAUAGGAACAAAGAAGAACGAUAGGCGCAUAUUGGUCGUUUUUAAUAGAUACAGCAACAUAAUUGCUAGGUGAGAUUGAAACAAGUUUGAAGUGAAGGAAAUUAGCAUAUACUUAUACAAGAGACAUGAAUUUGAAAACAAGAAAAGAAAAAAUAUACAGGAGACUUGCAAACUGUUAUAUUUUGUCAUUAAGCGAGUCGUCCAAGUAAACGCACGUAUGGACUUGCAAAUUGUUAAACGUCGCUGUACUUGAACCGUAAACAAAGGGUGUGUUUGGUUGGAGGAUUAAAAGUGGGGAUUAGACACUUUUUUUUUUUUUUAAAUUUUAUCCUUAUCUCAUGUUUGGUGCUGUCAAGGGUAUUAGGAUUUAGUUAUCUUGAACUCACAAGCUAAUCUUAAUUUUGUAAAGGAAAUUAUCCCAAGAGGGGUCAUGGGAUUAGUUAGUAUUGGAUUAUAUUGAUAACUCAAUUAAACAUAAUAAUUUAUAAAUAUUAAAAUUAUAGUAAUAUGUGAUAAAUGUAAUAAAAAAAUAUUGAUUUUAAUAAUGUAAAUAAUAAAUUAUACUAAAAAUCAUUAUUAAUUUCACAUUAAAUUAAAAUUCUAUUUUACUUUAUUUAAUUAUUAAAUAUUUUUUAUAAUUCCAAAUUUACGUUAUAAAUUAAUUAUUAAAUUAGUAUUCAAAAAGAUAAAUUUUUAUAAAAUAAUAGAUUAUUGAAUAAAUAUCAUAUAAAUAUCAUAUACAUAUUUAACAAAAUAAUAAUUAUUUAAAUUAUGAUUUCUAUUUCUUUAACGUCAUUGAGGUUGAUUUGUAUAAUUAAUAAUACAAAAUUUUAGUUUAUAAUAAUAUUAAUAAUAAUAAUAACUUGUAAAUUGUAAUAUUAUAAUGUAAAACAUGAUUAUUUAUAGUCCAAUCUAAUAUUGUACCAAACACAAUAUAGUAUUAUAUAUAAUCCACUAUUAUUCAAUCCAAUUCAAUUUUAUCCAAUUUAAUCUAAUCUAAUUCAAUCAAAUCCGGCGGACCAAACCAGCCCAAAGGGUUUAUGGCCCUUUACUUACCAAACAGAAAAAGAUGCUCAACAUUGACAUCUUUGACCCAAUCCAAAUCUAAUCCAUACAUCUGCGGAUCAGAUGCAGAUUUAACCUAAUCCAUAUCCAAUCCACCAUUUUACGGAUUGGUUUGUAGACUGAAAAAUAUUAUAAGAAUAAUUUAUUAAUUGUUCAGACUUAAUUUAUAAUUCUAUAAGAUAAUGUGAACUUAUUAUAACUAUCUUAUCAAAAUGAGGUGGGAUUGCAAGAAUAAUGAGUAGAAAUAUCCCCAACCGAUAAAAUAAAAAGAAUUUUACAGCUAUACAAAUGCAAAUAUGUAGAACGUACCUUGUAGGUUGUUAUAAGCUAGAUUCAGAUACAAAAGAUUGCUAAAAUUUCCUAUCGCUGAAGGAAUAUUUCCAUCAAUGACGUUGUACGUUGCGUGUAACGCCUUCAGCCUCGAUUAAUUGAAGAGAGAAUUUGGGAUUGGACCCGUGAAACUGUUAUUACGAAGACUCAACACUUGUAAUUUGGAUAAGACGCCAAUCCAUGUUGCAAUGCUCCCACUCAAUUUAUUGAAAGUGAAACUAAUGAAUAUGAGUCGGCGUAAUUGCCCCAAUUCAUUAGGUAGAUUGCCAAGAAAAUUGUUCAGGCUAACAUCAAGAGAUUCAAAUGAAUUUUUGAUGGCGCGAACCGCAAGAAAUGCCAAUCCAGGUACACAUUGGAUAAGAUAUAGACCAAUUAUUUGUCAGGAUACUUCGAUAAUCAACGACACGGGCUUUGCAUGCAAGAAGAGCCGAUUGAUCGGUUGUUAAGAUGCAAUAGUGAGUAGUGAAAGUGGUUUGAGGUGGAGAUGCACCGGGAUCUACGGCCAUCCUGAGUUCAGCCAGAAGCAUAAUACUUGGACUCUCAUGAAAAGGUUAGCCAGCCUAUUUUCCUAUCCUUGGUGCUGUUUUGGUGAUUUUCAAUGAGAUAAUGCAUAUGCAUGAGAAAAACGGGGGCAAUGAGAGAAACCUGAAUAGGGUUGCCGAGUUUAGGGAAGCUGUGCAAAGCUGCAAUUUGCAGGAUAUGGGGUGUAAGGGAUAUCCCUAUACGUGGUCAAACAAAAGAUACAGAGAUCAUUUUAUUGAUGAGAGAUUGGACCGUUUUCUGUGUAGUAAAGAUUGGGGGAUUAAUUUUCAAGAAUCUGUAGGCACAAAUCUAGUGAACUGGUCUUCGGACCACUGCCCAAUCAUUCUAGAUUUCCAUGAGCGAAGCCAAAAUUCGAGACAUGCGGGCAAAUCUCUCCCCCGAGAUUAUUAUGAGGAUAUGUGGAGCUCCCACGAAGGCUGUAGGAGUAUAGUCCAGGAAGAGUGGAGCCGGUAUGGGGCUAGAGCUUGGGAAGCCCCUGUUCAGCAAUUUCAAUGAAUAGCCAAAUCUUCCUUGGCCCAGCUAAAACUUUAGAGCAAAACCGAAUUUCAUGGUAGGCAAAGAAAGUAAGAAAAGCUUAUGCAGAGCCUCCAGGAUGCUAUGAGAGGGAAUUCAAAGCUGGAUGAUGGCCAGGAAAUUAGGAGAUUGGAAAGUCAGAUUAACUCUAUGCUAGUUGAUGAGGAGAUUUACUAGAAACAGCGUUCGAGGGCCGACUGGCUUAGAGAAGGGGAUAAGAACACGAAGUAUUUUCACGCCAAAGCAUCUGCCCGCAAAAGGAAGAACAAGGUGUGGGGGAUUGAGAAUGACCAGGGCAUUUGGUUGAAGGAAAGGGAUGAAAUAGAGGAGGAGAUUUGCAGCCAUUUCCAAAAGCUUUUCACUACUUCCAGCCCGACUCCAAGCCAAAUCCAAGCAACCCUUCAAGGCAUGACAACAAAAGUAACUCCGGAGAUGAAUGUUCAGCUGGAGAAGCCGUUCACCGCUGAAGAUGUUGAGGAAGCCCUUGCCAACAUGUGUCCCACAAAGGCCCCAGGGCCUGAUGGUCUUCCAGCUGCCUUCUUCCAGAAGCAUUGGAAAUCUGUCCGUAACAGAGUGAUCUCAACGUGCCUUAAUGUCCUUAAUGAGCAAGGUAACCCAUCUACCCUCAAUCACACCUUUAUAGCUUUGAUUCCAAAAAUUGCAAAUCCUAGGAAAGUGAGUGAUUAUAGACCUAUCAGCCUCUGUAAUGUUAUUUAUAGAGUUGUAGCUAAGGCCAUUGCAAAUAGAAUGAAGCCGAUCUUUUCCCAAAUCAUCUCCCCUAUGCAAAGUGCAUUCAUCCCCAAUAGGCUCAUUACCGACAAUGUUAUUAUUGGUUAUGAAUGCCUUCAUAAAAUUAGGCAUAGCAAAGGGAAGAAGAACGGACUUGUAGCUUUAAAAUUGGAUAUAAGUAAGGCUUAUGAUAGAGUUGAGUGGCCUUUUUUGGAACAAACUAUGCUAAAGAUGGGGUUUCCUAGUAAUUGGGUAGCUCUGAUAAUGAGAUGUGUUAUUUCCACUUCAUUCUCGGUGCUAAUUAAUGGUGUGCCAAAAGGAAUGAUCCAGCCAAAAAGAGGCUUGCGACAGGGCUGCCCGCUAUCCCCGUACCUUUUUAUCCUUUGUGCAGAGGCUCUCUCCAAUUUGCUGGUUGUGGCAGAACAGAACCAGCUAAUCCAAGGGCUCAAAUUUGCGCGGGAAGUUUCAAUUACGCACUUGCUGUUUGCGGACGAUAGCUUGGUAUUCUCUCGUGCAUCAGUGGCUGAAUGCAGGCAUUUAAAAGAAAUGUUUGAUAAAUAUGCUGCAGCAUCAGGGCAGAUUUUUAAUUUUCAGAAAUCCUCACUGUUCUUCAGUGGAAAAAUUCCAGAGCAUCAACGGGCUGCUAUAAGGGGUAUCUUUAAUCUAAAUGUAGUCUCAAAGCAUGAGAAAUACCUUGGCCUACCAUCAAUGAUUGGGAGAAAGAAGAUGGGGUUCUGUAACGACAUCAAGCUGAAAGUGUUGAACAAGAUUGCAGGAUGGCAGCAUAAAAUGUUGUCUAGUGGGGGGAAGGAAGUUCUGAUCAAAGCGGCAGCCCAAGCAAUUCCGGCGUAUGCAAUGAGUGUUUUCAAGCUCCCAAGAGGCUUUUGUGAUGAUAUUCAGCGAGCUAUAGCGAAGUUCUGGUGGGGCUCGAAAGGGGAUAAGCACGGAAUCCAUUGGCGAAAAUGGGAGAAGCUCAGCCAGGCAAAGAUUAGAGGGGGGCGGGGAUUUCGAGAGUUUUCUUGCUUCAAUCAAGCGCUGGUAGCUAAGCAAGCUUGGAGGUUACUGCAGUACCCAAAUUCGCUGGUCUCCAAAGUCCUUCAAGCAAGAUAUUUCAGGAAUUCCAGCUUUUUAUGUGCAAAGGCAGGAGCCAAUGCCUCGUAUAUUUGGAGAAGCAUCAUGUGGGGUAGGCAGGUGAUUAAGAAGGGUAUGAGAUGGCAGAUAGGUAAUGGCAAGAAGGUAGCAAUUUUCUCGGAUAACUGGCUGCCAAGACCAGAGACCUUCAGACCUAUCUUCCCUCCAUCUUUGCCCGUAAGCUCAGUUGUUGCAGAUUUAAUUAAGGCUGAUAAUCAAUGGGAUGAAAUAAAGCUUCGACAGCACUUCAUGGAUGUAGACACAGCAGAGAUCCUCAAGAUUCCCCUCCCAACUGAGAAAGAAGAAGAUGGAGUGCUUUGGGAUUACGACAAAAGAGGGAACUACUCUGUCAAGAGUGGGUAUCAGCUAGCAUUGAGAUCAAAAUUUCCAGAUUCCACCAGCUGCACAGAGGCUUCCCACAAGUACUGGAGUGCCCUUUGGACACUGGAGUUGCCUGCGAAGCUUAAAAUUUUCAUGUGGAGGGCCUCUAAUAAUCUGCUUCCAUCGGUGGAAAAUCUGUGGAAAAGGAAGGUAGUGGAGGAGCCAACUUGUAAGCGAUGCAAACUGAGUGUUGAGACUAUCAGCCAUGCUCUCUUGGAGUGUAAGGUAGCGAGAAAAAUUUGGCUCCAAUCCCCCUUUUCAGGCCUUAGAUUAGAAGCCAAUUCUCAGGACAUUUUCAGCACUUUGCAAAAUAUGGCUAAGGAGAUGAGGAAAUCAGAUCUGGAAUUAAUGGUAGCUCUGUGUUGGUCUGCCUGGUAUGCUAGGAACAAAUGUAUCUUCGAUGGCAGGGAGAUUAAUCCUAUUAUAUCAGCUGCUAAAGCGGAGUCUGUUUUGUCAGCUUUUCAGAGAGUUAGGAAGCCCCAGCAAGCUCACAUCUCUAUCUUCAUAAAAGAGAAGCAGCAGGAGUGGCUCCCCCCUCCCCCGAAUGUUUUUAAAGUUAAUGUGGAUGCUGCUCUUAAUUCAAAGAAUCUGAGUGCAGGAGUGGGAACUGUGAUUAGAGACUCUAAUGGAAAGAUAGUUGCGGCUGGGGUAAAUCAGAACCUCCUAAAGGGGUCAGCUAGCUUGGCUGAAGCAGAGGCGGUGCUUUGGGGCCUUCAGCUGGCGAGAAAGGCGGAUGUAUCCUCUUUGAUUAUUGAGUCUGAUUGUUUAGAGGUGGUCCAGCUAGUGAACAACACCAAGGGCAGCAGAUCAGAAAUUUUUUGGACAAUUCUGGCAAUCCAAAACCAGAUGAAGAACUUCCAGAAAGUGGUUGUCAAUCACAUUCCAAGACAUUGUAAUGCUUGUGCCCAUUACCUAGCUAAGAUAGCUUUGGGGAAAAUCUCUCCCUGUAUGUGGCUGGGAAAUAUUCCAGCUGAAUUGUAUGGUAUUAUCAAGGUGUUGUGAUUAAUGAAAGGUUUACUUUCUUUUCAAAAAAAAGAAGAAUGAUAAGCGCAUAUUGGUCUUUUUUUUUAGAUGCGUCCAUCUAAUUGCUAAGUGAAGUUGAUACAAGUUUUAAGUGAAGGAAAUUAGCAUAUGCAUAUACAAGAGGCGUAUGAAUUUUGAUAACAAGAAAAGAAAACAAUAUACAGGAGAGUGGAGGCUUGCAAAUUGUUAUAUUUCAUUAUUUAGCGAGUCGUCCGAGUAAACGCGUAUAGACUUUUAAAUUGUUAUACGCCGCCGUACUUGAACCGUGAAUAAAGGGCUUAUGGCACUUGAGUUACCAAAAAGAAGAAGAUGCUCAACAUUGGCAAGGCCUAUGCAUUCUGUCCAUUUGUUCACGUUUUGCCGAGGCUCAUGGCAACCACAAUAUGUUCUUUUUCUUUCCUCUAAAAAACAAAAAGACGACCUUCACAUUUGGGCUAAUAAUUAUCACUAAACAAUUAAUAAUGCUGAGGGCUAGUGGUAAUGUAGCUUUAAAAUAAUUGUUAUUAGUUGCGCCUUAAAAAUAAAGAAAUAAAGAUAGUUAUACUAUACCCCCACAAUUUAAUAAAAUAAUCAUGUAAAUUUCUAAACUUUUAACAAUAUACACCAAGACCCCUUAUGUUACUUUUUACCAUUUAUUUGGAUGUCACAUGCUUUUUUUUUUUUUUUUUUAAAUUUUUCACUGCAGAAAUUAAAUGCUAAAUUUACUGUUAUUCCCAUAUCAUGUCAUCGCUUGCUUCUACACAUAUUGAUUGUUUUUCCAAAGUUUAAAAUUGAAUUAAAAACAUUCUAAUUAACCUAAAAAUUAAAAAAAAAACUCAUCCAACCAGAUAUAAAUCUUCUAAUUAACCUAAAGAUAAGCUACACCCCCAUAUUAAUUCCAAUUAAAUAAAUCUUCAUUUUUGUCAUGGUUUUGGAUCUCGAGCAGGGUGGAUACAUCCAACCAGAUCCGCCCCAUUGGCAUUCCAAUAUAUUAUGGAAUUGGAAGAGUAUCAAUGACUUAAUUUGUAAUUUUAAAUUUGUAACGUAUAAUUCUAAUUUAAGGAUUCAAAUUAAUUUAUGCGGAUCUAAAAGGGGACUGAUGAUGGGCAUGCAUACAUACAUGCAUACAUAUAUUUACAUAGAGAGAGAGAGAGUGAGGUAAUAUAACAUUCUUCUUGAUGAAGAUUUUUGUGCCAUACGCAUUAAAGAGAGUAUUGUGUCGAUGUUGGAGGCUAGAGGGACAAGUGGUUACAUUGCUUCAGAGGUGUUUAGUAGAAACUUUGGUGAGGCAUCACAUAAUUUAAACUACUAGAUUUAGCGAGAUAUAUAUAUUUUCCACAUUGGAUUUACAAGCAUUUGGAGCAGGAUAAUGAAUUUAAAUUACUCGGAAUUGUAAACAGCGGAAAGUGAAAUUGCUAAGAAGAUGAAUAUUGUUGUUUUGUGGUGUAUACGGACUCGUCCAUCGGAUAGGUCGCCCAUGAACAGAGUGAUAGAAAUGUUAUUGCAAAGAAGCAGACUGACUAGCAGUGACGCUUUGAAUAAAUCCACCAAACAUCUUCUCCUACAAGACCACCAAUAUAUUCUUCCACCAUUCAACGUCGUGAUGUGGGGAUCAGAAUUGAAUUAUAGGAUGCUUGUAAGUUUCCUUUGUGGAACUUGUGAAUUUGUGAUGGCAAAAGUCAAUGAUGCAUGUAACUAGCCGGCCCGUGUAGAGGCCGUUUGACUCAUAAAUAUUUGUCACUUUCACUCUUUUUCAAAACCCAAAAGCACGCUAAAGCUUAAUCUAAAAAGAAUUUUUGAUUUAGUGCUGACAUUUUGGGCUCACCUUUGAGUAAUGUUUUACCACGCAUGCAUUUAUGUCAUUGUGCGGUCAUCCUUUACUUCUAAAGAUCGUAAUCUUUAAGAAAAAAUUACUUCUUUUGAAAGUGAAAGCAGGCCAGCUAUUGGCGUAUUGCAUUGAAGCUGCUAUGUGUAGUAGUCAAUUCUUGGAAAGAACUAGUUUUCUUAAAUUGUAAAUGGUCCCCUUUAUGACUGGGAGAUUUUGAACAAAAUUAAUAUGAUGAAUUCUUAGCAAGUGUUGUUCCUUGAAGUCUCAUCUUUCACAAUGUUUUUGAAAUAAAGAUAUUACCAUCUCUGACUAAAGAUUUACUCUUGAUUUGGACCACCUAAUCUGAACUUGAUGGAUGAUUAUGAUCUUGCCUAAUUUUAUGGAUGUGGUCUUAUCUCACGUAAGUCAGUAAUGAAUUAAUUAAAGUUUACUGUCAAAUUAUGAACUGAAAAACUGCUGCUACUUCAUUAUUCACAAUGCCCAAAUUCAGUGCAGAACUGAUUAUAAGUUUUCCGAAAGUUUUACGCUUUCUUUCCCCCAAAUCCCAAGUACUUCCUGUAAUAUCAUUCCCCUAUAGAUGUCUUCCCCUGAGACAUUUUUAACUUUGGUUCAGGGUAACAAAGCUAUAGCUUUUCCUGUCGUGUGCAACAAGCUAUUAAAUUAGAGUAUUUAUUUCUGUAUUACUACUAGUAGUAAGAGAGGCGAAAUGGAAUCUUGAAUUCAUGUUUAUACAACAGUUUGUUUAUAAAUAAAUGAGUUGAUAACAAGUCAUUUUAAAUAUUUGCAAAAAAAAAAACGGUGAGUGAUGUCUAGUUCUAUUUUCAAUGUUCAGAGUCGAAUUUUGAUUACUGAAAAUUUUAAUUUAUGAAGUUGAACUAAGAAUUUGUUAUAAUAUAUUCCACCUUCCUAUACAGUCAUCUGGAAUAAUAAUAUAUCAAAAACAGUAAUAACUUGAUUUACAGGGUGAGAAAGAAAAGAAAGACGCUACGAGGGAAGCAGAGAUUCAAAGACUUCGCUACUUUGUUGGAGGAACAAUUUCAUAAAUCUCCAGAAUAUUGACAUAAAACACAGAACAUAUCUAGCAUUAAGUAUAUUUAUGUAUGUCCAAAGAUAAAAAUUCGAAGAUUAGAUUUAUCAUUUCAAUUUAUGUUCCGCCCAAAGCAAUGGCUUUUAUUCCACAAGCACAAACAAGAAAGAGUACACAAAGUUAACAAACACACAUGUUGAUGCGAGAUUCUGGUUGUCCUCGUUCUACGACCAGGGUCUCUGCUCGAUCAACUUCACCACGACCAGGAUCUCUCCUCGUAAAGCUUCUUCUCCAGAGGUUCCUGCGCACACAGACAGGUCAGAGUACGCCGGUUUUUUUCCCGGCGCAAACCCUCCAACGCUCAAGUCAGAAAUAGGGGUUCUGGGAAUGUUUGCCACGAAUCUUAUGGCUUCUUUUUAAUCUCAGUUCUCGGAACUUUCUUUUCUUAGUUCUAAUAGCAAAAAGUCUAACCCUUUUACCUUUGCUGGCUACUUUUUUAUAGGCUUCCUCUGAAUCCCGGUCUUCCGUAGUCCACGCCCAUUACUCUUCCCACCCUCGGAUGUGGAUGCCCCAUUGUCGUCAUUGUGGGCGAAUGGAGAUGGACUUCGUGCCUUGAUUCUCGGAUAGGAACGCACGUCUUGCCAACUGUCGUUGACCGGGUCUCCUCGCCUCGACCCCUAGCAGGAAUGGCCUUAUGCCUCUAACAGGAGUUCGUCCUCGUGAAUGGCAUAUUUGUGGACGAGCAGAAUAUUCCUGCUCCUGUUCCCUUGCUACCAGGCUCUUACAGGACAUACCUGUUCGCAGAACUCUGCCACCAAAUAUAUGCUCAUCAUGUCUGGUCUCGUCGAAGUAUUUCCCUCAAACACCGGUCCCCCAGUUUCUGGUGUUGGGUAAUGUAAUGGACCAGCAGUAGAAACUCAACAGUUCUUGCUCGCGUGAGACUUGAAAAGGCUGCCAAGAGUCGUGUCGCAUUUAAUUGCGGAUGCAGUGAUGUGGCAGAAAUCUACCCCUUCGUUUGAAUUUCAAACCUACGGUUGCAAGAUUCUCAGAAUCUGCGUCAUUAAAUGCUGGCAGCCCAAAAGUUUGCUUCUCAGUAAGAAAACCCAAAAUCCUCAAACACGAACUCGUCAUUUUCUCCAUUCCUGUCUCUCCGGCUAAUGAACCUCGGCAUUAAAGCUUUCAUCCCUGUCUCUCUCUGAGCGAGUCCCUGCUUCAGGUAUUUCUUCUAUCUUCACGGUCUCGGUUAGUUGUAGAUAAUUUCUUUUCUCUUUGCUUUGCUUGGGGUAGUAUCUGGUAGUGGUGUUUUGGUUAUAACCUAGGGAAUGUCGAAGGGUAAGGAGAAAGUCGUUGAUAUUGAUGACGACGAACUAGGUUUCUUGCCUAGUCUGCUCACUGAUUCUGCUUUUGGCCCCGGGAUCCCCUUAGAGCCCACUAGGUCUAGUGUUGGGACUAGCGCUAGGAGGAUGUCCCCCCAAACAACCUCCACGAGCGGAAGUAGUGGCGAGGAGGGACCUUCUGGCUCGGAAGACACCCUAAGUGAGGAUCAAUGAGGUGACUCUGGUGAGGGAUCUUCACCGGGAACACUGCGACCAGAAGGGUGUAGUACAGUAGGAGGUAGAGCCUUGUCGCGGGAUUAUGCUAUUGAUUACAUGACCUGCACGACCACAUUCAACGAGCUGGAUGACCUCCGGCUCAGGUAUCAUAUUCCUGGUGAGGUACUCCUUAGGAUCCCAGGAAAGAAAGAUAGUCUUAGCAGGCCUCCUAGGGGAUUUGUCACCUUGUUCUUGGAGAGUUUUAAGUACGGGCUAAGGUGCCCCUUGCAACUCUAUUUUGCUCGCAUACUCCACGGGCUCAAUCUAGCUCCUGGUCAGUUGAACCCCAAUGGGUGGAGGGUGCUCUUUGGUCUGUUCAUAUUGUGGGACAGAUGUUGCCAAAGCGAGCCCACGGUUGAUGAGGUGAAGCACCUGUACCAGCUAAGGAGUAGCCCCAAAGAUGCCGGCUGGUACUACUUCCAAUCUAGUACCAAGAGUAGGAAACCCAUAACUGAUCUUCCAACUGGUGGUGGUGGGACUUGGAAGAGGAAAUUCUUUUUUGCUGGGGGUCCUUGAGGUCAAGUUGCACAAAUAGACGGGAAGGAUUGUCGCGUCCCACCCCGUUUCACGGUCCCAGGUUGCCUGCUCACUUUAGAUGUCUUGUAUCCAUAAUUGUUCUUACUUUAUUGGUUUGUCUCUAACCAAGUGUCUGUUUGUGUUGUAGUUUCUUGGGGUGUUCAUUUUCCGCUCAAACCUGAUCAGCUCAAACGGGUCGAGGCUGUACUAGCCAACUCCUGCCCGAGCCGAGAACUGAUAACUAUUUAUAACUUCCUCGAGUCUCGCUUGGUACUCCCUGGCCAUAAGAUGGAGGACGCUGUGAUUGGGGCUCUGAACAGGAAACGUUCUCGACCUCAAAACACGAAGAGGGACCAGAACAAGGACGCCCCUAGGGCAAAGCGGACCAACAUCGUGCAGCAAGUCUCUCCCUUGAAGACUUUACCUCCUGCUCCUGCCAAAGUCAGCGAAACUAGUGGAGCAGCCACAGAUCCUGCUUCCUCUUCUCCUCCUGUCGGGCCUCGAUCUCGCUUUCCUGACAGCCGAGCAGAACACUUGGUCCCCUAUCUCAAUGAGUUAUCUAAACUCGUGAGCAAGAAGGACCUGGAGGACUUUAAUGGCUGCACCCUGGGCGAGCUGGUAGGAGCCAUGCAGUAUAGUGCUUUCCAUCUCAGCUGCAUGACCACCUAUUAUAAGGCUAAGGUUGGCCGUUAUGACAGGAAGAUGAAGGAGGACAUUCAAUCAGCGAUGACCAGAGCUGACGCCGCCGAGAAGAAAGCAGGAGAGCUAAAUGUCGAGAACCUGAAGCUGAUAGAGCAAGAAUCUCUUGCUCAAGCAAAAGCCAUUACCCUCGAGGAGGAGCUGACCAAGGUCAAGGAGGAUCUUCAAAGGCAGAAGGCAAUGUAUGAGGCUCAGCUCGAAUCUCUCCGCGAUUCCCAUCGAGCUCAGGUCGAGAACUUGGAGAAGGAGGCCGACAACCAGUACGACCAGGGACUUCGGCAUUCCUAUCGUUGCAUCAUGGCCGUCCUCGGGAAGCAGCAUCCUGAUCUAAAGAUGGACGACCUUGCAGCUGGUGUCGCCCAACAUAUGGACGAGGAGGCUGCAAAGGAGGAUGCCGAAGGGGUAGACGCAAUCGUGAUUGAGGAGGAAAACUCUCCUCCUCAUGUAGACCCUGCUGACGUUGGCGAGGCGAGCACCCCCCCGGACGCAACUGGUGAUACCCCCCCUGCACCUGAGGAGGUCCAGCCAACCGAUGCUGCUCGGCAUACUGAUCCGCCAUCUUCUUGAACUUAUCUUGUGCUGUAAUUGCUUUUUGAAUAUUCUAUAUAACAGCUUUGUAAACUUUUAAGAGCUUAAUAAGAUUGUUCUUAUUUGCUUCCUCGCAUUGGUAUUUUAAUUUAUUUAUCUAUUUGGCUUCUGUCCUCGUCACAGAGGAGGCCUUGAAGUUUGACGAGCCUUUGCCUGUCUUGGAUAAUUUCUUCAAUGAUUGGGAUUCUGCUCGCCUUCGCGUGGUCGAGCAGAUCCUGGCACGCUUGGCUUUUGGUCUCGCCAUAAACAGGCUUUGAGACUCGACGAGCCUUUGCAUGCCUUAGUUUCUUCAAGGAUUGGGAUUCUGCUCGCCUUCGUGUGGUCGAGCAGAUCCUGGCACGCUUGGCUUCUGGUCUCGCCAUAAACAGGCUUUGAGACUUGACGAGCCUUUGCAUGCCUUAGUUUCUUCAAGGAUUGGGAUUCUGCUCGCCUUCGCGUGGUCGAACAGAUCCUGGCACGCUUGGCUUCUGGUCUCGCCAUAAACAGGCUUUGAGACUCGACGAGCCUUUGCAUGCCUUAGUUUCUUCAAGGAUUGGGAUUCUGCUCGCCUUCGCGUGGUCGAGCAGAUCCUGGCACGCUUGGCUUCUGGUCUCGCCAUAAACAGGCUUUGAGACUUGACGAGCCUUUGCAUGCCUUAGUUUCUUCAAGGAUUGGGAUUCUGCUCGCCUUCGCGUGGUCGAGCAGAUCCUGGCACGCUUGGCUUCUGGUCUCGCCAUAAACAGGCUUUGAGACUUGACGAGCGUUUACAUGCCUUCAAUUCUUCAAGGAUUGGGAUUCUGCUCGCCUUCGCAUGGUCGAGCAGAUCUUGGCACGCUUGGCUUCUGGUCUCGCCAUAAACAGGCUUUGAGACUUGACGAGCCUUUGCAUGCCUUCAAUUCUUCAAGGAUUGGGAUUCUGCUCACCUUCGCGUGGUCGAGCAGAUCCUGGCACGCUUGGCUUCUGGUCUCGCCAUAAACAGGCUUUGAGACUUGACGAGCCUUUGCAUGCCUUCAAUUCUUCAAGGAUUGGGAUUCUGCUCGCCUUCGCGUGGUCGAGCAGAUCCUGGCACGCUUGGCUUCUGGUCCCGCCAUAAACAAGCUUUGAGACUUGGUGAGCCUUUGCAUGCCUUUGAUAAUUUCUGGAAAGCUUAGGAUUCUGCUCACCUUCUCGUGGUCGAGCAGAUCCUGGCACGCUUGGCUUCUGGUCUCGCCAUAAACAGGCUUUGAGACUUGGUAAGCCUUUGCAUGCCUUUGAUAAUUUCUUGAACAGUGUAGUUGAUUCAAACUCCUCAUUGAUUCAUUUAUUAUUGAAUUCGGCUUACAUGAGGUUGCUUUGAAAUAAGAAAUAAAAAAAUAGAAAACAACAGACAUGAACAGAAAAAAAACUUUAAAACAUGAGUAAGUCUUACUAGAAAUAUUUCCUGAGGUGUGCCGCGCUCUAGGGGCGUUUCACCUCGUGGCCCUCCGUGCGAACCAACUUGUAAACUCUGGGUCCAACUAGCUGCCAUUCCUGGCUUCCACUCGGGUAUCAAAGGAUGUUAUCUGCAUUGCUUCCUUUGUUGCCGAGGAGUAACAGCUUCGUGCGAUUCUCUGGUCUCCUCGUACCACUCCAACUACCCCAUUCACCCGGUACUUGAGAGCCAGAUAAUGGUUGGACAGCACCGCUUUGCUCAUCCUCAGAAAUGGCCGGCCUAGGAUCAUCUGAUAAGGACCUUCCUCAUCCACUACCACAAAGUCCAGUAUCAUUGUCCUUUCUGUCGGGGAGCUCCCAAUCGUGAUAAGUAGCUCGACCACGCCCAGAGGGACCAACUUUCCUCCUCCAAACCCCUUCAAGGAGGUAUUGGUGUAAUCCAACUUCAGGUCUGCUAUUCCCAUUUCCUCCAGGGUUGACUUAAACAACACAUCAACUGAGCUCCCUGUGUCAACCAGUAUCCUGUCAAACUUCUUGCUGGCAACAGUGGCCUUGAUGACCAAAGCAUCCUCGUGGGGGUAUAGAAUCCCUUCUUCAUCCUCAUCUGUCCACAUGAUUGGCACUUGCCUGACUCUUGCACAUUUGGCUGCUGGGGUGUUGAAGAAUACAUCUUUGCUGGUCAUGGCGUAUCUAGCGUAAUUCUUCCUCGACCUGUUGGAAUCUCCGGCCAAUGUUGGGCCCCCAGCUAUCACCCUUAGUGCAGGAUGCUCGCGCCUCAGGUUUCUAUCACUCUGCUCCCCUUCAUAUGUCGAGGCCACCAUCGGGAAAGUCCCAUCUACAAACUCGUCCAGGUACCGAUUUCUCACCAAAUCUUCAACCUGGGUCUUGAGAUCUCUGCAUUCUGCGGUGGUAUGGCCAUGAGUGCCAUGGAACUUACAAUGGCGUCCCCUAUCCCUCCUGCCGGGUAGCUUUGUUAUUGGGGCAGGGAGGUACAGCAGUCCUCGGUCCUUUAUGGCCUCGUAUACUUCAUCUAGGGACAUCUUCAAGGACGUGUAUCGCCCAUACUCCUGGUUCUGGUCGAUCAGGUGCACGGCCCUUUCUCUAUUUGCUCCGUUCUGAGUUGGAGGCGAUGACAGCAUUUCUGGUCUGCUCCCUCUACUACCGUGGGAGUGUUGAUGAAGACCACCAUAUGUCGAAUCAUGCCUUCUCCAAGGCUCCCUAGCUGGGGAACGAGGAGGGUGCGCCCUGCUGCGCUGAUACUGUGGUGGCCUCUGAUGAGGCUGGUGAGCUGUUACCCGACCUCCUGCUCCACUACCUGAGGCCUGGAGGUCCCUCCUCCUGAUCGGCCAAUUUCCCAGUAAUGCCCUCUUUUCUUUCUUUUCCAACCCCUCCAGCUGGUCUGUCUUAAUCCGAGCUGCCUUUUCUUCCUCGAUCUCUAUGUCUCUUUUAGCUUGCUCGUAUGCGGCUGCAUACGUCUGAAUAGCUGGGCUUCUCAAGUUGUACCACAGCCUUCCUAUCUUCACUCCCUCUUUCAAUCCCCUUAGUGCCUGAGGAUGGUCGAAGGCUCCCAAAUCGAGGACAGCACGAUGAAACCUCUUGAUGAAUUCCCGAAGAGUUUCUUGUUCCCCUUGCUUCAUGCUUUUCAACUCCAUCAUGUCAUCUUCUAGUGCCAUUGCCCCACGAAACUGCUCUGCAAACUCCUGGCACAUCUGCUCGAAGGUUUUAAUGCUCCUCCCCCGAGGAAGUUUUCUGUACCACUCUCGUGCACGUCCCUCAAGGGAUAGUGGGAACACCCUGCCUGCACCUUUGGGAUUGAGAUAAUCCUUGUACCCCAAUUAUGUCGUUGAAGCGCUCUAUGUGCACCAGCGGAUCUGUUCGUCCCGAAUAUCUAAGGUCUGGGAGGCGGAAAUCUCUCGGAAUAACUGCCCUCAUGAUCUCUGCUGCGAGCGGUGAUUCUCCAUCUAGCAUUAUCCUCCAACCAGGAGCUCUGCUCCUUCCUUGCAUGUCGUCAAUUAUCUGCGCUAGUCUGCGCACUUCCUCCUCCAGCUGCACUGCACGACCAGGGUCACGUGCUGCAACUUGAUCCCGCUCUUGCUCUACAUCAAGCAAGUGUUGCCUCAACUCUGUUUCCUCUGCAUUUGCCACCCCGUCGUCCUCGUCAAAAAUCUGUCUUGCCGGGAAUUGCUCUUCCUCUCUACGGAAUUCUCCCCGCAGAGGUAUGUUACCUCUCUCACCACCAAAUCUCCCGGUGGUUUGACUUCUCCUCGUACUAUCGGGACCUAGUGCCACUCCACCAACUCUCAUCCUUUCCUCCUGGGUUACCCUUCGUUCACUCCGCAACUCAUGCAGGAUGGUUGUCAGGGUCUCCAUCUGCUUUUCCAUUCGUUCCAUUCGGUCGAACAUGGCUUUUUCCCGUGCUUCACUGGCUAUCUCCCUCAGAGUCACGGAAUCGUUAAGCCUCAUAUCACCCCCUUGUGCACUACUUCCUCCUGUCUCCAUUGCUUUUCACUUGCUUCACUCCUCUUCUUGCUAUCAACAGAAGCUUUUUGAUCAGCUCCCCACAGACGGCGCCAAAAUAUUGAUGCGAGAUUCUGGUUGUCCUCGUUCUACGACCAGGGUCUCUGCUCGAUCAACUUCACCACGACCAGGAUCUCUCCUCGUAAAGCUUCUUCUCCAGAGGUUCCUGCGCACACAGACAGGUCAGAGUACGCCGGUUGUUUUCCCGGCGCAAACCCUCCGACGCUCAAGUCAGAAAUAGGGGUUCUGGGAAUGUUUGCCACUAAUCUUAUGGCUUCUUUUUAAUCUCAGUUCUCGGAACUUUCUUUUCUUAGUUCUAAUAGCAAAAAGUCUAACCCUUUUACCUUCGCUGGCUACCUUUUUAUAGGCUUCCUUUGAAUCCCGGUCUUCCGUAGUCCACGCCCAUUAGUCUUCCCACCCUCGGAUGUGGAUGCCCCAUUGUCGUCAUUGUGGGCGAAUGGAGAUGGACUUCGUGCCUUGAUUCUCGGAUAGGAACGCACGUCUUGCCAACUGUCGUUGACCGGGUCUCCUCGCCUCGACCCCUAGCAGGAAUGGCCUUAUGCCUCUAACAGGAGUUCGUCCUCGUGAAUGGCAUAUUUGUGGACGAGCAGAAUAUUCCUGCUCCUGUUCCCUUGCUACCAGGCUCUUACAGGACAUACCUGUUCGCAGAACUCUGCCACCAAAUAUAUGCUCAUCAUGUCUGGUCUCGUCGAAGUAUUUCCCUCAAACAACACAUAGCAAACAUGACAUUAACUACUUGCAGCAGCAUCAUCCAGAAACUUCACUAUAAUCUUCUUGAGCUUUUCAGCGGCAUCUUUCGUAGAUGCCCUUUGUUUUGGUGACUCCAUGCAAAAAUCCAAUGCCGAAUGCAUGAUGCUUAAUAAACAAUUCAUUUUAUUAGUACAUUGGAUAUAAUCGAAGGCAGAGUAUAUUUCAGGACAAGUAGAGUAGCAUUCUUGGAUCCUUUGCUAUUAUCUUCUUUGCAAGGUGGGACUUGAGGUCCUGGUGGACAACAUACUGCAUAAUUCUAAAAAAAUUAUUGAGCUGAAAUGUUUUUAAAAGGUCUUUUGAUAGAAACUCCCCCUUCUAGCCUAUUGUGAGACACAUUAAGUUGUUUGAGAUAUAAGAGUGCCUCUAUUGACUUUGGAAUUUCUCCAGAGAAAUUGUUGCUUGGGAGAUCCAAAGAUUCCAACCUUAUCAAACUACCAAAUGAUUUGGGGAUUAGACCAUAAAAUUGGUUUCUAGCCAAGCUAGAUCUUUGGGGCCACCAAUAUUUACUGGCAUAUCACCUGAUAAUUGAUUUCUUGAUAAAUCUAACUCUAUUAAGACCCUUAAGUUUUGUAUAUCACUUGAUAAUUGUUUGUAUUGGGCCUUCUAUUUUCAUUAUAGAAUAAAUUAACUAUUAAUUUUCAUGAGAAAAAUACUUAUUUCCAUAAAAUUAUUCAAGCUUUUAAAAAGAUUUAGAAUUAAAAAUCAAACUUUGUACUGUAGAAAAUUUGCCGGUACGUUCAAUUAGUACUUUGUUUGAGGAAAUAAGAUUAGAAUAGGCUAUAGGUACGGUAGUUAUGCGGUACCUGUUUAAUAACCGUAGUAUAGUAAAUGUUUGACUUUUUUAUUAGAAAUAUAUCAUUAACAAUUUUGUUCGCUAAUUGAAUAGAGAAAGAAAGGGGGGGUGGGGGGGGGGGGAGGGCAAAAAGGUUAACACAUUUCGAAACUACAAACGAUUGCCUUUUCCUAUUAAUAAUGUUUGCGGAUUCUAACAAUUGAAUCUCAAGGUCAUUACAUAGUGAAUUUUAUAGUUAAUAAAAUUAAUAUUCCACAUACUAUCUACUCAAUUAAUGUCACAUUUUUUGAAACUUGAAUGAUCUAUUUGCUACAAUUAGGAGCCAACGUCGUAAUGAAUGUUAAAUUAUGCUGUUUGUUUUGAUUUACUUUUCUAUCUUAGCUCCAAGUGAUUAGCGGAAUGCUGGUCUUGUGAGUAUAAAAUGAACUCCUUAAGUCAAAUUCCUUCUGGGGUGUUGGAGAAAGAACUAAAUACAUGUAAUCUUGCUUUCGGAUAUGGAUUAUCUGAUGGAUGUUGUAUUUUCUAGGUAUUGAGGAGAUUCCUCAUUAUUGAAAAAUUACGUUCCCGAGCAUCAAAAGAUGAUCCCAUAGAAUUGCGUUCUCCUGUGACAAAAGAGGAGCUUGUAGCUGAGGUAUCGAUUUUUAUCUUUCUUGAUUGUUCUUUAUAGUUGUUUCUCAUCAAAAUAGAAAAAGCAGUUUGUUCUGAGUGACCUGUGCGGUCUACUAUCAAUCACUGCCAUUUCUAUCAUUUAGUACUAUUGACUGUGUGUAUAGAUAUUUUGUUUUUGCCAUGUAAUUUCAUGUUUGAUACAUUUCUAAUACAUUGCAUAGCGUUCAUGAACGAGAAUGAUAAACUAACUUUCAGGUGUGUUUAAGUAGAUGAAAAAACUUGGUACAAUUUAGAAGGAUUCACUAAUUUUCCAAUUUGUUUGUAUGGAGAAAUUGAAUAGUUAAUUGAUUAGAGGAUUGCAAAGUGGGUAGGUCCAGCUGGGCAUUGUCAAUAUUAACGAUCGAUGUUUUGAGAAGGUCUGGAGCUGACAUCACGGUUGCGUCUGUGGAGAAACAACUUCGUGUCGACGCGUGUCACGGUGUCAAGAUUGUCGCUGAUGCUCUCGUGUCUGACUGCCGCGACGCCGUUUUUGAUCUUAUAGCUCUUCCCGUAUGUAUUGCAGCUCACCUCAGCUCAUGCCAAUUUAUGUGAUGUUUGUAUAAUUAUAGAUGAUUAUUGCUGAUACUGAAUGUUAAGCUAAAUAAUUCGUUCUUAAGUCAUCUUCAUUUAAUUUUCGAUUGAAAAUGAAAAAAAUAAUAAUUGUAAGCAAAGAAAAAUAUCGAAAAUGUUUAUUUUGUUUUAAUUUUAUUUUUUAAUUUUUUGGGAUUUCCUUAUUGUGGCUGUUAUUAUUCAUUAUAUGGUCCUAGUUAAAUAUUUCAAGUUGUUGUAGUUAGUGAAUUUCUUUUCGAUAUUUAUUCUGGCAUGUAUAUUUUUUCUUUUCAAUUUCUUUUGUUGCUGAUUCUUUGAUUAUGUUAUAUCCUUUUUUGUUUCCCUUGUAGGGUGGCGUGCCUGGUGCUACCAAUCUGAAAGAAUCUGAAGUAUUAGAAAGCAUUGUGAAGAAGCAGGCUUCAGAUGGGCGUCUUAAUGCUGUUAUCUGUGCUUCACCUGCUGAGGCAUUAGGGUCUAGGGGUCUGUUGAAGGGAUUGAAGGUAAGAAUUAGAUAAACCUUUUUGAUGUUCUGUGGUCUUUUGGGAAUUGCACUGAUAUUUUUGUUAUAGUUCAGUUUUCUUCUCGCUGAUGAUUGUUAAGUUCUAAUUUAUGUAGUUGUUCAUUUUUCGUAGGCUACUUGUUAUCCGUCAUUUAUGGAGCAAUUAGCUCCUGCUUGUGCAACAACUGUUGAAUCAAGAGUACCACAGGAUGGUAAAGUUGUUACGAGUCGUGGACCCUGCACUACUAUGGAGUUUGCUGUUGCACUUGUUGAGCAGUUGUAUGGGAAAGAGAGAGCUGAUGAGGUUUCUGGGCCACUGGUAGUAACUUUUAUAGAUAAUGUUGUUUAAAAAAAUUGUGAGUUAUAUAAUUUGUUGAAAUUCAUUCUAAUAGGUUCAUCUGGUAUGUCAAAUUGGAAGGUUCAGAUGCUAAUGUAGUCCAAAAAAUUAGUUCAGGGGAAAAGUAUGACUUUUUGCAUUAGAGAUUUAUUAGAUGAAGUUGUAUACCUACUGGCCCAUCUUAAUAUGGUGAAAACGAUGUAAAAUCGGGAGAGGGGGUUCGGGGGAGAGGGGAAGCCCUCUCCAACCGCAAGGCCGUUAUUCUGACAUGAAUAGAGUAAGGCCUUUACUUUUAUAAAGAAAGGUCCCUGUUUUGCACGUCUCCACUGAUCACAUUCUUUUUAAUGUAAGUUCUUUCUCUUGGUAUUUGUCUUUGAUUUUUCUCUUCCUCAUGCUGUCGUCUGUCAAAAGAUUUGGCUGCAGCAUCUAGAAGUUUUGAAGAAGCAAAAUGGGUCACACGGCUUUGAAGUUCUAGAUGCCGUAAUGUUUGGUAAAAGUAAAAAAAAAUUCAAAGCUCAAAAAUUCAAAGUUCGAAAAACUGAAAUUUUUGAGCUGUAUGGCUUGUAAUUUUAUAGCCACUUUUUUGACUUUUAAGGAAAAGUUUUACCUAUAAAUACAAGCUCUCAAUUUAGAGCUUGCAUCCAAUUUUGUAAAGAGAGUCGAGAGCUGUGAAAAGCAAUUCUUGCAGAGCAGAGAGUUUGUAGAGCUUAAAUAAUAAAAGCUGUUGUUUUAAUGAUUUGAGAGUUUGGAUGUAUUGGGGUUUUGGGAAGUGAGCUAAAAUACUACAAUACUUGUAACUCCUUUUCACUAGUAAAAUAUUUUUCUUCUAUCUUCACCCAUGGACGUAGGUUAAAAGCCGAACCACGUAAUUUCCUGGUGUCCUCUUUGUGCUUCUUCUUGAUUUUUUUUUCCCAAUUUUACUUUAGUUGCGGCCCUGCUUCACCCGCCAAUUUCCUAACAGCGGUAUCAGAGCUAUUAGUUGUAUUAUUUGGAGUCGGGUACUAUUCACAUACGGUACUGUUCACAUAUACGGUACUAUUCAUGUAUACGUUACUAUUCACGUGAAACGGUGGGAGCAAUUCUAGUAUUGGCGAUGCAAAGCAGGGGAAUAGUGUGUGUGAGUGGAGUAAUUGUGUGGUUUUGGACAUGUGUAAGAAAGUUCUGUCACAAAGGCGAUAAGAGCCUAAGGAGUUAGGAUUUUAAGUGGGACUAUUGUGACCCCUCCAGUCUUUCCUGGGAACUUUCUUGGUGUGCUCUCACACAUACUCACAACUAUUCAAGCUGGUACACUAGUUUUGUACAAUAUUUAUCAACAAAAUGGUGGCAAAGUAUGAAAUUGAGAAGUUUAACGGAAAUAAUUUUUCGUUGUGGAAAAUGAAGAUGAAAGUUGUAUUGAAGAAAAAUAAUUGAUUGGCAGCAAUUAGAGAAAGGCCCAUGGAGAUAACUGAUGACAAGUGGAACAAGAUAUAUGGCAACGCCAUUUUUGAUCUACACUUGGCACUUACGGAUGAAGUAUUAUUCAGUGUGGCAGAGAAAACUACAGCGAAGGAAAUAUGGGAUACUCUCACAAAAUUGUACGAGACCAGGUCACUACACAACAAAAUCUUCUUAAAGAGGAAGCUCUAUACUCUUCGAAUGACGGAAUCUACAAUGGUGACCGACCACAUCAAUACCUUGAAGACUCUAUUUUCACAACUCACAACGUUAGGUCAUAAUAUAGAGGAAAAUGAACAUGCAGAGCUUCUACUUCAAAGUCUACCAGAUUCGUAUAAUCAACUCAUCAUCAACCUGACGAAUAAUAAUCCAGCGGACAGUUUGGUUUUCGACGAUGUUGCAGCCUCCGUAUUAAAUGAGGAGAGCAGGCGGAAAAAUAAGAAAAAUAGACAAGCAAGUUUGCAGCAAGCGGAGGCGUUAUCGGCGACGAGAGGGAGAUCAACGGAACGUGGCUGGCCCCAGUGGGAGUCACAAUCGUGGUAGAUCAAAAUCCAGAAGUAAGAAGAAUGUUAAAUGCUACAAUUGUGGUAAGAAAGGGCACGUCAAGAAAGAGUGUUAGAGUAACCAGAAGAGAAAAGAUGGCAAAAAACCUGAGUCAUCAAAUGCUCAGGGGUGUGUAGCAAGUACCUCGGAUGAUGACGAAAUUCUCUACAGCGAGGCAACAACUGUUUCAGAAGGUAGAAAAUGACUAUAUGAUGUCUGGCUUAUAGACUCAGGAGCUACCUGACACAUGACCUAUCGUAGAGAAUGGUUCCACACAUAUGAACAUAUCUCAGGAGAAUAUGCAUAUAUAGGUAAUGAUCAUGCCUUGGAGAUCGUUAGUAUUGGUACUAUCAAAAUAAAAAUAUUUGAUGGUACAAUUCGCACAAUUGAGGAGGUACAACAUAUCAGCGGCCUGAAGAAAAAUCUAUUGUCUUUGGGACAAAUGGAUAGUCAUAGGUACAAAACUCAUGUGGAGAAUGGAAUUAUGUAGAUCGUUAAAGGCGCGCUUGUAUUGAUGAAGGCAGAAAAGAUCAGUGCUAAUUUAUUCAUGCUUAAAGGAGAAACACUACAGGAGGCUGAUGUAUGUGUCGCGUCAAAUGGAGAAGAGUCAACGAUGAUGUGGCAUCUCAAACUUGGCCACAUGUCAGAACAAGGCUAGAAGAUUCUCUCUGAGUGAAAAUUGCUUCCAGGGUUCAAAUCGGUAAGUUUACCAUUUUGCGAGCAUUGUGUUAUAAGUAAGCAACAUAGAUUAAAGUUCAGUAGAUCUAUUACUAGAAGUAAAUGCAUUCUAGAAUUGAUUCAUUCUGAUGUUUAGGAAUCGCCGGAUAUGUCCAUGGGAGGUGCAAAGUACAUGGUGACUUUCAUUGAUGAUUAUUGCAGGAGAUGUUGGGUGUAUUCAAUUAAGAAAAAGUCAGAUGUAUUUCCAGUGUUUAAAGAAUACAAAGCGCGGGUGGAACUUGAAUUUGGUAAAAGGAUCGAGUGCUUGGGGACAAAUAAUGGUGGAGAGUAUACAGACGGCGAGUUUCUUGCUUUCUGUAAGCAAAAAGGUAUUUAGAGGUAGUUAAUGGUAGCAUACACUCCUCAACAAAACGGAGUGGCGAAGCGAAUGAACAUAACUCUUACAAAAAGAAUAAUAGCUAUGUUGAGGACUGCUGGUCUACCCAAUUCAUUCUGGGCAGAAGCAGCCAAAACUGCCUGUUAUAUCGUAAAUCGAUUGCCAUCUACAACAAUUGGGCUGAAGACAGCGAUGGAGAUAUGGACUGGAAAGCUAGCUGAUUACUCAUACCUACAUGCAUUUGGAUGUCCUGUGUACGUGAUGUACAAUGCCCAAGAAAGAAUAAAGCUUGAUCUAAAAUCUAGAAGAUGUAUCUUCUUGGGAUAUACUGAUGGAGUAAAGGGGUAUCGUCUGUAGGACCCCACUGCCCACAAGAUCGUCAUCAGCAGAGAUGUUAUUUUUUGUAGAAGAUCAACUACAAAGGAAAGAUAGAGAUGAUGACACUGUAAAAGAAAAGUCAGAGACUGUGCCAGUAUAUGUGGAAAAUAAUCCAGAAGAUUCAGAUUCUUCUGAAGCAACACCAGAGCAUGAAGAAUAAGAAUCAGUCGAGUUCGAGGCUCCAGAAGUUCGUCGGUUAACUCGUGAAAGACGACCGCCAACGUGACACUCGGAGUAUGUCACAGAGAUCAACGUUGCAUACUGUUUUCUAACAGAGGAUGGAGAGCCUUCAACUUUCCAUAAAUCUUUAAACAGCUCAGAUGUUACUUUAUGGAUGACAACAAUGCAGGAAGCAAUUGAGGCUCUACAUAAGAACAAGACAUUGGAGCUUGUACCACUACUACGUGGAAGAAAAGAUAUUGGAAACAAAUAGAUCUACAAGAUCAAAUGUGAUGGUAAUGACCAAGUGGAACGGUAUCAUGCAAGAUUGGUGGUGAAAUGAUAUGCUCAGAAAGAAGGUAUUGACUUCAACGGAAUAUUUUCUCUGGUGGUUUGACUCACAACAGUCAGAAUAGUCUUGGUAAUGUGUGCUACAUUUGACUUACAUCUUGAGCAGUUAGAUGUGAAAAUUGCAUUUCUUCAUGGAGAACUUGAAGAAGAAAUUUAUAUGCUCCAACCAGAAGGUUUUGCUGAAAAGGGAAAGGAGAACUUGGUUUGCAGGUUGAACAAAUCUUUAUACGGUCUCAAACAGGCACCGAUGUGUUGGUAUAAGAGAUUUGAUUCCUUCAUCAUAAGCCUCAGAUACAAUAGACUCAGCUCAGACCAAUGUGCAUAUUAUAAAAGGUUUGAAGAUAAUGAUUUCAUUAUUUUGAUAUUGUAUGUGGAUGACAUGUUGGUAGCAGGCCCCAACAAAGAUCGAGUCCAAGAAUUGAAGGUAUAAUUGAUUAGGGAGUUUGAAAUAAAGGACUUGGGACUAGAAAAUAAGAUUCUAGGGAUGCAAAUUCACCGAGACAGAAAUAACAGGAAGAUUUGGCUUUCUCAGAAGAACUACUUGAAGAAAAUUUUGCGACGCUUCAACAUGCAAGAUUGUAAGUCAAUUUCUACCCCACUUCCUGUUAAUUUCAAAUUAUCCUUAAGUAUGUGUCUGAGCAAUGAAGCAGAGAAGGAGGAGAUGUCUCGAGUACCGCAUGCAUCAGCAGUGGGAAGUUUGAUGUUCGCUAUGAUAUGUACUGGAUCGGACAUUGCACAAGCAGUGGGAGCAGUCAGUCGGUACAUGGCAAAUCCUAGUGGAGAGUAUUGGAUAACUGUGAAGAAGAUUCUGAGAUACAUCAGAGGAACCUCAGAUGUUGCAUUAUGUUAUGGAGGAUCAGAGUUUACUGUCAGGGGUUAUGUGGAUUCAGAUUUUGUAGGAGACUUUGAUAAAAGAAAAUCCACUAUUGGCUAUAUGUUUACACUUGCAGGAGAAGCUGUAAGCUGAGUUUUGAAACUGCAGACCGUUGUGGUUUUAUCUACAACAGAAGCAGAAUACAUGGCAGCUACACAAGCUUGGAAGGAAGCUAUCUGGAUACAAAGGUUAUUGGAGGAGUUCGGGCACAAACAAGAGAAAAUUUUUGUGUAUUGUGACAGUCAGAGUGCCUUGCAUAUUGUAAGAAAUCCAGCAUUUCAUUCAAGGACAAAGCAUGUAGGAGUUCAGUAUCACUUCGUUCAAGAAGUAGUGGAAGACGGAAGUGUGGAUUUACAGAAAAUCCAUACGAAGGAGAACCUAGCAGAUGUUUUGACCAAGCCGAUAAAUACUGAUAAGUUUGUCUGGAGUAGAUUCUCUUGUGGCCUAGCAGAAACGUAGGCAACAUGACAGUGGCGAAGCAGAAACGAUGGUGUGGAGAUUGAUUGAUCCUCAAUCAAAUCUCCAAGUGGGAGAAUGUCAAAAGAUUUGGCUGCAACAUCUAGAAGCUGCAUCUAGAAGUUUUGAAGAAGCAAAAUGGGUGGCACAUGACUUUGAAGUUCUAGAUGCUGUAAUGUUUAGUAAAAGAAAAAGAAAAAAAUUCAAAGCUAAAAAAUUCAAAGUUUGAAAAUCUAAAAUUUUUGACCUGUAUGGCUUGAAAUUUUAUAGCCACGUUUUUUACUUUUGAGGCAAAGUUUUGCCUAUAAAUACAAGCUCUCAAUUUAGAGCUUGCAUCCAAUUUUGUAAAGAAAGUCGAGAGCUGUUAGAAGCAAUUCUUGCAGAGCAGAGAGUUUGUAGAGCUUAAAUAAUAAAAGCUCUUGUUUUAGUGAUUUGAGAGUUUAGGUGUAUUAGGGUUUUGGGAAGUGAGCUAAAAUACUACAAUACUUGUAACUCUUUUUCACUAGUAAAAUAUUUUCCUUCUGUCUUCGCCCGUAGAAGUAGGCUAAAAGCCGAACCACGUAAUUUCCUGGUGUCCUCUUUGUGCUUGUUCUUUAUUUUUUUUCAAUUUUAUUUUAGCUGCGGCCCUGCUUCACCCACCAAUUUUCUAACAUCGUCUUCACUGUCACCCUGUGCCUAGGUAAUGCGUGCAAAUCAUGGGGUUGAAUACACUAUUGCUGAAUUCAAUCCAAUUCAGUGGACAUUUGACAAUUCUCCCCAGGUGAGAUUGGACUUCUAGUUUCUUGUAUUUGUUUUUCUUCAUCCGAUGUUUUCAGGGAUACCUAUUUGGCAGUAUAUAAAAAUCUGUGAUAUCGUCUAUACAUAUACAUAUACAUCAUUGGCUUCAGUCAUUUGUGAACAUAUUGGUGGUAGUAGAUGUAUUUUUAUGAUAUCUCUAAUAAAAUCCUAAGUUUGAUUAAUUACAAAAGAAGUAUGAGCGGUGCUGGACCGGGGGGGAGGGGGGAGGAGUGGGGUGUCGGUGUGUUGGGGGUGUGCAGUGCAUGAAUAAAAGGAAAUGAUAGGGGGUGAAAGUUUGUGCUACCGACAUGCUGUAAAAUGGGGACACAAUAUUUCAAAUUAGAGAUUGUGAGAUCCUUAAUAUUGCUGACUUGUGCUUAAAAUGGAAUUCUUGAUAACUUCAAAUGUUAAAGUUCUUGGUGAAAUUUUGUACUUUCUUUUCUUUCAGAUUCUUGUGCCUAUUGCAAAUGGUUCAGAGGAGAUGGAAGCUGUUAUGAUAAUUGAUAUUCUGCGACGAGCUAAAGCAAAUGUUGCAGUUGCAUCAGUUGAGGAUAAACUAGAAAUUCUGGCUUCGUCAAAUUAAAUUAGUGGUAGAUGUGCUCAUUGAUGAGGCGGCUAAACUUUCGUAUGAUUUAGUUGUCUUGCCAGUGAGUUGGGGUGCUUACUCUUGCUUCAUAGUCUUUACCACAUUAUUGACUUACUAACUACAAUUUAUCCAUGCACAUUGCACAGGGUGGACUUGGUGGCGCUCAAGCAUUUGCGAAGUCAGAUAAAUUGGUGAAUAUGCUAAAGAAGCAAAAGGAAUCAAAUAGACCUUACGAUGCUAUAUGUGCAUCCCCAGCUUUAGUGUUGGAGCCCCGUGGCUUACUCAAGGUACGACCAUUUCUGCUUAAAUUAUUUACUCAGAUUUGGAUCACCUAAUCUGAACUUGAUGAGAGAUUAUGAUGUUGUAUGAUUUUAUGAAUGUGGUCUUAUCUCAUGUAAGUCAGUGAUGAAUUAAUUGGAGUUUGUUGACAAAUUAGAAGCUGAAAAACUGCUGCUGCUUCGUUAGUUACAUUACCCAAAGAGUUAAAAUUAACAUCACAAAUUUGUUAUCCCAAAUGAUAUGGCAUUUAUUGAGUGAUUGGUAUUAAUUGUAUUAUCUAACCCACCAACAGAUGAAUGCCGCACCAUUUGAGACGAUCUUUUGGGAUAAAAAAUUUGGGAAGUGCAGCAAAUUUUUAUGCCGAUUUUUUUUGGCUUCAUUCAUGUAAACUCCUCCCCCCCCCCCCCCAAAAAAAAAGGAAAACCAGCAAACACCAAAAAAAAAAAAUUCUGAAGUACUUCCCUUAAUAUCAUUCCUGUGUAUUUCUUUUCCCCUCAAGACAUAUUUAACUUUGGUUCAGGGUAAAAAAGCUACAGCUUUUCCUGCCAUGUGCAACAAGCUGUCAGAUCAGAGUGAAAUCGAAAACAGAGUUGUGGUUGAUGGCAACCUCAUCACCAGUAGAGGGCCAGGAACUUCAAUGGAGUUUGCACUGGCAGUUGUGGAGAAGUUUUUUGGCCGCAACAAGGCACUUGAGCUUGCAAAGAUAAUGCUUUUCACUCGCGCCUAACGUUUGUACCGGGACCUGACUACUAUUAAACUAGUGUGUUUAUUUCUGUAUUACUACUGCUUGUAGAGAGGGGAAACGGAAACUUGAAUUCAUGUUUGAAUAUGGAUUCACUGUGUCGGUUUGUACAGCAGUUUGGUUUAUAAAUAAAUGAGUUCAUAGAGUCAUUUCAAAUAUUUGGAAUAAACCUGAGUUUAGUUCUGUUAUCAAUGGUCGGAGUCCAAUUGCGAUCGACUCACUGGGAAUUUUAAUUAUGACCACCUUUCUCAUAUAUAUAUAUAUAUAUAUCAAAUGUUAACUCGAUUUACAGGAUAAGAAGGAAAAGAAAGACGUUAAGAGAGGAGCAGAGACCCAAAAAGAGUUGACCACUUUGUUGGAGCAUAAAUCUCUAGAAUAUUGAAAUAAAACACAUACCAUAUCUAGUAUUAAGUAUGUAUAUGCAAGAAGAUACAAAUUUGAAGAUCAGAUUUCUCAUUUCAAUUUAUGUUCUGCUUAGAGCAAUGGCUCUCAUUCCACAAGCACAAACAGGAAAGAGUACGCAUGAAGUUAGGAAACAAACAUAGCAAAAUUUGCAUUAACUACUUGCAGCAACAUCAUCCAAGAACUUGACUUUAAUCUUCUUGAGCUUCGCUGCAGCAUCUGUCAUAUGCAUUCUCUUGUCAGGUGACUCCAUACAACAAUCCAAAGCCAAAUCCAUGAUGCUUAAUAAACAAUCCAUUUUGGCAGAAAAAGCUUGCUCUUCUCGCACCAAAUUUGUGUCAACAACUUCACUCAAUCUGUGAGGUAAUGACUCCUUUACCCAUCUCCUUAAACUCAUUUCUCCUGUGAACAUUUCAUCGGUGGGCCUCUUUCUCGUGAAAGUUUCCAUCAAUAACACACCAUAGCUGUAGACAUCGCAUUUGGCUGAAACAAUUCCUUCUGAUCCAUACUCUGCAUUUUUUAAUUUUAAUUAUGAAAAAAAUGAUAAAACAAAUAAUUUUUUGAUAAUUAAGGUAACCCAAACUUUGCUCGUGCUUGAAAAAAGAGUAAAAAUUUUAAUUACAAUUGAAACUUUACCUGGUGCCAUAUAACCAAUUGUAGCCAUUGUCGUGGUUUGUGUCACAGAAUCUUCUCCUUCACCUAAGAGUUUGGAAAUGUGCCACCAUAUUUUCAUCCAAGAGAAUGUUGGUAGGCUUCAAAUCACAGUGAAUUAUAGGUGCCGACGAAUGACCAUGACGGAGAUAUUCAAGAGCCGACCCCACAUCUAUCAUUAUAUUCAACCUCUCUAGAAUGUCUAAGAAAUAGUUGUGAGAAUACAACCACUUCUCUAGACUACCAUUCGGCAUGAACUCAAGUACCAAUGCUUUGAAAUCUGGAUUAGAACAACUGCUAAUGAUCUUUAUGAGAUUUCGAUGACGAACAUUCCGUAAAACUUCACAUUCAGAAUCAAAACUCCUAAAUGCUCUCUCUAGUUGCAGAUUGAAAAUCUUUAUCGCAACAUAAGUCCCGUUGGAAAUGGUUCCUUUAUAAACUGAUCCAAAGCUACCUGUACCCAGCAAGUUACAUUCAUUAAAUUCAUCAGUUGCUCGUUGAAUGUCUAGGUACGAUGUUCUUCUCCAUGUUGCAAGAGGUAGGAAAUCUUCGUGAUCUGAUUUUUUUGUACUCCUCUUUCGGCAUCUUAUGUACAUAAUGAUGAUAAUUACUAUAAGUACAGAGGAUACUAUCGGAGGCAAAAUAUAUUUAAGGACAAUUAGAGCAACGUUCUUGGUGCUUUUGCUGUCACCUUGUUUGCAAGGUGGGACUCGGAGUUUAGGUGGACCACAGAGUGCAUAAUUUUUGAAAAAUGAUUCAACUGACAAGUUUUUAAAAGAUCCCUUAACAGGAAUUUACCCUUCUAGCCUAUUAUGAGACACAUUAAAUUGUUUGAGAUGUGAAAGUGUCUCCAAUGACUUGGGAAUUUUUCCAGAGAGAUUGUUGCCGGAGAGAUCUAAGGAUUCUAAGCUUAUCAAACUGCCAACUGAUUCAGGAAUAGGUCCUUGAAAUUGAUUACUAGCCAAGGAUAGAAUUUCUAGAUCUACGAGGGCACCAAUAGUUGAUGGAAUAUCACCUGAUAAUUGAUUCCUUGAUAAAUCUAAAACUCUCAAGACCUUUAACUUUUGUAUAUUGGAAGGGAGAGAAUCAUUUAAUGAAUUUGACGACAAGUUUAUCAUCAGGAUGUACUCAAGGCUCCACAAGGAUGACGGUAUACUAGAACUGAGCUUGUUGGAGCCUAAGUGGAGUUCUCUUAGAGAUGUCAAACUCGCCAGGCACGGUGGUAUAUGUCCAGAGAGCUUAUUUCCACUUAAGUUUAAUAUAUUCAACCUCUCCAAAUGGCAAAGAUCAUGAGGAACGUAUCCUUGCAAAUUAUUCUCAGGGACAUAAAAACCUUGUAGCUGCUGUAGUGUGCCUAUGGAUGUUGGAAUAGUUCCAUUCAAGUCAUUGAAGCCGAGUCUUAAGGCGAUCAAGCCACGUAAAUUACCAAUUUCUUAUGGAAUGCUGCCCCCGAGCCUGCACUCGAAUGCAUAAAUAUUCUGAAGAGAAGCAGAGAAAUUUCCAAUUAAUUGUGGAAGGAUGCCACCUAAUGGAUUAGAAGCUAAGGCUAAAUUGGAUAGAUUUCUGCAAUUAGUCAAAGAAGAGAGAAAACUCCACUGAUCUGCUGAAGAGGAUUCUGUCGUCAAGUUAUUCAUCAUAACGUUGAGCACGCUGAGGUGUCUCAAGUUGCCAAAUGUAUUUGGAAUAUGGCCCGAGAAUGAGUUAAAGCCCAAGUCUAGGCCAAUGAGUUUAGUAGCAUUGGUAAUAGAGUUGGGAAUUUUCCCUAUAAGAUUAUUGGUCGACAAGGCUAGAUACUCUAUGUUCCGAAGCGAGUGGCCAAUCGUUGACGGUAAGCGGCCUGAGAGUUGAUUGCUCUCUAGAGUAAGGAUUCUCAUGGUUGAAAUAUUGAAGAUCGUGGGUGGAAUGAGGCCACUUAAUUUAUUAUCAGCAAGAUCAAGAUUCUUCAAAUUUUGUAGACUGCCAAUCUCGGUUGGAAUUUGACCUGCCAUCAGGCCAACAUUGAGAAGUCAUUGAGCUUUUAACUUAAGGUGAAUUGAGUUUGACAAUGUUACCCUUCAAAAUGUAAAAUGAUCAAAUUAAAUUUAUUACAUAAUAAUUUCAGCCAAUAAUGUUCUUUAAAAUAUUUCAUAGAUAACUCUGCAAAAUAUGCACGCAAAUGGAAAAUUAUGCUUUAAUUACAAGAGGUGGUGGAACGUACCUUGAAGAUUGCAAGACCAAAGACCCAGAUUCACGAGUUUUCUCAAAUUUCCAAUCCUUGAAGGAAUAGUUCCACCAAUAAUAUUGAACUCUGCACGCAGCAUCUCUAGCCUUGAUAAGUUGAAGAGAGAAUUAGGGAUGGGACCUGUGAAAUUGUUAUAAUCAAGUCUCAAUAUUCGAAGUUUAGAUAAGACACCAAUCCAUGAUGGAAAGCUUCCGCUCAAUUUAUUGUAAGCGAGACUCAUGACUCUGAGUCGACGUAAUUGCCCCAAUUCUUUCGGCAGAUGGCCAUGAAAAUUGUUCUCACUGAUGUCAAGAGACACUAGAAAUGAGAGAUUUCCGAAGUGUAGUGGAAUCGUGCCUCCGAGACCCAUAUCUGAAAGAUUCAAGGCAGUGACUCUUUGAUGGCGUGAACCACAAGAGAUACCAGCCCAGCUACAUAUUGGAUAAGAUAUAGACCAAUUAUUUGCCAGGGCACUCCGAUAAUCAAAAGCAUGGGCUUUGAAUGCUAGAAGAGAUGAUUGAUCUGUUGUUAAAUCGUUUAAAGUCGUCAUAGCUAAGCUGGCAAUGAGAUAUUGUAACACCAACAUAGGAACAAACAAGAAUAUAAACGCAUAUUGGUCGUUUUUAAUAGUAGUUGCAAGGCGAGAUUGAUACAAGUUUUAAGUGAAGGAAAUUAGCAUAUACUUAUAAUGAGACAUAUGAAUUUGAAAAUAAGAGCAGAAAAAAAAUACAGGAGACUUGCGAAUUGUUAUAUUCUCUCAUUGAGCGAGCCGUCCAAGAAAACGCAUUUAUACUUGAACCCUAAAUAAAGGCCUUAUGGCACUUUAAUUGCCAAAAGGAAGAAGAUGUUCUUUUUCUAAGGCUUAUGGCAACCAUAAUAUGUUCUUUUUCUUUUCUCUAAAAAGAAAAAAAAAAAAAAAAGGCAACCUUCACUUGACUUGGUCUAAUAAUUAUCACUAAACAAUUAAUAAUACUAAGGGUCAGUGGCAUCCAGCUUUAAAAUAACGACAUAAUUGGGGUAAGUUGUGUUUUAGAAAUAAAGAAAAUAGAUAACUAUACCUCCAUAAUUUGAUGAAAUAAUCAUAUAGACUUUCAAAUUUUUAAGAAUGGAUACUAAAACCCUGUUAUGUUACUUUCUACAGUUUAUUUAGAUGUCAAAUGCCUUUUUUUUUUUUCUCCUUUUUUCCACUGUGGAUGUCAAAUGUAAAAUUUAUUGUUAUUCCAAUAUCAUGUCAUCACUUGCUUCUAUACAUGGAACGAUAUAUUGACUGUUUUUCCAAAGUUUUAAAUUGAAUUAAAAACAUUCUAAUUAACCUUUAAAAAAAAGUCAUCCAACCAAAUAUAAAUCUUCUAAUUAACCUAAAAAUAGCUACGCCCCCUAUUAAUUUGAAUUAAAUAAAUCUUCAUUUUUGUCAUGAUUUUGGAUCGCCAAUGGGGUGGAUAUAUCCAACCAGAUCCGCCUCAUUGGCAUUCCUAUAUAUUCUGGAAUUGGAAGAGUAUCAACGACUUAAUGUGUAAUUCUAAAUUUGUAACGUUUAAUUCUAAUUUGAGGAUUCAAAUGAAUUUAUGAUGAUCUAAAAGGGGACUGAAGAUUGGCAUGCAUACACACAUACACACAUACAUAUAUGUAUAUAUAUAUAGAGAGAGAGAGAGAGGGGUAAUAUAAUAACAUUCUUCUUGAUGAAGAUUUUUGUGCCAUACGAAUUAAAUAAAGUGUUGUGUCGACGUUCGAGGCUAGAUUGGUUACAUUGCUUCAGAGGUGUUUAGUAGAAACUUUGUUGAGGCAUCACAUAAUUGAAAUUACUAGAUUUAGCGAGAUGUAUAUAUUUUCCACAUCUUCGAGCAGGUGUUUAGCAGGAUAAGCAUCGAGGAAAGUGAAAUUGCUAAGAAGAUGAAUAUUGUUGUUUUGUGGUGUAUACGGACUCGUCCAUCGGAUAGGUCGCCCAUGAACAGAGUGAUAGAAAUGUUAUUGCAAAGAAGCAGACUGACUAGCAGUGACGCUUUGAAAAGUCCACCGGACAUCUUCUCCUCCAAGACCACCAAUAUAUUCUUCCACCAUUCAACGUCGUGACGUGGGGAUCGGAAUUAAAUUAUAGGAUGCUUGUAAGUUUCCUUUGUGGAACUUGUGAAUUUGUGAUGGCAAAAGUCGAUGAUGUAUGCAACUAGCCGGCCCGUGUAGAGUCCGUUUGACUCAUAAAUAUUUGUCACUUUCACUCUUUUUCAAAACCCAAAAGCACGCUAAAUCUUAAUCUUAAAACAAUUUUUGAUUGAGUGCUGACAUUUUGGGCUUAUCUUUAAGUAAUCUUAUACCACGCAUGCAUUUUUGUCGUUGUGCGGUCAUCGUUACUUCUAAAGAUCGUAAUCUUUAAGAAAAAAAUUACUUCUCUUGAAAGUGAAAGCAGGGCAGCUAUUGGCGUAUUGCAAUGCAGCUGCUAUGUAUAGUAGUCAAUUCUUGAAAAGAACUAGUUUUCUUAAAUUGUAAAUGGUCCCCUUUAUGACUGGGAGAUUUUGAACAAAAUGAAUAUGAUGAAUUCUUUCCUUGAAGUCUCAUCUUUCAUAAUGAUUUGGAAAUAAAGAUAUUACCAUCUCUGGCUAAAUGUUUACUCUUGAUUUGGACCACCUAAUCUGAACUUGAUGAAAGAUUAUGAUCUUGCCUUAUUUUAUGGAUGUGGUCUUAUCUCACUAAGUCAGUAAUGAAUUAAUUAAAGUUUACUGUCAAAUUACGAACUCAAAAACUGCUGCUGCUUCAUUAUUCACAAUACCCAAAUUCAGUGCAGAACUUAUUAUAAGUUUUCCGAAAGUUUUAUGCUUUCUUUCCCCCAAAUCCCAAGUGCUUCCUGUAAUAUCAUUCCCCUGUAGAUGUCUUCUCCUAAGACAUGUUUAACUUUGGUUCAGGGUAACAAAGCUAUAGCUUUUCCUGCCAUGUGCAACAAGCUACUAAAUUGGAGUAUUUAUGAGUUGAUAACAAGCCAUUUUAAAUAUUUGCACCAAAAAAAAAAAAAAAGGUGAGUGAUGUCGAGUUCUAAUUUCAAUGUUCAGAGUAGAAUUUUGAUUACUGGAAAUUUUAAUUUAUGAAGUUGAACUAAGAAUUUGUUAUAAUAUAUUCCACCUUCCUAUACAGUCAUCUGGAAUAAUAAUAUAUCAAAAACAGUAAUAAGUCGAUUUGCAGGGUAAGAAAGAAAAGAAAGACGCUACGAGAGAAGCAGAGAUUCAAAGACUUCACCACUUUGUUGGAGGAAAAAUUUCAUAAGUCUCCAGAAUAUUGACAUAAAACACAUACCAUAUCUAGCAUUAAGUGUAUUUAUAUAUGUCCAAAGAUAAAAAUCGAAGAUUAGAUUUGUCAUUUCAAUUUAUGUUCUGCUCAAAGCAAUGGCUUUUAUUCCACAAGCACAAACAAGAAAGAGUACGCACAAAGUUAACAAGCACACAUAGCAAACAUGACAUCAACUACUUGCAGCAGCAUCAUCCAGAAACGUCACUAUAAUCUUCGUAGAUGCCCCCUGUUCUGGUGAUUCCAUGCAAAAAUCCAAUGCCGAAUGCAUGCUGCUUAAUAAACAACUCAUUUUAGCAGAAAAAGCUUGCUCUUCUCUCACCAAGUUUGCAUCGACAACAUCACUCAAUGCAUGAGUUAAUGACUCCCUUACCCAGUCUCUUAAACUUAUUUCUCCCGUAAAUAUUUCAUUUGUCGGCUUGUUUCUGGUGAAAGUUUCCAUCAAUAAAACACCAUAACUGUAGACAUCACCUUUGGCCGAAAUCAUUCCUUCUAAUCCGUACUCUGCAUUUUUUUGUUUCAAUUGAUCAAAUAGAUGUGACAUCAUAAAACAAAUGAUAAACAAAUAAUCUUUUGACAGUCAAGAUGGCCCAAACUUUGACUGUGCUUAGAAAAGAGCGGAAAUUUGAAAUUAUAAUUGAAACCUUACCUGGUGCCAUAUAACCAGUUGUAGCUACUGUCAUGAUUUGGGUCACAGAAUUUUCUUCAUCACCUAAGAGUUGGGAAAUGCCAAACUCACAUGUGCCACCAUAUUUUCAUCCAAGAGAAUGUUGCUAGGCUUCAAAUCACAAUGAAUUACAGGUGCUGAUGAAUGAUCGUGAUGGAGAUAUUCAAGUGCCAGCUGCACAUCUAUCAUUGUAUUCAUCCUCUCUAGGAUAUCUAGGAAAUAGUUGUGAGAACACAACCAUUUCUCAAGACUACAAUUGAGCAUGAACUCAAGCACCAGUACUUUAGAAUCUGGAUCGCAACAGCUGCUAGUGAUCUUUAUGAGAUCUUGAUGACGAACAUUCCACAGUACUUCACAUUCAGAAUCAAACCUCCUAAAAGCUCCCUCUAGCUGCAGAUUGAAAACCUUUAUUACAAUGAUAGUCACAUCAUAAAGUGUGCCUUUAUAAACAUAUCCGAAGCUAUCCGUACCUAGCAGGAUACAUUCAUCAAGGGUGCGUUUGGGAUUGGGGUUGGGCAGCUGUAGCUUAAAAGCUACAGCACUAAAGUGUUUGGUAAACACUAACUGCUGUAGCUUUAAAGCUAUGUUGAUAUGAUUUUUCACUUGUAUAAUAUAAAAUUUAUUAUAUCUUUAAUAAUCUUAUCAAAAUUAGUAUUUAAAAUUUAUAUUUACUAUAUAUUAUUAACUUUUGUUUCAUAAUUACAGCUUUUUUUUCACAACAGCUGUAGCUUAAAAGCUACAGCACCUCAAUCCCAAACACACCCUAAAUCCAUCAGUUGCUCGUUGAAUAUCAUGAUAGGAUAUUCUUCUCCAUGUUGUCGAAGAGAACAAAUCUUCUUUAUCUGGAGUUCUUGUUUUCCUAUUUUGAAAUAUUAUGAAGAAUCAUAACAAUUGUUAUUAGUACAUUGGAUAUAAUUGAAGGCAAAGUAUAUUUCCGGACAAGCAGAGUAGCAUUCUUGGAUCCUUUGCUAUUAUCUUCUUUGCAAGGUGGGACUUGAAGUCUUGGUGGACCGCAUAGUGCAUAAUUCUCAAAAAAACGAUUGAGCUGAAAUGUUUUUAAAAGGUCCUUUGAUAGGAAUUCCCCCUUCUAGCUUGUUGUGAAAAUUUUAAUAUACUCGCAAGCACACGAAUUUAGAAAUAUAAUAAUGGUAACGAGGGCGAUCCCACGUGGAUUGUUAUAAAUUGAAAAGUUUAAUUUAAAUCUAAAAUUAAUAUUAAUCAUAACCUAGUUGAGCGAAUUGAGUUUUAAAAGAAAUUAAACUAAUUAAACUAAGAAAACAAUUAAAGUAAAUGAGAUUUCAAUAAGAUAAAAAUUACCAAGGUUUCAGAAUCCACCACUAUUCAACUAGUAAUUAUCUAAUUAUUAAUUAAUCCCUAAUUUUAGAGUGACAACUCGAAAUCAAUUUAUGUCAUCUCAUGGAUACAACAAUUAAGUCAAAUAAAAUUAAUCUUGUGUAGGUUCUUUUUCUGCUUAAUAGUAUGAUAUCUAAGUAUUCCAUGUAAACAUAUUGAGUAACAAAGAGUCAAAGUUUUCCUAAGUACUCUGUGUAAAUAAUUUAAUAAAAGACAUAGAAUCAAAGAUAAUCAUAUAUAAACUUUAUAGAUUCAAGCAUAGAUUUAAUCGAAUAUUAAUCGUAACAAUCAAUAAUACAUGACAGAAUUAAUGAAAAGAUUUUAAUAACAUCUAAUUAAUCAUGUAAAAUAAAAACCAUAAUCAUCAAAGAAUAUCUAUAGGGAAUUAAAUAAAUAAAAAGAUAAUUAUUUCAUUGAAUAGAGUUUCAUCCUUAAGCUCAGUAUAAGAAAAUUAACUAGACGUACUUAAAUAGGGAGCAACAAAAAAAAUAAAAUCAGCCAUGAAAAGCCGAACUGUUGCAGUCGGAUUUCUCCCUAAUCGCGUCUGCGCUUUUCUUUUCUUUUCCUCUGGCGGCUGCCCCUCCUCUCCAAAAGCCAAAAGCUUGCUUUUAUAUUUAGUCUUUAAAAUGGGCCCCACCUCUUAAAUUCUAAAAAGGGCUUGGCCCUUUUAUUUGCUUCGUCUUGCACGUGCACUCCACUUGGAAUUUUCACUCUUUUUUUUAACGCCAUACAAUUGCUUCUCACGUGAUGGCCAUAAUCUUCUUUAUCUUCAUGUGCAUGGAUGAAUGAACUUGUCUUGAAUUCACAUGCAUAUUUGCCUAAUUGCUCCUAAAAUCAAUCAAUUAAUACCUCCAAAAUUUAGCUCUUUUAUGUCCUUUUUUAUCCAUAAUCUCCAAUUAAUCCCCUACUCAAUAAAAUAAUUCAAUUAAUUAAAAAUAACAAAUAAAAAUAACUAGCAAUUAUAUAAUUAAGGGUAAAAUAUGUAUGUAUUAUAUACUCAUCAUAGCUUAUUGUGAGACACAUUACGUUGUUUAAGAUAUGAGAGUGCCUCCAUUGACUUUGGAAUUUCUCUAGAGAGAUUGUUGCUAGGGAGAUCCAAAGAUUCCAACCUUAUCAAACUACCAAAUGAUUCAGGGAUCAGACCAUAAAAUUGGUUUCUAGCCAAGGAUAAAGUUGCUAGAUCUUUGAGGCCACCAAUACUUACUGGUAUAUCAACUGAUAAUUGAUUUCUUGAUAAAUCAACUCUAUUAAGACCUUUAAGUUUUGUAUAUCUGAAGAUAGAGGACCACUUAGAGAAUUUGUUGACAAGUUUGCAUACAAGAUGUACUCAAGACUCCACAAGGAUGAUGGGAUACUAGAAGUGAGCGUGUUGGAGCUUAAAAAGAGUGUUCUUAGAGAAGUCAAACUACCCAAGCAUUGCAGUAUAUGCCCGAAGAGCAUAUUUUGAUUUAAAAAUAAACCAGUCAACCACUCCAAGCGGCAAAGAGUUAAAAGAUAAAAUGCUCUGUAGAUUUUGUUUGUUUACUUAGAAAACAGGAGAGAAAGUUUAUUGACUUAGAGAAAAUACAAAGCUCAACAUAUUCAUUAAUUACAAUACAACACUAUUUAUAUUAGUGUGUAAAAUCUUCUCAAGGUUACAAGUUUACAAAACUUGUGAGCACAGAUUCUGGUAUUCAUAACAAACUUUUGGAGGGAAGCUAAUUAGCUUUCAACUAACUGCAAAACUAACUUUCCAGCAUGGCUUGAUGACUCAGCAGAUGACUCAGCAUUUUAUUCUUAACAUGCCCCCGUAAGCUCAAGGUCGUGGACAGACAUUGAGCUUAGUUCGCAUAUAGGCAAAAUGAUCAAAGCUCAGAGGUUUUGUAAGCACAUCAGCUAACUGAUUAGAACUGGACACAUGCUCAAUGAAUAGCUGCUUAUUAGCUAUGUGUUCUCUGACAAAAUGUCAAUCCAAUUCUAUAUAUUUAGUUCUGGAAUGAUACUUAGGAUUGCUGACCAAAGCUUCUGCACUGUUGUUAUCACAAUGAAGAGCAAGAGGUUUGUGGAGUGAUACUUUGAGCUCUUUCAACAGAUAUGUAAUCCACAAAACUUCAGACAUAGCCAAGGCUAAAGCUCUAUACUCAGAUUCAACAGAUGAUCUGGAAAUAAUGUUUUGUUUCUUAGAUGACCAAGACACAAGGUUUGAUCCAAGAUAAACACAAUACCCUCCAAUAGAUCUCCAGUCAUCUGGAUCAGACCCCCAAUCUGCAUCAGAAGAUGCUAUGAGAAUUGGAGAGCUUGACUUGAAGAACUAAAGUCCAAAAUGUGUUGUACUCUGCAGAUAUCGUAACACCCUCUUGCAAGCCUGCCAAUGCAAAGUAGUUAGAGCAGCUAAAAACUGGCUCAAUUUAUUUACUGUGAAUGCAACAUCUGGUCUGGUCAGUGUCAGAUAUUGCAGAGAACCAAUGAUGCUUCUGUAAAGUGAAGAAUUUUCAAAUGUGCAGCCUUUGUCCUUCUGCAACUUAUCAGCAACACUGAUGGGUGUAUUACAACCUUUUUUUUUUUUUUGAGAAGGGUGUAUUACAACCUUUACUUCCAAGCAUUUGAGCUUUUCUCAAGAUAUCACCAACAUACUUAGUCUGAGAUAGAUGUAAUCCUUCAGCAGAUGGAGUCACUUCUACCCCAAGGAAAUAAUUGAAAUCUCCUAAAUCUUUAAGUGCAAACUCUGAGCUGAGUUGACUGAUAACCUCUGUAAUGUAAACAUUACUAGAGACUGUUAUUAAGAUAUCAUCUACAUAGACAAGGAUGAUUAGAACAUCACAUCCAAUAUGCUUAAAAAAUAAUGAGGUUUCUGACUUGGAAGACCUGAAACCCCACUGAACUAGAGAUCCUUUCAGCCUAUCAUACCAAGCCCUGGGAGCCUGUUUAAGACCAUAAAAGGCUUUAUGUAAUUUGCAGACAUGAUUGGGAAACUGGGAAUUGGUAAAGCCUUCUGGCUGAGGCAUAAACACAUCUUCAGUAAGCAUGCAAUUAAGAAAGGCAUUGUUAACAUCUGAUUGCCGAAUUGGCCAACAAUUCAUGACUGCUAAGCUGAGAACAAUACGAACAGUGCAGGGUUUAACAACGGGACUAAAGGUUUCAAAGAAAUCUACUCCAUAAGUUUGAUGAAACCCUUUUGCAACCAACCAAGCCUUAUACUUGGAAAUGCUGCCAUUUGGGUUAUACUUCACUCGAAAAACCCACUUAUUGCCAACAAGUUUUGUAGCUGUUUCAGCUGGAACUAAUGUCCAGGUGCCAUUUUUCUGCAAAGCAUUAUACUCAUCUUGCAUAGCCAUCUUCCACUUUGUAUCAACCAAGGCUGCUUUAACACUCACUGGUUCAAGGUCUUGGGUAGCUGUAAGGUAGGUCUUUGGUUUAAAAACACCAGAUUUGGCUCGAGUAACCAUUGGAUGAGUGGAAAUUAUAGGAUGAGGAGAUGGUUGUGAUUCAACAUAAGGAUUGGAUAAAGAAUUAUGUGAUGAAGAAUGUGGUCAUGAUGAGUUAGAGGAAUCUGAUAUUGGAGAGGGACAAUGAGAAUAUGGAGCUUGUUGAGGUUGUUGAGGUGAAUGUGAAGAUGGUGAUAUUGGUAACACUACUGAAGCAGGAGAUAUAGCAGAUGACUGAUGCAAGCCAUUGUCAUUGAGGAUACAAAUAGAUGGAGAGUAGGAUGAUAGAGACUCAGAGGAAGAUUCAGAUGAGAAGAACAACUCUGAGUAGGGAAAAUCAGACUCAUUGAAAAUAAUAUGAGCUGCAACAUAGACUUUGCCUGAUUUUGUUAGACAUCUAUACCCUUUGUGAAGAGGACUGUAUCCUAAGAACAACCUUUUUUUUUUAAUGAAAGUCAAGCUUGUGGUUAUUGUAAAGUCUGAUAAAAGGGUAACAAGCACAGCCAAAAACUCUGAGAAGUUGGUAAUUUGGUGGCUGAUUAUGAAGUUUUUGAUAGGGAGAUAAGUUGUUAAAUGUAGUGGUAGGCAUUCUAUUAAUGAGAUAAGAGGCUGUAUGAAAAGCCUCCCACCAGAAAGAAAUAUGCAUUUUUGCUUGAGCAAGAAGUGUUAAUCCAAUUUCAACUAAGUGUCUAUGCUUUCUCUCAACAACACCAUUUUGGUGAUGUGUAUAGGGACAACUAAAUCUAGCUUGGAUGCCUUCUUAUUGAAGAAAGGACUGAAAGAUUUUAAAUUCACCUAAGCUCUUAAAGUUUUUUAAAGUAGUAAGAGCAUAUGAUUUCAAUACUAAGGGAAAGAUCCAACAAUAUCGGGUGAAAUCAUCAACAAAGGAGAUAUAGUAUCUAUAACCAUCCAAUGAUAAGACAAGUGCUGGUCCCCAUAAAUUUGUGUGUAUCAAUUCUAAAGGACAUUUUGUUUUGAUUUCAGUAGCUGGAAAAUGCAAUUGGUGUAACUUUCCAAGUUGACAGGCAUCACAGAAAUGAAAAAUUGAUUUGUUAACAUGAACUGACAGUAAACAAUUGUUCCUGAGAAUAGUUUGUAUAACAUGUUUGCUUGGAUGACCAAGUCUGUUAUGCAAUACAUUAGCUGACAUAGAACCUGAAGCUUGAAAGCUUAUAGGAGAUGUAGACUCAAAACAAAAGCCAUUAUUUGAAUUUUGAACAGAAGUAACUGCAUUAUUGAAAGAAAGGGUUGACAUCAUAGAACUAGGAUGACACAUUUGCAGAAAAGAAGAGGAAUGAGAGAUAUAUUCCUCUUUUGACAGUAGCUUGUACAGACCAUCUUUAGCAAUCCCUUGAGCUAACAGAGUGCCCUUCGCCUUGUAUUUUAGAAAGCAAAUGUAACACCCCAAAAAUUACCCAUGAAAACACAAGGGUAAAAUUGGAAUGAAACCUCACAUCAUUUAUUCUUAUUAAUAAAUCUCAAGAUAAACAAUCAUUAUUCAUACUCCAACUGAAUCCUUACAUAAAACAUAUGAAAUAAAGUCUCCAAAGUAAAGUCUCUAAUCCAAAAUAAAAAGUCUAGCCAAAUUUAAUCUUUAAAGCAACUCCAAAGAUCCACUAAGAAAAAUUCUCCAUCUAAGCACCCAAGCCACAUUUCUAAUCAAUCUGCAAAAUAUUAGAGACGAGGGGUGAGCCGUCAACUCGGUAAGCAGAUCCAUGCACAAUAUUUGAAAACCUUUGUCAUGUAUCGUUAAACAUUUUAUAACAACAUCUUCAUUUAGCAUAAGGGGUGGAUUCAUAUAAAAACAUUAAAACAUUUAUAAAAACAUUAAAGCGUAAACAUUGGUAGCUCAUGCCUCAUAGUCAUCAUCAUUCAUCAUUCAUCAUUCAUCAUUCAUCAUUUAGGGUGUUAUACCCUGCAUUGUUCCUCAUUCAGGGUACUAUACCCCACAUUGUUCGUAACAUCCUUGUGCACAAGAUCAUCAUCAUACCAGCAAGCUGGCCAUAACAUUUCAUAACAUCAUAACAUUAACAUCAUAUACAUUACUACGGACUAUGAGCCAAAACAUUUUUGAAUCCACCAUACAUUCUUUCAUAAAUAGCAGUUAAAGUCUUCUAAAACAUUUAAGAACCUUUCUUUGAUCAUUUAAUUCUUUUAGAAAAUUCUUUAAGAAAACAUUUUGUUUAAGAAAACUAAUUUCUUAAGAAAAAUUAAUUUUAAAAUAAUUUUAUAUAAAUUCAUUUAAAAGUGUUUUUAUUUUACAAAAUUAAUUUAAAUAUUUUAGAAAUCAGUUUUGUAAAAAUUUCCAUUUAAACAUAAUUUGUAACGUAAAUUGCAUUUAUUAUAAAGCACAUCAUGCAUGAAUCUACUUACCUCGAUCCGUAGCAAUCAAUUCAAUACCUCAAGAACAACCAACGAGCUCACCCUCGUCCUAUAAUCAUCAUAAAAAUAUUCUUAUCAAUAUCAUCUCUAACCUUAAACAUAAUCCCAAUCAUCCUUAAAUCAUAGACACUAAUACUACCUUAAUACUUAUACAUAUUCUAAACAUAUCCUAUACUUAUGAGUAUCCUGCACAUGCUGAUUUUUAAUAACCUAUACACAUGUCGGAAAACCAUGAAAAUUUACAGAGGCACUGUGAACAUGCAUAGCAUUGCAUACAAUAUUUCACAAAAAAAUCAGCACAAGUCAAAAUCGAGUCAGAAUAUUGACCUUUCACCAAAGUUAGAGCUGGCAAAAUGGGUCAUCGGGUCGUGUUCGUGUCGUGUCAGCUUCGUGUCGUGUCAAAUUUAGGUCGACCCAAACCCGACCCAUUUAAUAAUCGUGUCAAAAUAUUGAGAUCCAAACCCGACACGGAAAAAUAACCGGGUUACCCAAUAACCCGUUUAAUAUCUAUAUAUUGAACAAAAGUUACAUCAAAUAUUUACACACUAUCAUACAUACGUAUGUACAUAAAUACAUACAUACAUACAUACAUACAUAAUUUAUCGAUAUUAUAAAAUAUACAUAUCUACCAAUAUAUUACACAUGUACACUAUUGAGUUUUAAUUAUAUAUAUAUAUAAUAUUAUAUAUCAAUAUUAUAAAAUAUACAUGUCUAUCAAUUUUUACACAUUUACACUAUUGAAGCUCUAAAUGUAUGUAAAAUUUUAUAAAUAAAAUAUUGUGUUUAUAUUCACCCUUUUAAAGAAUAAAAAAAAAAAGAAAAUCAUCUCUAAUAUUUGAGUUUUAAUUAUAAGAAUAUGUAAAUUAUUUUAAAAUAGAAAAUAUAAUCGGGUCAUUGAUCGGGUAAAUGGGUCAAGAAUUUUAACCCAAACCCGACACAGAAAAAAAUCGUGUUGACCCAGACCCGACCCAUUUAAUAAUCGUGUUAAAUUUGACGACCCAUACCCAUUUAUUUAUGUCGUGUUCGUGUCGGGUAAUCGGGUCGUGUCAAAUUUUGCCAGCUCUAACCAAAGUAACAAAAACUGUCCAGCACUGACCAAAACAGACCUUUUCCAAUUAGAAAAUUCAUAAAAUAUUCUUUGGUACUCGAAAUAAUAUGUUUCUUUUUUCUAAUUACAGAAGACACAUUCAAAAAGCAUAUAAUUAAAAUUCAUAAUUUUUGGACUCCUGAAACUAUUUUAAAACGUUUUAUUUCCGAGAACAUCUAACCCGUCCAGACAAUUCCAGAUUUGAAAACAGAAUUUCAAAAAUUCGUAUCUUUUAUUUUACAUGCCCAAAAAUCGUGAUUCCAGUUUUUAAAGACAGAGGAAAGAUUCAAAUUUCAUUAUAAAAUCCUAACAUGGCCUGUAAUAUUCAUAAACUAGCCCAACUGUUACACGUUUCAGCUUCUGAAAUUCUGGAAAACAGUUUCCAGAUUUGCAGCAGCCAUAUGUUACGAUUUUUAGUAAUUCAACCAUAAAGAAUAAAACUACGAAAUUAAACAUGCAAGCAUAGGAGACAUAGAUCUGUUGGCAAAAAAAUCGGCAUAAUUUUAAAGGAUGUGUAACCUUAUAGAAAAAUUUCCAGAGUUGAGAACCGCUGCUGAAAAUCGGAAUUUUCCAGCACCAGUAACCCAACUUCGAAAACCCAGAACAAUUUGCAUACUCAGACGAUUUCAACACAAAGCCUAUCAAUGGAAAGCCUGGGAUGUCUAGUUCCAUGAUAUGUAAGAUAUUCAAGUGAUUCUAAAUAAAGAAAACGAUUUCAAGCAAGGAAUAGAGAGUGUUCAUAUCAUCACAACAUUACAAACACACAUAUAUUACCCAAAUCAUACUACAAGUAAUUAAAGGCCAACAAUUCCAUAAAAAUAAAUCAUAUAAGUCGAAGAAAUACUUAAUACCUUAAGGCAAACACUAAGAAAGAAGUGAUAAAACUUUCUUUUCCUUCUCCAAAGACUUAUAUUUCCUUCUUUUCUUUCUAGGGUUUGUAACGGUGUAAAAAAAUAAAAGACGGCUUCUUAAAAAAGAUGGUUUUCUCUUAAAUACUAGGUAAUUAAUAAAUAUUUAAAAAGAAAAAAAACUAAUAACUUACGUAACUUAUUUAAAACAAUCCGAUAAAUUUUACUCACACACAAACACUCAAUAAUAACUAUCCUACUCAAUUUAAUAAGGGCAAAAGAGGAAAAUUAAAUAAAUAAAAUUGGGCGUUACAGCAAACAUCAAAGAAAAAUUCAAUGGUUAUAUCAUUAUCAGUGAGGAGUUUGGAAAUACUAAUGAGGUUUUUGGUAAUUUGAGGAACACAUAAAAUAUUAUGUAGUUGUAAACAGGUGCCAAAAGAAGUGUAAAGUUGAGUAUAACCUAUGUGAGUGAUUCGAAGGCCUUGGCCAUUACCAACAGUUAGUAAAUUUGAGCCAAAAUAGAUCUUACCAUCACUCAGAUUCUGAACUGUGUUGGUUAAGUGAUGAGUUGCACUACUGUUCAGAAACCAUCCUUGGUCAGCAACUCCCUCAGAUGUUGUUAUGAAGGCUGCUCUUGGUCCCUAAUGCUGAUUAGAGAAGUGAUUUGGAGCUGGAGCUGGAAAAUUUGGAACAAAAUUCCUGUUGAACCUGUCUCUGCACUCACCUGCUGUGUGAUUAAACCUGAAGCAUAUUUGGCAAGCAACACCAGUUCCCUGAGCAAAAUUCUUUCCAGCGCCUCCUGAAUUGAAACCACCUCUGCCAUAAUUGUUAUUGAAGCCACCAGGACCAGGAAAUCCAUUGUUAAAUCCACCAGCAAAACCUCUGAAGUUGUUAUUAUUCCAGUUUCCUGUUCCUGGAUUGAUUCCUUGAUAACCACCUCUUCCAUUACCACCAAAACCACCUCUUCCACCAGAAUUAUUGUUCCAAUUAUUUCCUCCAGCCUUGUUCUAGUUGUUUUGAUUAUUAUUAUUACCUUUCUUUGAAAAAUUUCCAGCCUGAGCUAUAUUUGCUGCAUAAUUGUUCUUGGUUUCCUUACUAUCAUGAAGCUUAUUGUUCUCAAGUCUAGCCUCAUGUGUGAGAAACAUAGCAUAAGCCUCACUAAGAUCCAUAUUCAACAUAUUUGCCUCAAUAUAGACAACUACAAGAUAAUAUGACUGAUCUAGGCCAGAGAUAAGAUGAGUAAUUAGAUCCAAAUCAUUCACAGGACUACCAACUAGAGCAAGACCAUCUGUGACUGUUUUAAGCUUUGUAAAAUACUCAGACAUGGUUAAAGAUCCUUUUCGCAGGUUACUUAGAAGCAUUUUCAGAUGAACCUUCUUAGCCAUAGAUUCAGAUCCAAAUUGUUUUUCAAGGUUUUUCCACAACUCAAAAGAGGUCUUAGAGCUUACCACAAGACUAAGAAUAUCAACAUUCAUGGAUGACAUAAUCCAACUGAGCAGGAGCUGAUCUUGACGUUUCCAAGCUGCAUACUCUGGAUUCUCUUGACCUUCGAUGCUGGAAGAAGAAGAACCUUCAGAUCUAGCCUCUGGUGGAAGAAAUUGACCAGGACAGAUCCUGGAUCCAUCAAUAUAGCCUUCAAGACCAUUGCCACGAAUUGAAGAAAGUACUUGCUGUUUCCAGAUCAUAUAGUUCGAGCGAUCAAGCUUGAUUGGAUUUGUGACGGUGAAAGAAGUUAUGGGAGUGUUGCUGGAUUGUUGAUUAGAACCGAUUAAGGCCAUUUGAUUCAAGCUUUGAUACCAAGUUAAAAGAUAAAAUGCUCUGUAGAUUUUGUUUGUUUACUUAGAAAAACAGAGAGAAAGUUUAUUGACUUAGAGAAAAUACAAAGCUCAACAUAUUCAUUAAUUACAAUACAACACUAUUUAUAUUAGUGUGUAGAAUCUUCUCAAGGUUACAAGUUUACAAAACUCAUGAGCACAGAUUCUGGUAUUCAUAACAAACUUUUGGAGGGAAGCAAAUUAGCUUUCAGCUAACUACAAAACUAACUUUCCAGCGUUGCUUGAUAACUCAGUAGAUGACUCAACAUUUUAUUCUUAACACUCAGCAGAUGACUCAACAUUUUAUUCUUAACACAAAGAUCACAGGGAAUGCAUCCUUGCAAAUUAUUGGCAUCGAGAUAUGAAACUUGUAGUGUCUUUAACGUUCCCAUUGAUGCUGGAAUAGUUCCGUCCAAGUCGUUAUUGGAGAGGCUUAAAGGUAUCAAGCCACGAAAGUUACCAAUCUCUUAAGGAGUGCUGCCCCUAAUUUUGCAAUCAUGUGCAAAAAUUUUCUGAAGCGACUCACAGAAAUUCCCAAUUAAUGGUGGAAGGAUGCCACGUAAAGGAUUAUAACCUAAGCCUAAAAAUGCUAGCAUCCUUCAAGAAGUCAAAGAAGGGAGAAAACUCCACCCACCAGUAGAUGAUUCGUCGUCAGGUAAUAUACGCCAAGGAAUCUCAGGUUGCCAAAAGUGCUUGGGAUAAGGCCGGAGAAAGAGUUGUAGCUCAAGUCUAGGACUCUGAGUUUAGAAGCGUUGGUGAUGGAGUUGGGAAUUGUGCCGCUAAGUUUGUUCUUUGCCAAGCUUAACCAGUCCAUGUUUGGAAGCGAGUGGCCAAUCGUUGGUGGUAAAUGGCCUGUGAAGUGGUUUUCAGCUAGAGUAAUUCUUGUUAUGUUGAAAUAUUGAAGAUCGCGGGUGGAAUAAAACCAGUUAAGUUAUUGGAAUUAAGAGCUAAAUACUCCAGAUUUUUUAGAUUGCCCAUCUCAGUUGGAAUUUCACCUGCCAGAAUAAAUGCCCACAUUAUAUAUUAACGGUUAUUGAGCUGAAAGUACAAGCAGAGUAAUAUAUAUGUUCAAAUGCAUUAAAGUCGCAAGUUUCGUUUGACACCAAGCAUAUGGAUUAUGGUCUCUCUAGUUAAGCGAUUUUGUUAAUUAGUUGAAAAAAAAAUAUGAUGGAGAAUGUUUGAAUUGGGCCUUCUAUUUUCAUUAUAGAAUAAAUUAACUAUUAAUUUUCAUGAGAAAAAUACUUAUUUCCAUAAAAUUAUUCAAGCUUUUAAAAAGAUUCAGAAUUAAAAAUCAAACUUUGUACUGUAGAAAAUUUGCCGGUACGUUCAAUUAGUACUUCGUUUGAGGAAAUAAGAUUAGAAUAGGCUAAAGGUACGGUAGUUAUGCGGUACCUGUUUCAUAACCGUAGAAUAGUAAAUGUUUGACUUUUUUAUUAGAAAUAUAUCAUUAACAAUUUUGUUCGCUAAUUGAAUAGAGAAAGAAGGGGGGGGGGGGGGGGGGGGGGAGAGGGCAAAAAGGUUAACACAUUUCGAAACUACAAACGAUUGCCUUUUCCUAUUAAUAAUGUUUGCGGAUUCUAACAAUUGAAUCUCAAGGUCAUGAUAUAGUGAAUUUUAUAGUGAAUAAAAUUAAUAUUCCACAUACUAUCUAUUUAAUUAAUGUCACAUCAAUUGAGACUUAAGAUAGGGCUCAAUUGUUGGGAUACCUGAUAUUACUCUCUUUCUAAAUAUAAAAUUAAUGUUAAUAGUAAAAGCAUUUGGAAACUGGGUCGAAUCCCCCAUUAGGGAUCAAAUUGGGAUUGCGGUGGCUGAUGAAGCUACUUUAUGUUGUAUGGAUUAAAUAAGACGCCGAUUGAAAAAAUAACUUAGUGUUUUGAAAAUUGCGUUGUUAUGGUUACUGUAAGUUUGUAAAGUAGAAUACAUGCUUUUAGUAAAUUUGAUUACGAAAAUGUUGUUUUAUUAUAUAAUGACAAAAAAUAGACAUAAGUUUAAAUUGCCUUUUAUUUAUAUAUUAGGGUUUGCAGAAAAAUAAGACUUAAUUAUCUUUUAGUUAAAGUUUUAAGGUUAUAAUAAGAACUUUAAAAGUAAUGGCAGCUUAUUUAAUAAGCUGCUUAUAAAAUGGAACUUCAUAUCAGGAAGUCUGAGGAUAAUACGAGUAGAGAAUUUGAGAAGGCAGCUAGGCGCCUAGAGAAUGCUCGACUGGUUUGUGGCCUAUCUUUUAAUUUCUUCAGAUUCGGGACAAAUUGUCUUGGAGUGAACUGAUGUGUUGCCUUUUCUUUUUUUAAGCUUGAAUGAUCUAUUUGCUGCAGUAAGCAGUGAACGUCCUAAUGAAUGUUAAAUUAUGCUGUUUGUUUCGAUUUACUUUUCUAUCUUAGCUCCGUGUGAUUAGUGGAAUGCUGGUCCUGCGAGUAUAAAAAUGAACUCCUUAAGUCAAAUUCCUUCUUGGGGUGUUGGAGAAAGAACUAAAUACAUGUAACAUUUCUUUCGGAUAUGGAUCAUCUGAUGGAUGUUGUAUUUUCUAGGUAUUGAGGAGAUUCCCUAAUAUUGAAAAAUUACGUUCCCGAGCAUCAAAAGAUGAUCCCCUAGAAUUGCGUUCACCUGUGACAAAAGAGGAGCUUGUAGCUGAGGUAUGGAUUUUUAUCUUUCUUGGUUGUUCUUUAUAGUCGUUUCUCAUUAUAAUAGCAAAAGCAGUUUGUUCUGAGUGACCUGUGUAGUCUACUAUCAAUCUCUGCCGAUUCUAUCAUUAGUACUAUUGACUAUGUGUGCUUAGAUAUUUUGUUUUUACCAUGUAAUUUCAUAUUUGAUACAUUUCUAAUUGUGCAUUGCAUAGCGUCCAUGAACGGGAAUGAUAAAAUAAAUUUCAAGCGUGUUUAAGUAGAUGAAAAAACUUGGUACGAUUUAGAAGGAUUUACUGAUUAAAUAAUUUUCCAAUUUGUUUGCCUGGAGGAAUUGAAUAGUUAAUUGAUUAAAGGAUUGCAAGGUGGUUAGGUCCAGCCGAGCAUUGUAAAUUUUAACGAUCAUUAUGAAUGUGUAGUUCCUAUAUGUGAAAUUGAAUUUCCAUGGUGGCAUGAUAAAAUGAAUUUCUGCUAGGGUGUGAUCGUAUGGUAGUCAAUUGUGAGAAACAGAUCCACAUGGUAAUAUAGAUUGAAAUUUUGCGUCUUAAUCCACGAAGAUAUAGAUUUUGGCAAUAUUAUACAAGCACUGGGGGUUACCUUAAAUAUUCUGGACUUGCCAUUGAUAGAGUUUCUUUUACCUAGUUAUUGAUAUUGCUUUCAAUUUUCUAUUUUACUGAUACCAUAUAUACAAAUUUAGGUGGCAAGACACCUCUGUCUGCUUUCGGGGAAUACGAGGUUCCUAUGCGCUUACCCAAAGGUCCAGUGGACUCUCAAUGUCAAAGCCCGCGGCAAAUAAACAAUCGUUUCAUUUGUUUUGUUUUACUCGGUUCGGGAUCCAAAUUCCAUUGUAGAACAGUUUUUGGUUUUUCUUCAUAUAACAUUCUGAAGAUAAUACAGGCAACAUUGUUUGCAACGCUACAGCUAAUUUGCAGUAGCAUGAAACAAUCAGAAUUUUGCCUUUUUUGUGUAUAAAAUUUUAUUUUUUUAAUUGUGAUAUUACAGUUUUGCCCAUCGAGCAUUAUGAGGCCUAAUAUUUGGAUAAAUGUUAGGUUUAAUAUAUAUAUUUUAACUUCAGUGUUUAUUUAUUUUUUAGUUAAUUGUUUAGUCAAUAAAAAGAGGUAAUUAAAAAUGUAAUUAAUAAAUUACUUAUUAGCAAAUUAAAAAAUAAAUAUUAGCAUAAAAUAAUUGAUAUUUUAUUCUCUUACAACAAUCUUACUAAUUAUUAUUUAUAAAUUACUUAAUACAAGUUAAUUUAAAGUAAUGUUUAAUAUUCUUGUAACAACCUUCCUAAUAAUUUUUUUGUAAAAAAUUAAUCCUAAAAGUAAAAUAAUAAUAAUUAAUUUGUAUUUUACUUGGUAAAUUUAAAUUUUUUUAACUAAUAUCUCCAAGAAUAUGGUUGUAAGGAUAUUAUUACAAAAGUAAAACAAAUAUAAGAUUGUAAUAUAUUUAUUAGUAAGAAUAACUUAAGAUAUUUUUUAAGAUAUAAAAAUUAAACAAAUUCCUUCUUUGAAAAAUCGCAUUUUCUCCUUCACAACAACAGCUACAAUGUUGUAAUUUUAUCUUUUGUUUAGUUUCUUUCUGUUGCCUUUUUGUUUCGUUUUUUGAAUUUUCUGUGUCGUUUUUCCUGUUGAGGCCUAUUGCCUGUUGCGAACGGGAGUGAGCCGAUUGAGGCCGUGAUAACGAUCGAUGUUUUGAGAAGGUCUGGAGCUGACGUCACGGUUGCGUCCGUGGAGAAACAGCUUCGUGUCGACGCGUCAUGGUGUCAAGAUUGUCGCUGAUGCUCUCGUGUCUGACUGCCGCGACGCCGUUUUUGAUCUUAUAGCUCUUCCCGUAUGUAUUGCAGCUCACCUCAGCUCAUGCCAAUUUAUGUGAUGUUUGUAUAAUUAUAGAUGAUUAUUGCUGAUACUGAAUGUUAAGCUAAAUAAUUCGUCGUUAAGUCAUCUUCAUUUAAUUUUCGAUUGAAAAUGAUAAAAUAGUAAUUUUGAGCAAAGAAAAAUGUAGAAAAUGUUUAUUUUGUUUUAUUUUAAUUUUUAAUUUUUUGAGAUUUCCUUAUUGUGGCUGUUAUCAUUCAUUAUAUGGUCAUAGUUAAAUAUUUCAAGUUGUUGUAGUCAGUGAAAUUCUUUUCCAUAUUUAUUCUGGCAUGUGUAUUUUUCCUUUCAAUUUCUUUUGUUGCUGAUUCUUUGAUUGAUUAUGUUAUAUCCUUUUUUGUUUCCUUUGUAGGGUGGCAUGCCCGGUGCUACCAAUCUGAAAGAAUCUGAAGUAUUAGAAACCAUUGUGAAGAAGCAGGCUUCAGCUGGGCGUCUUUAUGCUGCUGUCUGUGCUUCACCUGCUGUGGCAUUAGGGUCUUGGGGUCUGUUGAAGGGAUUGAAGGUAAGAAUUAGAUAAGCCUUUUUUAUGUUUUGUGUUCUUUUGGGAAUUGCAUUGAUAUUUGUGUUAUACAUCAGUUUUGCUCUCACCGAUGAUUGUUAAGUUCUAAUUUAUGGGGUUAUUCAUUUUUUGUAGGCUACUUGUUAUCCGUCAUUUAUGGAGCAAUUAGCUCCUGCUUGUGCAGCAACUGUUGAAUCAAGAGUACAGCAGGAUGGUAAAGUUGUUACGAGUCGUGGACCUGGCACUGCUAUGAUUUAAUUGUCUUGCCAGUGAGUUGGGGUGCUUACUCUUGCUUCAUAGUCUUUACCACAUUAUUGACUUACUAACUACAAUUUAUCCAUGCACAUUGCACACGGUGGACUUGGUGGCAACAAGGCACUUGAGCUUGCAAAGAUAAUGCUUUUUACUCACGCCUAAUGUUUGUACAGGGACCUGACUACUAUUAAACUAGUGUGUUUAUUUUUGUAUUGCUACAGCUUGUAGAGAGGGGAAAUGGAAACUUGAAUUCAUGUUUGAAUAUGGAUUCACUGCGUGGGUUUGUACAGCAGUUUGGUUUAUAAAUAAAUGAGUUCAUAGAGUCACUUCCAUUAUUUGGAAUAAACCUGAGUUUAGUUCUGUUAUCAAUGGUCGGAGUCCAAUUGUGAUCGACUCACUGGGAAUUUUAAUUAUGAACUAAAAAAUUGUUAUGUUAUAUUCCACCUUUCUCAUAAAAUGUUAACUCGAUUUACAGGAUAAGAAGGAAAAGAAAGACGCUAAGGGAGGAGCAGAGACCCAAAAAGAGUUGACCACUUUGUUGGAACAUAAAUCUCUAGAAUAUUGAAAUAAAACACAUACCAUAUCUAGUAUUAAGUAUGUAUAUGCAAGAAGAUACAAAUUUGAAGAUCAGAUUUUCUCAUUUCAAUUUAUGUUCUGCUUAGAGAAAUGGCUCUUAUUCGACAAGCACAAACAGGAAAGAGUACGCACGGAGUUAAGAAACACACAUGGCAAAAUUUCCAUUAACUACUUGUAGCAACAUUAUCCAAGAACUUGACUUUAAUCUUCUUGAGCUUCGCUGCAGCAUCUGUCAUAUGCAUUCUGUUGUCAGGUGACUCCAUACAACAAUCCAAUGCCAAAUCCAUGAUGCUUAAUAAACAAUCCAUUUUGGCAGAAAAAGCUUGCUCUUCUCGCACCAAAUUUGCGUCAACAACUUCACUCAAUCGGUGAGGUAAUGAUUCCAUUACCCAUCUCCUUAAACUCAUUUCUCCAGUGAACAUUUCAUCGGUGGGCCUCUUUCUCGUGAAAGUUUCCAUCAAUAACACACCAUAGCUGUAGACAUCACAUUUAGCUGAAACAAUUCCUUCUGAUCCAUACUCUGCAUUUUUUAAUUUUAAUUACGAAACAAAUGAUAAAACAAAUAAGUGAUAAUUAAGGUAACCCAAACUUUGCUCGUGCUUGAAAAAAGAGGAAAAUUUUUAAUUACAAUUGAAACUUUACCUGGUGCCAUAUAACCAAUUGUAGCCAUUGUCAUGGUUUGGGUCGCAGAAUCUUCUCCUUCACCUAAGAGUUUGGAAAUGCCGAAGUCGCUCACAUGUGCCACCAUAUUUUCAUCCAAGAGAAUGUUGGUAGGCUUUAAAUCACAAUGAAUUAUAGGUGCCGACGAAUGACCAUGAUGGAGAUAUUCAAGAGCCGACCCCACAUCUAUCAUUAUAUUCAACCUCUCUAGAAUGUCUAAGAAAUAGUUGUGAGAAUACAACCACUUCUCGAGACUACCAUUCGGCAUGAACUCAAGUACCAAUGCUUUGAAAUCUGGAUUAGAACAACUGCUAAGGAUCUUUAUGAGAUUUCGAUGACGAACAUUCCGUAAAACUUCACAUUCAGAAUCAAAACUCCUAAAUGCUCUCUCUAGUUGCAGAUUGAAAAUCUUUAUUGCAACAUUAGUCCCGUCGGAAAUGGUUCCUUUAUAAACUGAUCCAAAACUACCUGUACCAAGCAAGUUACAUUCAUUAAAUUCAUCAGUUGCUCGUUGAAUGUCUAGGUACGAUGUUCUUCUCCAUGUUGCAAGAGGUAGGAAAUCUUCGUGAUCUGAUUUUUUUGUACUCCUCUUUCGGCAUCUUAUGUACAUAAUGAUGAUAAUUACUAUAAGUACAGAGGAUACUAUCGGAGGCAAAAUAUAUUUAAGGACAAUUAGAGCAACGUUCUUGGUGCUUUUGCUGUCACCUUGUUUGCAAGGUGGGACUCGGAGUUUAGGUGGACCACAGAGUGCAUAAUUUCCGAAAAAUGAUUCAGCUGACAAGUUUUUAAAAGACCCCUUAACAGGAAUUUCCCCUUCCAGCCUAUUAUGAGAAACAUUAAAUUGUUUGAGAUGUGAAAGUGUCUCCAAUGACUUGGGAAUUUUUCCAGAGAAAUUGUUGCCGGAGAGAUCUAAGGAUUCUAAGCUUAUCAAACUGCCAACUGAUUCAGGGAUAGGUCCUUGAAAUUGAUUACCAGCCAAGGAUAGAGUUUCUAGAUCUACGAGGGCACCAAUGGUUGAUGGAAUAUCACCUGAUAAUUGAUUCCUUGAUAAAUCUAAAGCUCUCAAGACCUUUAACUUUUGUACAUUGGAAGGGAGAGGACCAUUUAAUGAAUUUGACGACAAGUUUAUCUCUAAGAUGUACUCAACGCUCCACAAGGAUGACGGUAUACUAGAAGUGAGCUUGUUGGAGCCUAAAUGAAGUUCUCUUAGAGAUGUCAGACUGGCCAAGCAUGGUGGUAUAUGCCCAGAGAGCUUAUUUCCAUUUAAUCUUAUUUCGUACAUCUGCCCCAAGUGGCAAAGCUCAUAGGGAAUGGAUCCUUCCAAAUUAUUCUCAUCAAGAGAUAAACCUUGUAGCUGCUGUAAUGUUCCUACAGAUGUUGGAAUAGUUCCAUUCAAGUCAUUGAACUCGAGGGUUAAGAGGAUCAAGCCACGUAAAUUACCAAUUUCUUUAGGAAUGCUGCCCCCGAGUUUGCACUUGUCUGCAUUGAAUUUUUGAAGAGAAGCAGAGAAAUUUCCAAUUAUUGGUGGAAGGACGCCACCUAAUGGAUUAGAAGCUAAGUAUAAAACUGUUAAAUUUCUGCAAUUAGUCAAAGAAGAGAGAAAACUCCACCGAUCUGCUGAAGAUGAUUCUGUCGUCAAGUUAUUAAAUGCUACGCCGAGCACGCCGAGGUGUCUCAAGUUGCCAAAUGUAUUUGGAAUAUGGCCUGAGAAUGAGUUUAAGCUCAAGUCUAGGCCAGUGAGCUUAGAUGCAUUGGUAAUGGAGCUGGGAAUUGUUCCGAUAAGAUUAUUGCUCGACAAGGUUAAAUACUCUAUGUUCCGAAGCGAGUGGCCAAUCGUUGAUGGUAGGUGGCCUGAGAGUUGAUUGCCAAGCAGAUUAAGGAUUCUGAUGGUUGAAAUAUUGAAGAUCGUGGGUGGAAUGAAGCCACUUAAAUUAUUCUCACCAAGAAUAAGAUACUCCAAAUUUGGUAGAUUGCCAAUCUCGGUUGGAAUUUGACCUGCCAUAAGGCCAACAUUGAGAAGUUAUUGAGCUUUUAACUUAAGGUGAAUUGAGUUUGACAAUGUUACCCUUCAAAAUGUAAAAAGAUCAAAUUAAAUUUAUUACAUAAUAAUUUCAGCCAAUAAUCUUCUUUAAAAUAUUUCAUAGAUAAUUCUGCAAAAUAUGCAUGCAAUUGGAAAAAUAUGCUUCAAUUACAAGAGGUGGCGGAAAGUACCUUGAAGAUUGUUGAAACCAAGAUGCAGAUUCACGAGUUUACUCAAAUUCCCAAUCCUUGAAGGAAUAUUUCCACCAAUAAAAUUGAACGGUGCACGCAGGUCCUCUAGCCUUGAUAAGUUGAAGAGAGAAUUAGGGAUGGGACCUGUGAAACUGUUAUUAUCAAGGCUCAAUAUUCGGAGUUUAGAUAAGACACCAAUCCAUGAUGGAAAGCUUCCGCUCAAUUUAUUGUAAGCCAAACUCACGACUCUGAGUCGACGUAAUUGCCCCAAUUCUUUCGGCAGAUGGCCAUGAAAAUUGUUCUCACUAAUGUCAAGAGACACUAGAAAUGAGAGAUUUCCCAAGUGUAGUGGAAUGGUGCCUCCGAGACCCAUAUCUGAAAGAUUCAAGGCAGUGACUCUUUGAUGGCGUGAACCACAAGAGAUACCAACCCAGCUACAUAUUGGAUAAGAUAUAGACCAAUUAUUUGCCAGGGCACUCCGAUAAUCAAAAACAUGGGCUUUGAAUGCUAGAAGAGCUGAUUGAUCUGUUGUUAAAUCGUUUAAAGUCGUCACCGCUAAGCUAGCAAUGAGAUACUGUAACACUAACACCGACAUAGUAACAAAGAAGAAUGAUAAGCGCAUAUUGGUCGUUUUUAAUAGUAGUUGCAAGGCGAGAUUGAUACAAGUUUUAAGUGACGGAAAUUAGCAUAUACAUAUACAUGAGACACAUGAAUUUGAAAAUAAGAGCAGAAAAAAUAUACAGGAGACUUGCAAAUUGUUAUAUUCUGUCAUUGAGCGAGCCGUCCAAGUAAACGCAUUUAUACUUAACUUGGUCUAAUAAUUAAAAAAAAGGCGACCUUCACUUGACUUGGUCUGAUAAUUAUCACUAAACAAUUAAUAAUGCUAAGGGUUAGUGGUAUCCAAUUUUAAAAUAACGACAUAAUUGUCGUUAAAUGUGUCUUAAAAUAAAAAGACAACUAUACCCCAUAAUUUGAUGAAAUAAUUAUGUAAACUUCUAAAUUUUUUACAAUGCAUACCAAGACCUGUUUUGUUACUUUUUACAGUUUAUUUGGAUGUCAAAUGGUUUUUUUUUUUUUCACUGUGGAUGUCAAAUGUAAAAUUUACUGUUAUUCCAAUAUCAUGUCAUCACUUGCUUCUAUACAUGGAACGAUACAUUAACUGUUUUUCCAAAGUUUUAAAUUGAAUUAAAAACAUUCUAAUUAACCUUAAAAAAAAAUCAUCCAACCAGAAAUAAAUCUUCUAAUUAACCUAAAGAUAGCUACACCUCCAUAUUAAUUCCAGUUAAAUAAAUCUUCAUUUUUGUCAUGGUUUUGGAACUCGAGCAGGGUGGAUAUAUCUAACCAGAUUUUCCUUAUUGGCAUUCUAAUAUAUUCUGGAAUUGGAAGGGUAUCAACGAAUUAAUGUGUAAUUUAAAUUUGUAACGUUUAAUUCUAAUUUGAGUAUUCGAAUGAAUUUAUGUCGAUUUAAAAAUGGACUGAAGAUUGGCAAUAUAACAUUCUUCUUGAUGAAGAUUUUUGUCCUAAUAAGAUCUCCAAUUUUAUACAUCAAUUAUUGUUGGUUUGUGGUGUAUUCAGACUUGUCCAUCGGUUACGCCGUCCAUGAAUAGAGUGAUAGAAAUGUUAUUGCAAAGAAACAGACUAGCAGUGUCGUUUUGAAAAUUCCACCGAAGUCUUUUGCAUCUUCUCCCCCAGGACAGCCAAUAGAGUAUAAAUUUUUGUCACUUUCACUCUUUUGAACAGCACGGGAAAGCUUAUCAAUUUUUGUCACUUUCACUUUCACUCUUUUCAAUCUUUAUAGAAUUCUGGAUGGACGAUCACUCUUUUCAAUCUUUAAUGAAUUUUGGAUUCAGUGUUGAUAUUUUAGGCUUUGAUGGGCUAUAGAUUUUUUUUUUUUUUAAAGAAUUUUGAAUUCAAUGUUGAUAUCUUGAGCUUAUCCUUAACUAAUUUUUUACCACUCGUGCAUUUAUGUCGUUGUGCGGUUAUAGAUUCAGUUAUUUUUAAAGUAGAAAAAUUACUUCUCUUAAAAGUGAAAGCAGGGAAGGUACUGCAAUGCAGCCGCUAUUUGUAGUAGUUAAUUCUUGGAUGAAAUUUGGGUCUUCCUAUAAUACAUGCAAGGAAUAAAAAAAUUAAAAAAGCAUUGCCCGAAAGAGUAUUGUGCCGGUGUUGGAGGCUAGAAGGACAAGUCGUUACAUUGCUCCAGAAGUGUUUGAUAGAAAUUUUGGUGAGGCUUCACAUAAUUUAAAUUACUGGAAUUAGCGAUACACACACACUCAAGCAUUUCGAGCAGGAUAAUGAAUUUAAAUUACUCGGAAUUGUAAGCAGCGAUGAAAGAGAAAUUGCAAAGAAGAUGAUUAUUUUUGGCUUGUGGCGUAUAUAGAAUUGUCUAUCGGAAAUAGAGGGAUAGAAAUGUUAUUGCACAGAAGCAGACUAGCAGUGACGCCUUGAAUAAGUCCACCAAAGCCUCUUGCAUCUUCUCCUCCAACACCGCCAAUAGAGUCCGUUUGACUCAUAAACUUUUGUCGCUUUCAUUCUUUUCAAAAGCACGUGAAAGCUAGCUUAUAGGAUUUUGGAUGGACAAUCACUCUUUUCAAAAGCAUGUUAAAGCUAGUCUUCAAUGAAUUUUAGGGCUUAUUUUCAAGUAAUCUUUUAGCAUGCAUGCAUUUAUGCAAUCAUAUGAUUAUAUAUUCAAUUACUUUUAAAGUAGAAAAAAUUACUUCUCUUAAAAGUAAGAGCGGGGCAGGUAUUGCAAUUUGUAGCAGUUAAUUCUUGGAUGAAAUUUGCUAAAGUAUAGUCUUGUAAAAGAAUUAGUUUUCUUAAAUUGUAAAUCUCGUUUAUGAUUGGGAGAUUUUGAUCAAAAUUAAUAUGAUAAAUCCGUUGCAAGUGUUGUUCUUGAAGUCUCAUCUUCCGUGAUGUUUGUAAAAUCAAGGUUUUACCAUCUCUGAUUAAAUAUUUAGUCUUGAUUUCGACCACGUAAUCUGAACUUGACGAAAGAUUAUGAUUUUGUGUGAUUUUAUGAAUGUGGUCUUAUCUCUUAUAAGUCAGCAAUGAAUUAAUUAAAGCUUGCUGACAAAUUAUAAGCUCAAAAACCGCUGCUGCUUCAUUAAUCACAUUACCCAAAUUCAUUGCAGAACUCAUCAUAAGUUUUCCGAGAAUUUUAAGCUUUAUUUUGGCUUCAUUCAUGUACUUCCUUUGUAGAUCCCAAAGACAUGUUUAACUUUAGUUUAGGGUAACUGUUAGAGUGCAAUUUAUGCACUAGUUUUGCAUUAUUUACUUCCCUUAAUAUCGAUGCUUUGCACUUAAUAAUAAUGUUUUACUUGUGUUUUACUUUUGUAGGUGCAAUUCUAUUGAUUGGUGAUAAAAUUGAGCUAAAAGAUGAUGUUUAAGGAGGAUUGUUCUCUUGGAGAAAUUAUGAGCGUCACAAGAACUUUGUUGAUAAGGCGUGGGCGCGUGCUGUCAACUGCGGACCUGCAAUUUUUAAUUUAACGUGUUUUGUAUUUUUGGUUAUUUUUGUAAUUACGAAUUUAAUAUUUCAGAUAUUAGUAUUUUAUUUUAAAUAGAAUUCUAAAAGAGAAGAGAGAGAGAGUAUUUAAGGGAGGAAUCUAUUGUGAAAAAGGGGGGACUUUUGGAGAAGAGAAAGAAACCCUAGAUCUAAACUUUUCUCUUCUCUCUAUGAAGAACUAAACCUAUUUUUCUGGUUGAAGGUUAAUGAAGCUUUGAUUCAUCACUACUGUGAGAUCUUUCUUAUGCUUUAAUUGUUUUAUUACUUUUUGGAUAUUUGUUUAUUCUCUGAAUUAGUUUCAUGAUUAUGUUUGUUAAUUAGGUAAUUGGCCACUAUUUAAUUAUCAACUUAAUCUAUUGUCAAUUAAAGGAUUCAUCGUAUGAAGAUUUUAAUGUUUGUGACAAAUAACAUAGCAGUGAGUUGUGUUAUGAGAAUAAACAAUCUAAUUUAAAUGAAUCAUCAUAUGUGUUGAUUAGGAUUUGGGUCUCUCUGGUUUUUCAGGCUGUCAAUCGAUUAAAUCCUAUGAUCAUAUCUAGGGUUGUCUAUUGAUUAGGGAAAUAUCCAACGGUCGUACCUUGGUUAUCGACUAGUUAAGGAGAGAUUGGCUAUUAGAGGGUCUCAAUAGCUAUAACCGGUCUAUUCAUAAGUAAUAAUAAUCUAUAUUUGAAUCAAUGAUCAGUAGUCGAAUUAAGCUGAGUUAAUUCCUUCAACCAGAGCUUUCUCCAAUUUGAAUUACAACUUUAAUUUGCAUUCUUGUUAUUUUUAAUUUGAUUUUUAUUAUUAUUAACAAUUCCCCCAUUUUACGAUUUACGUUUCAAAAGGAUUUAAAUAAUUACCGAUCUCUGUGGACACGACCCUGCUCAAUCACUAUACACAAUUUAUUUAGAGUAGGAAUUUAUUUUUGUUGGCUUCGACAACCAUCAAAUUUUGGCGCCGUUGCCGGGGAUUGGUGUCAUUUAUUUAAUCCUUUUUAUGUUUUACUUGGUGUAUGGUUUGUUCUUCUCGUACAGGUACACUUUCGUUUGAUCCUGAAAUUGAGAAGACAGCUCGCCAGCUGAGACAGCAGACGAAGCGAGCUAAGCAACGAUCCUCGUCGCCUUUGCUUUCUGAAACAGAUACGGUGCCUGAUUUAGUUGAAUCAUCUAGCGAUUCAGAAGAACAAGUGAUGGAUAGAGUUGCACCUGUAGAAAGAACUCUUAGAGAAUUAGCUGAACCAGACUUGAAUCAACAACCACUCUGCAUUCAAUAUGUAGACUUGGAGGUAAAUUUUGAAUUAAAGUCUGGUCUUAUUCAUUUAUUACCCAAGUUUCAUGGUUUUGCAAGUGAAGAUCCUCAUAAACAUCUUAAGGAGUUUCAUGUUGUGUGUUCAAGUAUGAGACCACAAGGCAUGACUGAAGAGCAGAUUAAGCUGCGUGAUUUUCCGUUCUCUGUAGAUGGGCUAGCUAAAGACUGGUUGUAUUACUUGCCUCCUGGAUCGAUUACAACGUGGAAUGAUUUGAAGAAGCAGUUCCUCGAGAAGUACUUUCCUGCUUCAAGAGCUGCCAACAUCAGAAAAGACAUUUGUGGGAUUAGACAACUUCCUGGGGAGACUUUGUAUGAGUAUUGGGAGCGAUUCAAACAAUUGUGUGCCAGCUGUCCUCAGCAUCAGAUUUCUGAUCAACUUCUUAUUCAAUAUUUUUACGAAGGACUAUCAUUGAUGGAUAGAAGUAUGAUAGAUGCUGCUAGUGGAGGAGUGUUGGUGAACAAGACUCCUACUCAAGCAAGGGAGUUGAUAUCAAAUAUGGCUGCCAACGCACAACAAUUUGGCAGCAGGCAAGAUCCCACUUCAAGGAAGGUGAAUGAGGUAAAUAUUUCUUCUGUUGAACAACGUUUAGAUAAACUCACUUUUCUUGUGGAAAAGUUUGUUGUAGGUAAUGUGCAACAGGUGAAGACUUGUGGUAUUUGUUAUAAUAUGGGUUAUUCAACUGAUAUGUGUCCUACACUUCAAGAAGAACCCGUUGAACAAGCCAAUGCAGUUGGAGGAUUUCCAGGCAUGCCUCAGAGGAGGUAUGAUCCUUAUGCACAAACAUACAAUCCAGGAUGGAAGGAUCAUCCCAACUUCAGCUAUGGAGUUAGGCCGUCAGGAUUCCCACAACAGUAUCCACCAAGACAACCAGCACCUCCACAGUCAACCUCCAAGUCAGGUAUAUCUCUUGAAGAAAUUGUUAAAUCGCUUGCGACUAACACUCAACAAUUUCAGCAGGCAACUACAGCAAGCAUUCAGAACUUGGAGAACCAAAUAAGUCAAUUGGCGACUACAGUGAGCCGUCUGGAGUCUCAAGUAUUAGGGAGACUGCCUUCACAAUUUGAGGUGAAUCCAAAGCAAAACGUUAGUGCUGUCAUCCUUAGAAGUGGGAAGGAGUUGCAAGAGCCUAGUAAGAAAGUGACAGAGCAUGUAGAAGAUGAGCUUGAGAAGAAUGAAUUGAUGCCUCAAUCUCAAGAUGCACAACCCACCAGAGCGAAACCCCUACCUAUUGUGAUACCUCCUCCUUUUCCAAGCCGGUUUGCAAAAUCCAAGAAUGAGGAACAAGAGAAAGACAUCCUUGAGACAUUUCGCAAAGUUGAGGUAAAUAUUCCUUUAUUAGAUGCUAUAAAACAAAUACCUCGAUAUGCUAAAGUCCUUAAGGAACUAUGCACCUCUAAGAGAAAAUUAAGAGGAGAUGAAAAAGUUCAUAUGGGGGAGAAUGUUUCAGCAGUUCUCCAAAAGAAACUACCUCCUAAGUGCAAGGAUCCAGGUAUGUUUACUAUCCCUUGCAAAAUUGGUAAUGUCAAAGUUGAAAAGGCUAUGUUAGAUCUAGGAGCUUCUAUUAAUGUCAUGCCUCGUUCCAUUUAUUCAUCUUUGAAUGUUGGUCCAUUAAAAGAAACUGGCAUGAUAAUUCAACUAGCUGAUAGGUCUAUAGGUCUAAUGCAUAUCCUGAUGGGGUAUUAGAAGAUGUCCUAGUACAAGUUAAUGAGUUAGUUUUUCCUGCUGAUUUUUAUGUACUUGAUAUGUAAGAGGAUAACUUCUCUAAUUCUGUCCCAAUUUUGCUAGGAAGACAUUUUCUUAAGACUGCUAGGACUAAAAUGGAUGUACAUAAAGGGACUCUCACUAUGGAGUUUGAUGGAGAGGUUAUAGAAUUCAAUAUGAAUGAUGCCAUGAAAUAUGCUAGUGAGGAACAUUCGGUAUUUUUUGUGGAUGUUAUUAACCCUAUACCGCAGGAAGUUUUUUUCAAGGAAAAGACGAAGACAUUUCAUGAUAGAAUGAUUUUGAGAAAGGAGUUCUCUGUUGGUCAAAAAGUUCUUAUUUUUCAUUCUAAGCUUAAACUUUUUCCAGGUAAAUUACGUUCUUGCUGGGUUGGACCUUUUAUUGUUACUAAUGUUUUUCCUCAUGGUGCAGUUGAGAUUCGGAGUCCGACCUCUGACAAAGUUUUUAAAGUUAACGGUCAUCGCUUAAAACCUUUUUAUGAAGGUUUUUCGGUGAAUAUUGUGGAGGAAAUGGCUCUCGAGAGUCCUAUUUAUGGAGAUUGAUGCAUAAAGGUGUCUAGCCAAAGACAUAAAACAAAGGCGCUUUUUGGGAGGCAACCCAAAUGAUUUGUUUAUUUUGGUUUUUGUUUUAUUUUCUUUUAGUUUUGAUUCAGAUUUAAAAAAAAAAAAAUUUUGUGUUUGCUUAUUUUGGUCAGAAGAAAAUUUUUGAUAAGGCGUGCCCACGUUUUAACUAAUAAGUACUUCUGUAAUUUUUAAAGUAAAAUAGUUUUAAGACGUUCCCACGCGCUUAUUAAAAAAGUACUUCUGUACUUUUUAAAGUAAAAUAGUUUUAAGGCGUGCCCACGUGCUUAUUAAAAAAGUACUUCUGAAAUUUUUGGUGUCUCAAAGUGAUUCAUCACUAAAAAAAAAAAAAAAAAAAUUUACUGUUCACAAAAUCCCUAAUUUUCCAGAUCUUGUUUUCUUCUCCAGCCGCUUGCAGCACACCAGCAGCAAACCAGCCCGCCGGAAAACGCACCACCCCGCGUGCGCAGUACCAGCAUCUCGUGUCUCGCAAGUCCAACCAGUGCGCAACGCAAGCCCCAGCAGCGCGCAACGUAGCCCCAGCUGUGCGUGCAGCGCGAACCAGCCCCAACCCGAGCACGCAACCCAACAAGCAUCACCAGUUCGCAGCAUCAGUCCCAGCCCGCACGCGCAACACAACCAGCACCAACCCGGACAGCACAACCAUCCGCGCACAACUGAACCAACAGCCGUGUACCCGCAAGCUCCAGUCGAGCAGCAAUAGUCCGCAACCAGCCUACGACCUGCAUUCCAGCCGCGUGAAUCGAAAUCAGUGACAAGAUGGAGCAGAAUUUGGCCGCAUACUUCAAGAGUGUGGGAUUUAUCCCACCAUUCCCGCCAAGCCCAUAGACGUUAUGAGGAUCAAAGCUCACAAUUCAAGGAAGUUUUUGCCUUUAAUCUUUUAUCCUUACGCUUUAAUUUUUAUGUGAGCUUUGAUUAUCUUACAUUGGGGACAAUGUAAGUUCUUGGUGUGGGGGAGGGUUUUUGCAUUAUUGAUGUCUGGAAUUAUUGUUUUCACUCUACUUAUCUUUUUUUUCACUCUACUCAUCCUUAAAUGAUUUUGGAGUUAGUAUGCUUUAUAUAUUAUUAUUUUUUCUUUUCUUUUAUUUCUCACAACUUUUUUUUUCCCAUCUAUCUCAAAUUAUUUACAUCUAUUUUUAUUCUAUCAUACUCUUUCAUCACUCACAUUUUAUCUUUCACUUUUCAUCUUUCUCACUUCUUAUCAUUUUUACCUUUCCUUUUAUAUAUCACUCAUACCUUCUUCUCAUUCUACACCACUAUUGAUGGUUGAUUCAUUUGAAGAGUGUACAUGAUUUGAUGGCAAAUUUACCAACGUUGUGAGGAUUUGAGCCUAUGAGCAACCACUUUGCUCUAAUAUUUUUGUUAUGUGAAUAUCAAUCUUAGUUUGUUUAUUCUAGAACUUGCUUUGUUAUGCAUGUUGAAGCCGCAUUACGGGAUUUUAUGCAUUAAAAUGAUAAGGGCAAACCCUUUUCCAUUUUUCUAUUCUCGCAUUUUUUUUUUCUCUACCCGAAGACCUUUAUUUGCUACAUUUGUUUGAGCCUUAACCAUUACCCAUCUAAUUCUCUUCGUCUACUUAACCAUUUUUCUUCUUUUUGAGCCUCAAUUUAAGGAGAUUUUUGGACUCAUUGUGUGAAUAUAUUUUGUUGCCUUUUCUACCUUGUAUUAAAGUUUCUCAAUUAGAUCAACAAGCAUUAUGCUUGAAUUAAAUUGUGCAAGGUUCGUUUCUUUUGUUUGAUUCGAAAAAAAAAAUUGAAAAAAAAAAGUUUACAUUCUUGGUGACUUGAGUAGAAAUAAGCAUUUUGAUAUCAUAAGUUUAUUCAAUGAGUUCAUUCUUCUCAUUUUGAUCUCUUUUUCUUUCAUAGACCUUUCUUUUUCAUUUAACCUAUUUAACCCCAUUACAACCCUUUUAAGACCCUUAUAUUUUUGCAUUUUAUUCAUGUUUUGUGGAUUGAGAUGUGAUAUAUGAGCAAGCUUAUGGUAAUAGCAUUCUUUGAUUUGAUUUGAGUGCAUAAAUGAUACCCUAAACACUUUGAGCGCAUGGAGUGAAGUCAUUGAGAGGGCUAUUAAAUCUUGUUGCACUUGAAUUUUGAAUGGAUGUUCUUGGUGGUUGAAUGUUCUUAUUCUAUCUUAUGAGAUUCUAUGCUUUAAAAGUCCUUGUCUCUCGAAUGUUGAUCGACUUAAUUUCUUGAGGUAUGCUUGCUUAAAAUUAUUUUUGGAUGAGUUGAGAUGAGAAUUGAGUGGAGAUUUGGGAUUAAUCUUGAGUUAUAUGCUUGAGGACAAGCAUCAUCUUGGUGUGGGGGAAUUUGUUAGAGUGCAAUUUAUGCACUAGUUUUGCAUUAUUUACUUCCCUUAAUAUCGAUGUUUUGCACUUAAUAAUAAUGUUUUACUUGUGUUUUACUUUUGUAGGUGCAAUUCUAUUGAUUGGUGAUAAAAUUGAGCUAAAAGAUGAUGUUUAAGGAGGAUUGUUCUCUUGGAGAAAUUAUGAGCGUCAGAAGAACUUUGUUGAUAAGGCGUGGGCGCGUGCUGUCAACUGCGGACCUGCAGUUUUUAGUUUAAUAUGUUUUGUAUUUUUGGUUAUUUUUGUAAUUACGAAUUUAAUAUUUCAGAUAUUAGUAUUUUAUUUUAAAUAGAAUUCUAAAAGAGAAGAGAGAGAGAGUAUUUAAGGGAGGAAUCUAUUGUGAAAAAAGGGGGGACUUUUGGAGAAGAGAAAGAAACCCUAGAUCUAAACUUUUCUCUUCUCUCUAUGAAGUACUAAACCUAUUUUUCUGGUUGAAGGUUAAUGAAGCUUUGAUUCAUCACUACUGUGAGAUCUUUCUUAUGCUUUAAUUGUUUUAUUACUUUUUGGAUAUUUGUUUAUUCUCUAAAUUAGUUUCAUGAUUAUGUUUGUUAAUUAGGUAAUUGGCCACUAUUUAAUUAUCAACUUAAUCUAUUGUCCAUUAAAGGAUUCAUCGUAUGAAGAUUUUAAUGUUUGUGACAAAUAACAUAGCAGUGAGUUGUGUUAUGAGAAUAAACAAUCUAAUUUAAAUGAAUCAUCAUAUGUGUUGAUUAGGAUUUGGGUCUCUCUGGUUUUUCAGGCUGUCAAUUGAUUAAAUCCUAUGAUCGUAUCUAGGGUUGUCUAUUGAUUAGGGAAAUAUCCAACGGUCGUACCUUGGUUAUCGACUAGUUAAGGAGAGAUUGGCUAUUAGAGGGUCUCAAUAGCUAUAACCGGUCUAUUCAUAAGUAAUAAUAAUCUAUAUUUGAAUCAAUGAUCAGUAGUCGAAUUAAGCUGAGUUAAUUCCUUCAACCAGAGCUUUCUCCAAUUUGAAUUACAACUUUAAUUUGCAUUCUUGUUAUUUUUAAUUUGAUUUUUAUUAUUAUUAACAAUUCCCCCAUUUUACAUUUUACGUUUCAAAAGGAUUUAAAUAAUUACCGAUCUCUGUGGACACGACCCUGCUCAAUCACUAUACACAAUUUAUUUAGAGUAGGAAUUUAUUUUUGUUGGCUUCGACAACCAUCAGUAACAAAGCUACAGCUUUUUCUGUUGUGUGCAACAAGUGAAGAAAGUGAAAUUGUAAAGAAUACGAUCGAUUACUGAUACGAAAACAUAAAGAUUGAUAAAUUUUAGAGAAAUAAAGCUCCUAAAUAAUUAGAAUAUUAUUCUUAAGUCUUAAUAAAUAAAACUAGAAUUUUGGUUCUUUUUAAACAAUGAGAAAUAUUUUUUAAAAUAGGAAAACCAGAAAUAUUUUUUUGUAGUAAAAUUCUCUAGUCUAAAUAAGCAAAAUUUUAAUGUUUGAAGAAAAAAGAAGUAAACAUUCUGAAAGCAAUUAAAAAAAAGCAAAAUAACUUAAAAUUGCAAAAUAAUCAAGAAAAAAACGGAACUUUUGGCUCAAACACAGGGUAGAACAACAAUUUUUCCAUUUUAGUUAUCUUAUCGCAAGUUUUGAAAAGAUGUAUUAUGAGUUCUAAACAAACAGUGAAAGAAUCUAUAAUUAUGUGUUUGGAGAGUAAGAAAAACAAUGAGAAAAUGAAGAAAAGUUAUGAAGAAGAAUCUGGAAUUUAGUGAAUAAAACUCAACCACACAAUCGUGCUUACAACUAUUUAUUUAUACUUAGUUACAAUGUAAACUAAAUCUGUUUUAUAUUCUAUACACGCUAAACCAAUUGGUUAACAAAGUAGCUGACUCAGCUAACUGACUCUCUUACACGUCAGCUAUCAAGUUAUCAAGUGUGCUCAUCCUCACAGCUCUGACCAUGCUCUGUAACAUCCCCUCUCAAGCUAAACUGUCCAGGAUGGACAUUUAGCUUGCUGCGAAGAUAAUGGAAGCGGUCAAAAGUUAGUGGCUUGGUAAGUAUAUCUGCAGUUUGAUCCUCACUUGGAACAAAUUGCACUUCAAUAUUUUUGGCCGCUAUUUUCUCCCUGAUAAAGUGAAUGUCCAAUUCAACAUGCUUAGUUUUAGCAUGAUAAACUGGAUUGUAAGCCAAAGCUAUGGCACCUUGAUUAUCUCACCACAUAAUAGGUUCUGCAACAAGUUUGAUUUUCAACUCACUAAGCAGAUUUUCAAUCCAAAUAACUUCAAAUGUAGCUUGAGCUAAGGCUCUGUACUCAGCUUCAGUACUGGACCUUGAAACCACUUGUUGUUUCUUAGAACACCAUGAAACUAAAUUCGAACCAAGAUACACUGCAUACCCAGCUACUGAUUUUCUAUCAUCUUUGUCACAUGCCCAAUCAGAAUCACUAUAACAGUAUACUUGUAAAGUUCCACAAUGAUAAAAAUGCAAGCCAAAAUGAAUGGAUCCCUUCAAAUACCUCAAAAGUCUUUUACAUGCUUCCCAAUGUUCUGUCAUUGGCAAGGAUAGAAAUUGACAUAGUUUGUUAACUGAGAAUGCUAUCUCAGGUCUUGUUAGAGUCACAUACUGCAAGGCCCCAAUUAUACUUUUGGACUGAGAUGCAUUAGAAAUAAGUGAGCCUGAACCUUUUGUGAGAUGAUGCCCUGUGGACAUAGGAGUAGGAAUUGGACUGCAACUUGCCAUAUCAUGUUUUGCUAAGAGAUCAGCUAUAUAUUUGGCUUGAGAUAGAUGAACUCUAGCUGCUAUCUUAGAGACUUCAAUCCCAAGAAAAUAGCUUAACUCCCCCAAAUCCUUCAAGGCAAAAGUAGUCUGCAUAUUAUGAAUUACUUGCUCCACUAGUUGGUAGUUAGAUCCAGUAACAAUUAUGUCAUCAACAUAUACUAAGACAAGCAAGAUAUGAUUAUUUUCCCACUUAUAGAAGAGAGAGCUGUCAGACUUAGAGUUUAGAAAACCCCACUGAUCUACCAUAGCAUUCUUGAAUCUGUCAAACCAUGCUCGGGGGGCUUGCUUUAAUCCAUAGAUGGCCUUCUUGAGUUUGCAUACAUGAGUAGGCUUUGUAGGAUCAAUAAAUUCUUCAGGCUGGACCAUAUACACAUCUUCAACCAAAAAACCAUUCAAGAAUGCAUUGUUUACAUCUACCCGUCUGAGGAUCCAUUUGUUCAUGACAGCUAAACUCAAAACUAUUCUAACUGUGGAAGCUUUCACAACUGGACUAUAGGUUUCAGUAUAAUCUAUUCCAUGUGUCUGAUGGAAACCUUUUGCCACAAGCUUUGCUUUGUAUCUAGAAAUGGUUCCAUCCAAGUUAUAUUUAAUUCUGAAAACCCACUUGCUGCCAAUUACUUUGAUAGGUGUUGAUGGUUGUACUAAAACCCAGGUAUGAUUGUUUUGAAGUGCUUGAUACUCCUCAUGCAUUGCUUGAAACCAUUUUGGAUCAGUGAUUUCUUGGGAAACAGAGGUAGGUUCUGAGGGUGUGGCUAAAAGAGCAGCAAGAUAAGACUUUGGCUUAAAAAUGCCAGCUUUAGAUCUGGUGAUCAUAGAAUGUCCUAUUGGUGGUGCAGCAGGUAUUAAAUGUGGUGGUGAUUGAGUAUCAUUUAAAGGUUGAAUAUCAUACAUUUGUGGUGUAUGGGAAGAAGAAUAAAGGGAAUUUACCUGGCUAGGAAUUGUUGUUGAAAACUCAGAGGAACCACUUGCUGAAGAGGAUUGCAGUGCUGGAAAAUGAGUAAAGAUAGGAGUAGAGAUAGUGGCCGAAUGGGAAACUGUAUAAUUUGAAUUACAUGAUUGUGUGACAGAAGAAAAGUCUGAGCCAGGCACAUAUGGAAAGGAGUUUUCAUCAAAGAUGACAUGAUUGGAGAUGUACACCCUACCUGAAGAAUGAAGACAUUGGUACCCUUUAUGUUGAGAGCUGUACCCAAUGAAGACACAUCUACCUGAUCUAAACUCAAGUUUGUGCUUAUUAUAUGGCCUGAGGUAAGGAUAACAAGCACAACCAAAGGUUCUGAGAAAAUUGUAAUAUGGUUUUUGAUGAAAUUUUUUUUGAUAAGGUGAAAUAUUAUUCAAGGUUGGUGUAGGUAAUCUAUUGAUGAGAAACACAGCUGUGUGAAAAGCAUUCCACCAGAAUUUUAGUGGCAAACUCGCUUGGGCUAACAAAGUGAGGCCAAUAUCCACAAUGUGCCUAUGUUUUCUUUCUAUUCUACCAUUUUGAUGAUGAAUAUGAGGACAAGGAUGUCGGAAUUUAAUACCAAAUUGAUCAAGAUAUAUGGAGAAACUUCUAAAUUCCCCUCCCCAAUCUGUCUGGACAAUUUUGAUAUGCCUAUGCAAGUGUUUUUCAAUGAAGUUUUUGAAGUUUAUGAACACUUGAAGAGCAUCAGAUUUAGCAGUCAAGGGAAAGAUCCAUGUAAACCUACUGAAAUCAUCUAGAAUGGACAAAUAAUAGGAAUAACCCUGAGUUGAAGUAACAUGAGAAGGACCCCAAAGAUCAGCAUAUAAGAGUUGAAGAGGCUCUACUGUUUUUGUUGGAACAGAAUCAAAGUGUAACAGAUGACUUUUACCAAACUGACAAGCAUUACAGAAACUCAAGUGUUCGAUUUUAUUCAAGGAAAAGUCAGUACAAUCCUUCAAUACAUUUUUUAGAGUAUGAAAAGCCGGAUGUCCUAGCCUUUUGUGAAGCAAAUUGAUGUCAGCAGUGCUUGCAUUAGCUAUCAGGGCUGACUUACAUGAGUUAUUACUGACAAGGGAAGGAUUAUUCUGGACAGCAGAACCAUUACAAGACAAAGAAGGAAAAUAAGCAAACAUAGAUUCAAAGUGAUUGACAGAAGAUUGACAAAAUGAAACUGGGCUAUCAUCAGAAGAUUGGGAUGCAAUCUGGACUUGAUACAAUCCUCAUUUUGCAAUUCCUUUAAGCAAGAUGGUCCCUGAGCUCCUGGCCUUAACAAAACAACAAUUUUCAAGAAACUCAAUAGUGGCAUUAUUAUCAAAUAGAAGUUUCGAGACACUAAGUAAAUUUUUAGUUAUUUGAGGAACAUAAAGAACAUGACUUAGCAACAAAGGUUCAGAUGUAGUUGUGGCUAGCAAUACUGAUCCAACUUGUUUAAUAUGCAGAGAAGAACCAUUACCAACAAGCAACUUUUCACUUCCACUAUAAGAUUUUGGUUCAAGAAGUUUACCUGCAUCAUUGGUGAUAUGAUUAGUUGCACCACUGUCAAUGUACCAGGUGGGAUCUUCAACCAUCUUAGGAGUAGGAACUGUAGGUACGGAAGGAGAGCAGCCACUGUAAUCUCCAGUAAAACCAAAACCAGAUGCAGAAGAACUUGCACCAGUGGAGCUACCAGGUUGAGUAACAUAAAAAGCAGAUGGAUCUGAGCACAUCACAUAGCUUUGAUAUCCUGGACCUCUUGGCAAAUUGAAAUUUCCAGCAUUAUGAUUAGUAAAGACAUUGCCAAAUUGAGAAUUAAACCCUUUGCCAUAAGCACCAUUAAAAAAUCUGCCACCUGAAUUUCCAAAUCCCCUUCCAAAAUUCCUUUGACCAGCCCUAAAAUUGCCAUUAAAAUUUCCUCUUGCUUGAUUCCUUGAAGGUACAAAAGCAGAAUUGUACCUAUUCUUGCACUUGUGAGCUCCAUGACCCGGUACAAAACAGAUUUGACAAACGAUAGUUGAAUUACCAUCACCAGAUUGUCCCAUACCAUUUCUAUUAGCAAAAUUUCCAUAGACACCUCCACCAUAAGUUAUAUUAUUAUUAUAUCUUGGAUUACCACCAGCAUUUUUUCCAGAAUUAAACUGUUUUUAUGCCAUAUUAGCUGACAAAUUAUGAGUAACAUCACUAGCAAUUUUGCCUCUCUUCUGCUCAACUCUAUUCUCAUGACUUAACAGUAAAGAGUAAAACUCAUCAAAAUUAAUCUUGUCACCUCUAGUUAAGACGCUCGUAACAAGAGACUCAUAAUCUGAGGAAUCCAAUCCAGUCAAAACAUAUUGAACAAAAUCACUCAAUUCAACAGGUUUUCCAGCCAGAGCUAAGCUAUCAGAUAACCUUUUGAUUUUAGCAAAAUAAUCAAUCAUUGACAUUGAGCCUUUUUUAAGUGUUUGAAUCUGCAUUUUAAGAGGCAUUAUUCUAGCCUGAGAUUGUGAGAUAAACAUACUAGUAAGUGUGUCCAGAAGUUCUUUAGCAGUAGAGCAAUGAAUCACCGUUGCCAGUAAAUUUUGUUGAAUGGAUGACAUCAUCCAACUCAGAAUCAAUUGAUCAGUCUUCACCCAAGCUAAAAACUCUGGAUUAAUUUCUCGAUCCUCUGAUCUUGUUGAAUCAAUAGCUCCAGUGACAGCUGAUGGAAGAAAUUGCUCUGGAUAGGCUCGAUCACCAUUGAUGAAGCUCUCCAAGCCGUUACCUUUAAUCGUUGUUAAAAUCUGAGUUCUCCAAACAAUGAAGUUAUUCUGGUCGAGUUUCACAGGAGUAACAAAACUAUAAGAUCCAGAGGUUUGAUUCGAGCUCAUCAUUGUUUGCUCUGAUACCAUGAAAGAAUCUGUAAUUAUGUGUUUGGAGAGUAAGAAAAACAAUGAGAAAACGAAGAAAAGUUAUAAGAAGAAUCUGGAAUUUAUUGAAUAAAACUCAACCACAUAAUCGUGCUUACAGCUCUUUAUUUAUACUUAGUUACAAUGUAAACUAAAUCUGUUUUAUAUUCUAUACACGCUAAACCAAUUGGUUAACAAAGUAACUGACUCAGCUAACUGACUCUCUUACAUGUCAGCUAUCAAGUUAUCAAGUGUGCUCAUCCUCACAGCUCUGACCAUGCUCUGUAACAAACAACUAUCCCUACAAAGUACCAUGCUCAUGCUAUGUAUCCAGACUUUUCCAUCAGAUAGGCUGUCCAUAAAUACAGUGAUAGAAAUGUUAUUGCAAAGAAAAAUACUAGCAAUGACGUUUUGAAAAUUCCACCAAAGUCUUUUGCAUCUUCUCCUCCAGGACCACCAAUAGAUUAUAGAGUCCGUUUGACUCAUAAAUUUUUGUCACUUUCACUAUUUUCAAAAGCACGAGAAAGCUUAUCAAAAGGACCACCAAUCUUUAAUGAAUUUUGGAUUCAGUGUUGAUAUUUUGGGCUUAUCAAAGCUAGAGUCCGUUCGACCCAUAAAAUGUUGUCACUUUCACUCUUUUCAAAAGCAUGUUAAAGCUGAUCUUCAGUGAAUUUUUUAUUCGCUUACCUUUAAGUAAUCUGUUCAUUUAUAUAAUUAUGCGGUUAUAGAUUCAAUUACUACUUCUCUUGAAAGUGAAAGCAGGGCAAAGUUUCGCCCAUAGGCAUCGUACGUAAAGUUUUCUCAUCCCCAGUCCUCUCCUCAUGAAGUUUUCUCUUGGAGACCUCAAAAGGAUGAGAGAGUACAGUCGAGCCGUCAUGACUCAUUAAGUCACUCCGGAGUGGGUGGUUAUUUUCACUGCUUUAUUGAAGGUCUGUAGCUGGUAGAUGCAGAUUUAGUUUGGUUAGGGGCUUGGUGGGGGUGCUCUCUAAGAGGCUGAGACACCAAUUAAUUCAGCCAUUAUUGUUCAAAACAACCUCCAACGGAUGGAUCCAGAAGAGCUUAUAAGGAGAUGCAGAGCAAUAAGAUUAAGUGAAAAGGAGAGAGGGAGAGUCUCUUUCAAGACAAAAAUGAAGGCUAAGGGAGAAAAGAUAGCUGUGGGCUGUUUGGUCGGAAAAGUGCUCCACACAAGAGGGGUCAACACUGAAGGCUUAAAAACGACAAUGCAGAGGGUGUGGAAAACCUCAAGGGAGGUCAAGAUAGAAAGUUUAGGGGAUAACACGUUUAUGUUCAGGUUUGGCUUAGAGGCAGAUAAAAGAAGUAUCAUGGUGGGGGGACCGUGGCAUUUUGCUAGAGCCCUUAUUGUGCGUACCGAACCAGAAGGAAUAGGGGAUAUCAAAAAGCAAGACUUUAGUCAUGUAUCAUUCUGGGUACAAAUCCAUGAUGUUCCCAUUAUGUGCAUGACUAAAGAAAUGGCCACCGAAUUAAGGGAGGUAAUUGGGAAAGUAGAAGAGGUAUAAACAGAUACAACGGGGGAAUGCAUUGGGCAGUUCUUAAGAUUAAGAAUUUCAGUGGAUGUUACAAAGCCGCUAAAAAAGAUAAUUGAGCUGGAACAAGAAGGGGAAGAUGAAGAGGAUAUCCCCAUGCGUGUGAUGUAUGAAAGAUUACCUGACUUUUGUUUCUGUUAUGGGAGGAUAGGGCAUCAGUACAGAGAAUCUGCUCACUACAAAUCUCAAUCCAAAGAUGAAUUGGCUUAUGGUCCAUGGAUUAAAGUAACUACCAUAACAGAGAGAUUAAGACAGAAUAUGGAAAGAGAUAGAUGGGAUUUUGAGCGUAAUAAUUUCAAUCCAAAGGUCUCAACCUAGACAACAAUGGAAACAAGCAGACACACGGUAGAGGAGGAGCAACACAGGAGGGGGGAAUCGGGUAACAGGUGGUGCCCAGACCAUCAGGAUCCGGGUAAGGAUUACCCGACUGAUGAAAUGGGUAUGGUUCAGAGGGUGGUUGGGACGCAAUUAAUGAAAGGGACUGAAACAGGCCGAAAGACCCCUGGAAAAUGCAGCCUAGAUGCUGGGGAUACAGUACCUCGGGAUACGAAUGGGCAAACAGAAAUGAGGGGAAAAGGGAAAGAGCAGAGAGAGGCAAGCCUUAAAUCAGAAAAAGCAAAGUUUCCUGGAAUGGCAAACGCGGGAACUUUUGAGAUGGAAGAAGUUGAUGACUUGGGGGAUGGGAAAAAAAGGGGAGGCAAACAAAAGGUAAUGGUGGGCUCGGCCCAUGUGGAAAUUGAAGCUGAGAAUGCAGACAAUGGGAAUUGCUCGGACAAAAUGAAGCCCAGGAAAAAGAAAUGGAAGUCACAAGCCCGAAAAAUGGAAAAUAAAGUAAGGAUAAAUGAAGCAAUCAUAAACUUAAAAAGGCCCAGCAGUGCUAUGGAGUGGGAGAACCCGGAAGCAAAAAAAUGCAAAAUAAAUAGCUGGCAGGGCGCUGAACAUUCAUCAUAGCAUCAGGAAGUUACUACAACAGCUACUCAGCUAGUUUUCGAAAAUGAAGACGGGGAUGCUUCAAAGGGGGUUCAGAAUGCUGCUCCUAAGAUAUCGGCGGAGGCUGGAAGACAGCCCCGCCGACAGUCAUGAAGCUAAUAAGCUGGAACGUUCGGGGGCUGGGGCAAGACCGAACGUUCCGAGAAGCCCAGCAAAUCUUGCAGGAGCAUAGACCUCAACUUUUAUUUCUUUGCGAAACAAAGAUGACGUCGAAGCAAAUGCAAGAGAAAGCGAGUAAGAUGAAAUUUCAGAAUUAUUUUUCAGUUAGCCGUGAAGGAUUGGGAGGUGGGUUGGCAAUGUUGUGGAAUCCAGGGACAACAGUAGAGAUAAAGUCUUUUAGUAAACAUCAUGUGGAUGCAGUGGUUUGUAACGAAAAUGGCAAUUAUUGGAGGUGUACGGGAGUGUAUGGCCAUCCAGAAUCAGAUCAGAAGAGACAUACUUGGGAGCUAUUCAGAAGGUUAGCUACUUUAUCUUCGCUGCAGUGGCUUUGUUUUGGAGAUUUUAAUGAGGUGUUGAACUUAAAUGAGAAAUUAGGAGGAAGAGAUAAGAGGGUUAAUAUGGUCAAUGAGUUUAGAAAAGCUAUUAGGGAUUGUGAUUUAAAGGAUUUAGGAAGUAUUGGGUACCCGUUUACUUGGUCCAAUAGACGGUUUGGCCAUCACAUUAUAGAAGAAAAGCUCAACAGAUUUUUGUGCAACAAUAAUUGGGGAAACAACUUCCAAGAAAAGGCUGGGCGGAAUUUAAUUUCUUGAAGCUCAGAUCAUAGUCCAAUCUUGAUGGAGGUGGUAGAAAAGAGGAAGGGAAAACGUUUUAUGAAAAGAACUUUCCCAAGAGUCCAUUACGAAGAUAUGUGGAGCUCGUACGAGAAGUGCAGAGAGAUAGUUAGGCAGGAAUGAAGGGAGGUGAAUUAUGAGAAUGGUAGCAAUCCAAUUGAAAUCUUCAAGAAAAAAAUCAAAGAUGUCGUUGGCUGAAUUAAAGAAUUUGAGCAAUGAAGAAUUUAGUGGGAGAGAAAAGAAGCUGGAGCAGUUGUAAAACAAGCUGAAGGACAUUAAAAUCGGGUACAAUCAUGCUGUUAAUGGAGAGGAGAUUACAAAAGUAGAAAAUCAGAUUGAUAAUAUCCUUCUUGACAAGGAAGUUUAUUGGAGGCAAAGAUCGAGGGUGGUUUGGUUGAGGGAGGGGGAUAAGAACAUGAAAUUUUUUCAUUCGAAAGCCUCUGCGAGAAGGAAAAAGAACUGGACAAGUGGGCUGGAAGAUGAGAAUGGCAAAUGGCUUGAAGAAGUUGACGAUGUAGAGCGGAUGGUAUGUGAGUAUUUCACUAAUAUCUUCACUACAACAAACCCAUCAUCAGGCCAGAUAAGCACAACCUUAUCAAACCUGCCAGCUAAGGUUACAAGGGAGAUGGGGAGCUUCAUGGACCAGCUGUUUACAAAAGAAGAUGUAGCAGAUUCCUUAGCUCAAAUGUGCCCCACAAAAGCGCUAGGACCAGAUGGGCUUCCAGCAGCUUUCUUCCAGAAACAUUGGGGUUCUGUGCAGCAAGAUGUUAUCACCACAUGCCUACAUGUUUUAAAUGAGGGAGGUAACAUUGCACCCCUGAAUCAUACAUACUUAGCUUUGAUCCCCAAAGUGCAAAAGCCUAGAAAAGUGACUGAUUUCAGACCUAUUAGCUUGUGUAAUGUUAUAUAUAGAAUUAUUGCUAAAACGCUAGCUAAUAGGCUUAAGAAGAUUCUGCAUGUUAUCAUCUCCCCGAACCAAAGCGCUUUUGUACCCAAUAGACUCAUUACUGAUAAUCUUAUUAUAGGAUACGAGUGUCUUAAUAAGAUUAGACAAAGCAAGAGUAAAAGAAAUGGGCUGGUAGCUCUUAAACUUGAUAUUAGUAAAGCCUACAAUAGGGUUGAGUGGGAAUUUGGAAAAUGCACAAUGCAAAAACUUGGAUUUUCAGAAAAAUGGGUGAAGUUGAUCAUGAAUUGUAUCACUACAGCAAGUUUUUCAGUGUUAAUCAAUGGAGUGGCAAAAGGCCUAAUCCAUCCUCAAAGAGGAUUGAGACAGGGCUGCCCCCUCUCCCCUUAUCUCUUUAUUAUGUGUGCAGAGGUGUUUUCGAACUUAAUGGUGAAUGCAGAAAAUCAAAAUCUCAUAAAUGGUUUGAAAUGCAGCAGCCUCAAGACAGGUGUUUAAUUUCGAGAAGUCCUCUAUGUUCUUUAGCAGCAGCACAAGUUCAGGUAAAAGGGAGGAAAUCAGGAGUAUUUUCGGUUUGAAUGUCGUUUCAAAACAUGAAAAGUAUCUGGGACUUCCAUUGAUGAUAAGGAGGAAAAAGACUAGCUUCUUCAACGACAUAAAACUGAGAGUGCUAAGCAAGCUAUCAAGUUGGCAAAACAAGUGUUUCUCAAGUGGGGGAAAAGAAAUACUCAUCAAAGCUGUGGCACAAGCUGUGCCUGCAUAUGCGAUGAGCGUAUUUAAAAUUCCUCAAAGGCUGUGUGAUGAUAUACAAAAGGCUGUAGCAAGGUUCUGGUGGGGAUCAUCCGAAACUCAUAGAAGGAUUCAUUGGGCAAGGUGGGAGAAAUUAUGUUAGGCCAAGAUUAGGGGUGGUCUGGGUUUUAGGGACUUUUCAAGCUUUAAUCAAGCCCUUGUCGCCAAACAGGGGUAGAGGAUCCUACAUAAUCCUGAUGCUUUAAUGUAAAAAAUUUUAAAAGCCAAGUACUUCAAGCAUACUGACUUUAUGGAGGCAAAAUUGGGGUCAAAUCCCUCAUUUGUUUGGAGAAGUAUAUUAUGGGGGAGACAAGGGUUGCACAAAGGCUUAAGAUGGAGAAUAGGUAAUGGAAACCGGGUCUCAGUGUCCAGCAGGAAUUGGAUGCAAAAACUCGAAUGUUCCAGCUAUGUUCCUCACCAAAAUUUAGCAGAAAAUGCUGUUGUUGCUGAUUUUAUUGAUGACAAAAAUCAGUGGAUGGAGGAGAAGGUUGUGCAAUGUUUUCCCGAAGAGGUGGCACAAAGGAUUCUAAGAACCCCUCUGCCAAGAACCCCCCAGGAAGACCUGAUGAUUUGGCACUUUGAUAAGUAUGGCUGUUACUCAGUAAGAAGUGGAUACCAGGUGGCAGUUAGAAUGAAAUUCCCAGACAAUCCGGAGUGCUCUGAUAGCUCUAAAACUCAAUGGAAGGUAAUUUGGUCAAAUGAGAUUCCGGAAAAAAUAAAAAUUUUCAUGUGGAGAGCUGCUCAGAAUCUAUUACCAACAGCCAAUAAUCUAUGGAGGAAAAAUGUGGUGGGGAAUCCAGCCUGUCAAAGAUGUAAUUGUAAAAGUGAGAAUGUCACUCAUGUGUUAAUGGAGUGUAAGGCUGCUCAAAAAGUCUGGAAGUUGACAGAUUUUUACGAAGAUAUGAAGUUGUUGUCUCAGCAUGACAUACUGAGUAUGCUCCAAGAACUAGCAUCGAGAAGAACGAAGAAAGAGAUUGAGCAGAUUCUUGCAAUAUAUUGGGCCAUUUGGUAUGCGAGGAACCGCUUUGUAAUUGAAGGAAAGCAGGAAGAGCCAAAACUGGCAGCAGCUAGAGCAUCAGCUAUUGUGGAGUCAUAUAAGAGAAUCAAAACCCAAAACGGUCCAGCUAGAUCAAUUCAUUUUCAAAACAACCAACAAAUUUGGACACCUCCUCCAGAGGGGAAGUAUAAAGUCAAUGUGGAUGUUGCGAUUCAAAUGGCAGGUCUGAAGGCAGGGUUGGGGGCAGUGGUUAGGAAUUCCAAUGGAAAAAUCAUUGCUGCAGCUGUUAAGAAGGUGUGCUUUCAGGGAACAGUGGCGAGCAUGGAGGCUGAAGCAGUCCUUUUUGGCAUUCAAGUUGCCCAACAAGUAGAAUAUUUGCCCAUGAUUAUUGAAUCGGAUUCAACAGAAGUGGUGGAGCUGGUCUGGAGCAGGAAAAGUAGCUUGACUGAAGUUUCUUGGACAGUAGAAGAAAUAAAACAACAGCUGCAGAUCUCGAAUGCAUCUUCAUUACAGUUUGUUCCAAGGAAGUGUAAUGCCAUAGCUCAUGCUAUAGCAAAAGUGGCUCUGGAUUUUGAGAAUUCUGUUAUAUGGCUGGAAGAGUUUCCAGUCCAGAUCAUGAUGUUACUCUCAAAUUUUAUCAAUUAGAAAGCUUUACUUUCUUAUCAAAAAAAAAAAAAAAA